UGCUGCUGAGGCUGCGCGUGGAGGGGCAGCUCCGGUGGAAGGUGUCCGCCUGGGUGUCCGGCAGCCGUGCCCUCGCCGCUGAGUGCGUCGCUGUCGUCGUGCCGUCGCAGCUCACGGCCGUCGUCGUGCAGGGUUCCCAGUGCGCCACCACCCUCCAGUGAAUGAAUAAUAAAUCUACAUAUGCAUGCAUCAGUCGAUAAAUUACUUUUGCAAUUAGCGUCUGUGUUUAGCUUAAUUGCACUAUUGUUCUUGUACUUAUGGGACAUACUACGUCCUCUGCUUAAAUUUUUUUUAAAGGAGAAGAUCCACGGCACGUGCAUGUUAUGGUUGCCGCGUUUGCUAAAUCUCACGUGUCUGAAAAAAUUAUGGGAGUGGUUUUUCUACACCCCAGUCCGGUUCACCCACGGUGCAUCCAUGCAAAAAAACAUAGCAAAACAUUUAAGAAAAUCAGAAACUUUAUGAAAAUGAUCAUCAACAAAUGUUAUGAGAGCUUGCAAAGCUUGGUGGUCAAAUAACAUUCGAGGAGCUUUGUACAAAAAAGACAACAUCAGUGAAAAUUAGUCAAAAUGUAAGUGCAUUGUUUGAGCAGAUUUUGUAAUUUUUUUCUUUUCUGUAUGGAGCUCCUCGAAUGUUAUUUGACCACCAAACUUUGCAGCACUCAUAACAUUUGUUGAUAAUCAUUCUCAAAAAAAUUCAGAAUUUUUUGAAAUGUUUUGCUACGUUUUUUUUCGUGGGUGCACCAAAGGUAGGUGCAGCCACUACUUUCCCAAAAAUUAUAGCGUCAGUCAUUUGUGCUUCCCCUGAGGCCAAAGGCGAGGAGGAGGUGAGGAGCGACACGAAGGAGCGUUGGCCACGGCGAGGCCAAGCCAUGAACGAGUAGGAGCCGGUGGGUGUGAGACAAAAACUUGACAGGUAUAUGCCGGGACGAGGACGGGGAUGCAGGGGUUACCAGAGUUGUUGUAGAUUUGGGGGGUUUUAGAGGGAUGGCCCUGGCGGUGGCUAUCACGGUGGGGUGGGGUGGGGUGGGGGUGGGGAGUUGAGAGAAGACCAAGGUGGCAAGGCAAUGUGUGGUAGCGCCCGCCAACCGCAAGGGAGGGAUGCCGGUGGUUAGGGCUGGGUCGGAACGAGGGCGUCUGCGUGAGGACAAGAGAAGCAAUCGGAGCAGUCUACAUUGACAUGAAGGAUAAGUUAAUUUACGAACCAACUUGGUUGGAUCGUUAGGUGGAUAGUGGUAUCCUGAGCCCAUCAGGGUUUAAGUCCUGGUUAUCGCAUUUAGUUCUGUAUUUAUUUCAGGAUUUUUGGUGAUGCACAUUCAGUAGGAGAAGACGUUCCCGUGACUACGAGGCGUCUGUGGCAACUUCGUCAAUCCUAAGAUGAUAUGUUUCUUGGGGGUGCUCAUAGGGGUAGGGUCUGUGUGCGUGUGUUCAUAAGGAUGAGUGUAUGUGCGUAUGUAUGGGCGUUUGCGUCUGUAUUGACUAUUGAGUUCUAAACAAAAACACAAUAAAUUAUCGAGAAAGCUAUUUUCCAGUCGGCAGUAAAUUAGCGACAGAUCCGAACGCUUUUAUCUCCGUACGUACUAAAUCGUGUGGCUCUCGUCGGUCGUUUCUUUUUUGCGAAAAAAAGAAGCAGCAACAGGAAUUGAACUCGGAACCUGCUCGUUCGGAGUCAAGGGCUCAACCCUGGGCGACCAGCUGGACCGGCCUUGCUGAGUGUUAUGAGAAGGGCUGGGUCGUUUAUAUUCGUCAAGGCCAGUAGGCCACUACUCUGGUUAAGUCGUCAAGGUUUUUUUUUCCUUCUGUUAGAAGCUUGUGUAAGGGCAUAUUUAUCCCUUAGGUGUUUUGGUGAUUGUUGACAAUGCUUUUGCGGACUAAUCGUGUGCCUUGAGUUUCUCAGAUGCUUCAUCACUAGGCAUGAGACGAUUCGGUGCCCCUCGGAGACUAUUGAAGACGGCGUUGUUCUACAUUUCUCUUUGGUGGGUUUGAGUCGUAGGAGAGCCGUACUAUUAAGAGGGGGUCCGCGUCGGAAAGGUUUGGGUGGAAUCAACUCGUACACAUGUCCUACCUUUCCUUGCACUUUGGAGCGUCUUUCCGUUAUCCUAGUUGUGCAUAAUCAGACGGCUACUGCUGUAAUUGUGGUAGUACUGCUCUAUGGAGCGGUAGUACCGCAAGCACCUGCGGUAGUACCGCUGGGGGUCACGGUAGUACCGCUCCUCUGGAGCCUUAGUACCAUAACUCCCAGGCCUAGUGCUGCUCCGGUACGGUAGUAGGAGCGGAUGUAAUUCUUUACAUCCACGCCCACACGAUAGUACCGCACGACAUGCGCGGUAGUACCGCGGGAGGCCACGGUAGUACCGCUCCCCUGGAGCCAUAGUACCGUGGCCCUCAUACCUAGUACCGUUGCGCCGCUGCAGUAGGAGCGGAUGUAAUUUUUUACAUCCGCGCCUCAACGGUAGUACCGCACCUCGUGCGCUGUAGUACCGCGUCGGGUUUUUGCAUUGUUUCUUUUUCAGCGGAAGUAGGCACGGAUGUAUUUUAUUUCAUCCGCGCUCUUCGUAGGCUUUGGCUUGCCUGCCUUGCGGUAGUACCGCAAGGGGGAGCGGUAGUACCGUGCGAGCGGUAGUACUGCGCUCAGUCAAGCUAGUCCCGACCUCUGCUGCUGCCGCGGAAGUACCGUGGUCCUCCACAGUAGUACCGCGCCCCUGGAGCGGUAGUACCGCAUGUCGCAGGCUGGUCUAAGUGGAUAAUGGUUGGAUUUCUUCCACAAGUAUAAAAGGGGCGUCUCCUACCUCUAGUGGACCACAUCUUCCAUCCCUAAGCUCCAUUGUUGCUCCAAGCUCCAUUUUCGCCCGAUCUCUCUCCCUAGCCAAUCAAACUUGUUGAUUUGCUCGAGAUUGGGUGACAAGGCCCCGAUCUACAUUUCCACCAAGAGAGAUUUGAUUCCCCCCACUUAUCCCUAGCGAAUCUUGUUACUCUUGGGUGUUUGAGCACCCUAGACGGUUGAGGUCACCUCGAAGCCAUACUCCAUUGUGGUGAAGCUUCAUGGUGUUGUUGGGAGCCUCCAAUUGUUGUGGAGAUUGCCCCAACCUUGUUUGUAAAGGUUCGGUCGCCGCCUUCAAGGGCACCAAUAGUGGAAUCACGGCAUCUCACAUUGUGUGAGGGCGUGAGGAGAAUACGGUGGCCCUAGUGGCUUCUUGGGGAGCAUUGUGCCUCCACACCGCUCCAACGAAGACGUACUUCCCCUCAAAAGGAAGGAAUUUCGGUAACACAUCCUCGUCUCCACCGGCUCCACUCUUGGUUAUCUCGCGCCUUUACUUUUGCAAGUUUACUUGUGUUGUUUCCCUUACUUGCUCGUGUACUUGUUGUUGUUGCAUCAUAUAGGUUGUUCACCUAUUUGCAUAUCUAGACAACCUACUUUGAUGCAAAGUUUAAUUUGUUAAAUAAAAGCUAAAAAUUGUUAGUUGCCUAUUCACCCCCCCCCCCUCUAGUCAACCAUAUCGAUUCUUUCAAUUGGUAUCAGAGCCUCGUCUCUUUAUUAAGGACUUUGUCGUCUGAAGAGUAUGGUUGACACCACAGACGGUGCGGAGGAGCACUCUGGUGUGAAUCCCGUCUCGUCUAUGGCCGAUGGGGGGAACCUUGGUCUCUCGUGAGGAAUUCAAUGUGGCUCUAGACACAUUGAAAGACUCCAUGACGACCAAGGUUGAAAGCAUGCUUACUAAAUUUCUUGAAGGGCUUAAACUGUCCACCUCGCCGAGAAAGUGGGUGAUCCCACUAACAAGGUGACGGAUGCGACCUCCGACAAGGGGGAAGCUAAUAGUGAAAAGAGUCCUUCUACUAGUGGUAGAAAUGGCACCGGCAUCUUUGCCCAUGUGGAACCCCCAAUCUAUGGAGGACCGAUUCCCUCUACUCAUUUGAAUCAUGCCGGUCCUCCUCCUAAGUAUGAGAAACAUGAAGAUUUUGAUUCUUGGGUUUAUCGCUUCAAGCGUCAUUUAAAACAUGUGAAUACUAACCUUUGGAGAAUCAUUGAAGAAGGUUUCUAUCCUCAUGACCCGAGCAACUUCACCCCUCGAGAAGCCGUGGACAACCAAUUCAAUGAGAGUGCUCUCUUCAUCAUCCAAGAUGCAAUCCUUCCCGAAGAUCUCCCUCAUCUUCGACCUCAUGCCAUGGCUAAAGACGCAUGGAAAUGUGUUGUGUCUCUCUAUCGAGGAAGUGCUAGCAUUCAACGCUCCAACUAUGAAGUGGUGCAAGAUGAAGCCGAUGAGUUUGCAAUGAAAGAAGAUGAAGAACCUCGUGAGCUCUUUCGAAGAGUGACCAAACUCGCGGUCUCACUCCGAGAUCAUGGAAGCAAGGACACGGAUGACAAUUGGAUCAAGCGCAAGUUCCUCAAGGCCAUGAUGCCCUACAACAAGGCCAUGUCCUCCGUCAUUCGUCAAAGACCGGACUUCCACUCCAUGACCUCAAGUGAAGUGUUGGAUGAGUUCGUUGCAAUGAGCAUCUUGGACAAGACUGCCGACAAUGCGGUGCUCCAUUCUCAAAGGGCAAAGAAGCCCAACCUUGCUUUGAAGGCCAAGGUUAUUAUGGAAGAAGAGGAAGAAGUGGAAGAUGAGGAGAGCAACCCCGAAGACACCAAAUAUGAUUAUCAUGAGCACAUGUCCCUUGCUUCAAGACAAUUUUGGAGCAAGAAGAGUACAAGAACCAACUUCAACAAGAACAUCUCAAGUGGCGUCAAGGGCAAGCAACGAGUUAGAACUUGCUUCAACUGUGGCAAUGUGAGCCAUUUCGUUGCGGAUUGUCCUUACGAGAAGCGGGAAGACAAUGGUGGCAAGUUCAUCCGAAAAGACAAAGCCAAGUCCUUCCCCAACAAGAACAACUUCGCCAAGAAGACUCCCACUCGUGGGUUGGUGGUUCAAGAAGAAUACCAAGAGGAUGAAGAUGAUGAUGAAAAUGGAGAAGCGAUGGCCAUGGCAUCCGUUGCCAUUGCUACUACUCCCCGGGAGUCUCUCUUUGAUUCACCCAACGAGAACAUCACCGCCAAGUGCCUCAUGGCUAAAGCUUCAAACAAGGUAACCCCCAACAUUAAAACCACCAUCAUUACUAAUCCCUCCGUGGAGGAUUGCAUUGAUGAACAUGAGGGGUCUAAUGAAGAAGUGAAUGAAUUUGAGUCUUUUAUUAGUAAGCUCAAGGGCAAGUCCAAGAAGCAUGUUGUUGCUCUCUUGGAACAACUUGGUGAGGCUAAUGACAUGAUCGAGGCUCACGAAGAAACCAUCUCUAAGAUGGAAGGUCAUAGUCGUGACUAUGCCGAUGAGAUAUCAGAUCUCUCUAAUGCUCUUGAGGAAGAGUGUGUUCAUCGUUUGACUUUUGAGGAGUCAUACAAUGAUGACUGUCGGUGUCAAAACCGGCGGAUCUCGGGUAGGGGGUCCCGAACUGUGCGUCUAGGCGGAUGGUAACAGGAGACAAGGGACACGAUGUUUUACCCAGGUUUGGGCCCUCUUGAUGGAGGUAAAACCCUACGUCUUGCUUGAUUGAUAUUGAUAUUGUAGAUGUUUACAAGAGUGGAUCUACCACGAGAUCAAGGAGGCUAAACCCUAGAAGCUAGCCUAUGGUAUGAUUGUAAUGGUUGUUGUUGUGUCCUACGGACUAGAGCCAUCCGGUUUAUAUAGACACCGGAGAGGGCUAGGGUUACAUAGAGUCGGUUACAAUGGUAGGAGAUCUACGUAUCCGUAUCGCCAAGCUUGCCCUCCACGCCAAGGAAAGUCCCAUCCGGACACGGGACGAAGUCUUCAAUCUUGUAUCUUCAUAGUCUUGGAGUCCGGUUGAUGAUGAUAGUCCGGCCGAUGAUGGUAGUCCGGCUAUCUGGACACCCCCUAAUCCGGGACUCCCUCAGUAGCCCCCGAACCAGGCUUCAAUGAUGAUAAGUCCAGCAUGUGUGUAGUCUUCGGUGUUGCAAGGCGGGUUCUCCUUCAAGUUCUACGUACCUGCCGAACAGUGUCCGACUUCCUCAUUAAUGUUGCGCGUCUUGGCUUUCACGCCCAAUAAUGGCCUUCUUCCACGCGUCGCGCGAAUGUGAAAAGCCAGGGUGUCUUUUAUGUUUUACCCCCUAGUUGUGCGAAUAAUCUGCCUAUAAGGGAGGCAAGAAUCCAGAUCCAAAUCACCAUCUUCCUCCCGCAAAUACUCAUCGGAGCGCUUUCGACCAAGAAUCCAUUCCAUCAUGGACCGUCAACGCGGCUCCUCUUCUCGCGCUCCCAGCCCUUCGCCAGGAGAUUGGAGGAGAUGCUCUGUUCCGCACAACGAGCUGGUGAAGCUCCAAGCGGGGGGAUAUCUCCCUCCGGCCUUCAUGGUUCCGGUUCGAGCCGGGCUGGCCACCUACAAAGGUGGGAAGCAAGCGGAGGUUACCCCAAAUCGCAACAAAGGGGAGCGGGUAUGCUUCGUCCCCUAUAUGAUAAGGGGGAUCGGAUUUCCUGUACAUCCAUUCCUCCGCGGGCUCCUGGAGUUCUACGGACUCCAGCUUCAUCACCUCACGCCCGCCUCAAUCCUGCAUAUUGCGGGUUACGUAGCUCUUUGCGAGCUAUUCCUGGGCGUCGAGCCCCAUUUCGCGUUGUGGAAGAGGUUGUUCUGUCUUGUACCCCGUUCUCACGAGGGGUCCAUAUAUCAAGUGGGCGGCGCCGAAAUAUGGCGCAUUGCCGGGACCGGAUAUCCAUCCGGAACCCCUAAGAAGGCGUCCGAAGACUGGCCUUCGGAAUGGUUUUAUAUAGAAUACGCUCCGCUGCCGGACCCUGUUCGGAUCGGCCUCCCGGAGUUCAGCAAUGCUCCUCCGAAGAAACGCCUUAGUUGGCGUCCGCGGAGCCCCCAACUGGAGGAAGACAAGAGCGUCCAUUAUUUGAUGGGCCGAAUAAGGUUACUGGCCCAUGCCGGGUUGACCAUGAUUGGAGUCAUGGCGACAUGCAUUAUGCGGGGGGUGCAGCCACUACAAUACAUGGGCCACCCCAUGUGGGAUUUCAACGGGGAGGACGAUGCCACCCGUCAUGGCCGCAAAGGGCCGGAUUCGGUCGAAGAUCUGGUGAAGAUCCUGUCCGGCCUGUAUAAGGGGGAGAAGGAGGAUUUCCUUCGGACGAACCCGUUAAAUGGGUUCUCCAUGAAUAAUCCCCGGCCUUGGGUAAGCGAACACUCUGCGUGCCCGACCCAGGCUUUUUGAAACUUAAGUUUCUUAUAUUGUGUUCUUCUUUCGACGCAGGAGCUGCGCCGGAUCGUGGAGGACAUGCUAAGUCCAGCUCCGCAACCCGAGGAUCCAGAGAGAUCCCGGGAUCCGGCCUCCGAAGAGGAUCCGGACAUAAUGGUGGAGCUAAUCGACGGGGUGUUCCACCAGCUCAGCAUGGACAAUGCUUUAGUCGCCAUCACGGCCGACUAUCCCGGACUAUAUCCGGCUUCCCAAGUGAUUGCGACCGAAGUCCUGACACCGUCAUUCCUUCCUUGCUUAUUUCUGACCACCGUAUACGAUGGCGCUGUGCAGGAGGCGCCCCUAGGGCGAGAAGCCGAGCCCGCGGCGGCUGGCCAACAAAGGCCAGUCCGGACCAGUAGGCGGAAGAGGAGCGUGGCGCGGACUGAAAUGUCGCCGCAAAGGUGUAGCUCACAAUUCAUUAUUUAGAGCAACGUUCCUAGGAAGCGUUUGAGUGCUCAUGACUUUUGUAGGGAAAAGAGCGUCCGCCGGACUGCGGGCGUGGAGGUUGCCAAUCCAACCUCUACCAGCCAGGCUCCAGCACCUGGUCUGGAGGGGGAGGCGAGCGCAAGGCGCGAGCCGGACGUUCCUCCGACGGAGGAUGCCGAUAGACUGUCCGCCACCAAGUCUGAGGUGGAGAGUGCCCUGAAUCACAGGCGCCGCCGGACAGUAUUUCGUGACGCGUGCUUCUCCCCCGAGGCGUUGAAUGCCUUUAACACGGGGGACGCGCACCUUCGUGCUGCUCAAGAUGGUUUUACCAGAGCCACGGAGCAGUAUGUAAAAGACAUACGGGUAAGAGGAUUUAAUAGUUGUAUAUGCCAGUAGCCCCCGAGACUUAAAGUAGUUAUAUUAACUGAUUUAAGGAUCAUAUGAAACGUAGGAUCUUACUGAUAAGAAUACCCAACUGUCUCAGGAGCUGCAUGAGUGCAAGGCCCAACUUGAGGCCGCACUCUCUGGCGCAGGAGGAAACACAGGGACCUCUCCUGGUAACGCGUUAUUUUAGAAAGAUAAGUAGUGUUUGGCCUUUGUGCAAGUCUAAAAAAUGACGUUGCAGGUGCUGCCGGACAAGAUUCGGACAGGCAAGAACUUCUGCGCCAACUAAAGGCCGGCGAGAGGGUGCUGCAUAAGGUGCAGCAUGAAAGGAACAAGCUCUAGGAUGCCCAUGCCCAGCUUGGAGAAGAGCUGAAAGGCGUUCGGGCCGAGCUGUCGGGCUCCGUUAAGGAGAAUCAGCGGCUUCGUCGCGGCAUCUAUAGUAAGUGCUUGAGCGAACUCCUUUGAAAAGAAGAGUUCGGCGAGGAAGUCAAUUUGACAGAAUAUGUCUGCAGGUAUGCUCACAGGUCGCCCUGCGGAGGAGAUGCCCGUAUCAACGGGUGAUCAACUUCCCGAAUUGUUGCAACUGAUCGAACGAGUUCGGCAGGCAAUGAGCGGCGCCAUCCAGGCUUUAUGGCCAGCCUUCUCCUUACCCGAGGGUCUUGGGGAGCUUGUGGAGAAGCUUCAGGGAGUGCGGCAGCGCUUCCAUUUAUGGAAGAUUUCGGCCUGCCGCUAAGGUGCCAGGGAGGCCUGAGCCAUGGUAAAGACGUGGUACAAGAAGGCGGAUCCCAACCACAUGGCCGAAGUCGGACCUGUGGGGCCCGAUGGGAAGGAGAUCCCUGUGAGUUUAGUAUACGGCCAAGUAGAGCUGGCCGCUAAAUUUUCCCAACAGGAUUGUAAAUUAGACAAACUGUUAGACGGGAUUGAGGAAGAAUACAAUCAGUCGAUUUGACAAUGUAUUAUAAAAUGACAUAUAAAAUGCCUUCUAGCCGGAUUGUAGAUCGUUUGUCUUUGCCGACCUUUUCGCUUCGACCUCGGGACCCUAGAGUCCGGAGUGUGUCCGAAUACCUUCUCGGUUAUGAAACAACCGGGGUAUGCAUGGAGACCAGGCGUAGGGGUUAUUAGUGCUUUAUCAGACAAGUGCCCAACUAGUUAUGUUAUAUUACAUGGGUAGUAAGAAACAUCUUCCAGGGAGAAUAGUUCCGUUAAGGGUUCCUUUCCUCUGGGGGUGGCAUGCCCUAAAGUGCAUGUCCGGGCUGCGAAAAAAGCAGAAAAACAUCUAGGGGCAGAUAAAUAAGUGGAUAAAAAAAUCAUCUUUUAAGUCACCGACCGAAUAUUCCCUUAAGAACGCUAGCUUUCGGCUUCACCCAGUCUGAGGUACACAUCCGGCUGACCUGGCAGUAACAAUCGCAGAGGUGCUCCCUUUACCUCCUAGCCGAACAAUCGGGAACGUAGGGGUAAGCACAGGAGCCAGGCAACCCAACUUGGCCAAAACUUAAGUCAUAUCGAUGCAUAUAAUGGUGAAUAAAAGGUACAUGUGGAGGCUUGACACAUGUGCUGGGCAUGAAGCCCUUAUAAUUAAGCUUCUGGUAAAGAAGCCCCCAGGUAUAAUGAGUGCGGAUAGCACAUCAAUUGCGCGCGAACGUUGCGCAAGUAGGCCCUUUAAGGCUUGGAUGAAUAGGGUUGAGAAGAAAAAGAUAAACAAAAGGCAGCUGAAGUAAAAAAAAUUGGACGGGGGGAAAGGGACGAACUCUUAGUCCGGCGCUAGGCAUAGAAUCUUCGGAGGCAGGCAGCGUUCCAUGGGUUCGGCUCGAGUCGAUUAUCCGAUGCAUUUUGUAGACGGUACGCUCCGCCGGUCAGGACUUGAUCGAUGAUGAAGGGGCCUUCCCAUUUGGGCUUGAGCUUGUCCUUUUUCUUGUCCGGCAGGCGUAGAACCAGUUCGCCAACGUUGUAAGUCUUGGCCCGUACUUCUCUGCUUUGGUAUCUUCGAGCCUGCUGCUGAUAGAAUGCGGAACGAGCCUUGGCGACGUCGCGUUCUUCCUCCAAUGCGUCCAAGCUGUCCUGCCGAUCCAACUCGGCUUCUCUUUCUUCGUACAUGCGCACUCGAGGUGAGUCAUGAAUUAUGUCGCAGGGCAAAACUGCUUCUGCGUCGUAUACCAUAAAAAAUGGUGUGAAUCCGGUAGUACGGUUAGGCGUUGUCCGCAGCCCCCAGAGUACGGAGUCGAGAUCCUCUACCCAGUGCGUGUCAGAUUUCGUAAGGGACCGCACUAGUCUGGGUUUGAUGCCGCUCAUUAUUAGACCAUUUGCUCGUUCCACUUGACCGUUGGUUUGAGGAUGAUAGACUGAAGCGUAAUCGAGCUUGAUGCCCAUAUUUUUGCACCAUGAUUUAACCUCAUCGGCCGUGAAGUUCGUGCUGUUAUCGGUGAUGAUGCUGUGGGGGACACCAUAACGGUGUACUACCCCGGAUAUAAAGUCUAUCACUGGUCCGGACUCUGCCGUUUUAACUGGCUUGGCCUCUAUCCAUUUGGUGAAUUUAUCCACCAUGACCAAUAGGUACCUUUGCUUGUGGGUUCCCCCUUUAAGUGGUCCAACCAUGUCAAGCCCCCAGACCGCGAACGGCCAGGUAAUGGGUAUAGUUUUGAGGGCGGUGGGUGGCAUAUGGCUCUGAUUAGCAAAGAGCUGACAACCGACGCAUCUUUGGACUAAGUCCUGAGCAUCUGCUCGGGCCGUCGGCCAAUAAAAUCCUGUACGGAAUGCCUUUCCUACAAGGGCCCGAGCUGCGGCGUGGUGUCCGCCUAGUCUGGCAUGAAUUUCAGCCAGGAGGUUUCGCCCUUCCUCUUCGGAGAUACACCUUUGAAGGACUCCGGUUGUGCUUUUCUUAUAAAGUUCUCCCUCAUAGACCUUGUAGGCUUUAGAUCGCCGGACAAUGCAGCGGGCCUCAUUUUGGUCUUCGGGAAGCUCCUGCCUAAGCAAGUAGGCGAGGAAUGGUUCUGGGCACGGGGCAAUUACUGCCAUUAUGUCGUGGGCUGAAGGUGUUAUGUCAUCGGCUGAAUCGCCGGUUGGUGCGGCUUGUUCCGGUUUGUUAUUUCCGGACUCCUCUUCCCAUAGUACGGAUGGCUUGAAGAGCCGUUCUAGGAAGAUGUUAGGAGGGACAGCGUCACGUUUUGCACCGAUGCGUGCCAGUACGUCGGCUGCUUGGUUAUUAUCCCGGGCUACGUGAUGGAAUUCAAGUCCUUCAAACCGGGUUGACAUUUUUAGGACAGCGUUGCGGUAUGCUGCCAUUUUCGGAUCUUUGGCGUCAAAGUCUCUGUUUAUUUGGGAUAUUGCAAGGUUUGAAUCCCCGCGCACCUCUAGGCGUUGAAUGCCCAUGGAGAUUGCCAUCCGGAGACCAUGUAAAAGGGCCUCGUAUUCGGCUGCGUUGUUGGAGUCCGUGUACAUUAUCUGAAGUACGUAUUGGACUGUGUCUCCGGUUGGGGACGUCAAUACGACGCCAGCCCCCAAUCCGGCUAACAUUUUAGAGCCGUCGAAGUGCAUAAUCCAAUUGGAGUAUGCGCCGUACUCUUUAGGGAGUUCGGCUUCGGUCCAUUCAGCGACGAAGUCAGCCAAAACUUGUGACUUUAUAACUCGCCGAGGUUUGUAAGUUAUAUCAAAUGGUAAGAUCUCAAUGGCCCAUUUUGCAAUCCUGCCCGUCGCGUCGCGGUUGUUUAUAAUGUCGUUAAGUGGUACUUCAGAGGCCACUGUUAUCGAACACUCUUGAAAGUAGUGUCGGAGCUUCCGGGAUGCCAUGAACACCGCGUAUGCUAUCUUCUGAUAGUGCGGGUAACGGGACUUGCAGGGGGUUAACACAGUGGAUACGUAGUAUACUGAUUUUUGAAUAGGGAAUUUAUGCCCUUCUGUCUCUCGUUCGAAGACGAGUACCGCGCUUACAACUUGAUGCGUUGCUGCGAUGUAUAACAACAUUGGUUCACCCAGGUUGGGCGCAGCCAGGACCAGAUUUGUUGCCAAUAUGGCCUUUAUUUCUUCGAGUCCGGCGGUGGCAGCAUCCGUCCACUCGAAGUGUUCGGUGCGCCUAAGGAGGCGAUAGAGGGGCAAUGCCUUUUCUCCUAGACGGGAGAUAAAGCGGCUUAGAGCCGCCAUGCAUCCAGUCAAUUUUUGUAUUUGCUUGAGGUCUUUUGGGAUAUCUAGCUGUGACAGAGCUCGGAUCUUGGCUGGGUUUGCUUCAAUUCCUCUACCGGAUAUGAUGAAGCCCAGCAGCUUUCCAGCUGGUACGCCGAAAACGCAUUUUUCCGGAUUCAGCUUGAUGUCAUAUGCUCUGAGGUUGUCGAAUGUGAGCCUCAAGUCGUCUACUAGAGUUUUGACGUGUUUAGUUUUGACGACUACGUCGUCUACAUAUGCCUCUACUGUUUUGCCGAUCUGGGUAGCCAGACAUGUCUGAAUCAUGCGCUGAUAUGUUGCGCCGGCGUUUUUAAGUCCGAAGGGCAUCGUGUUGAAGCAGAAUGGUCCAUAUGGAGUGAUGAAUGCCGUUGCGGCUUGAUCCGCUUCUGCCAUCUUGAUUUGAUGAUAGCCGGAGUAUGCGUCCAGGAAGCACAAUGAGUCGCGCCCUGCAGUGGCAUCGAUGAUUUGGUCGAUGCGGGGGAGGGGGAAGGGAUCCUUUGGGCAGGCUUUAUUUAGGUCUUUGAAAUCGACACAUAGGCGCCAGGAUUUGUCCUUCUUUGGUACCAUUACCAGGUUUGCUAGCCAAUCCGGAUGUUUGAUGUCUCUGAUGAAUCCGGCUUCCAAUAGUUUGGCUAGCUCUUCUCCCAUUGCCUGUCUUUUGGGUUCGGAAAAUCGUCGAAGAGCCUGUUUGACUGGCUUGAAUCCUUUUAGGAUGUUUAGGCUGUGUUCUGCCAAUCUGCGUGGGAUUCCGGGCAUAUCCGAGGGGUGCCAGGCAAAAAUGUCCCAAUUUUCCCAAAGGAUUUCUCGCAGUGCGGCGUCUACAUCAGGGUUCAAUUGUGCCCCGAUGGAGGCCGUCUUUGUCGGGUCCGUUGGGUGGACCUGGAAUUUUACUAUUUCAUCUGCUGGUUUAAAGGAGGUGGACUUGGAUCUCUUAUCGAGUAUCACAUCGUCCCUAUUCACCUUAGAGUGCAGCGCGGUGAGUUCCUCUGCCGCUAGGGCUUCGUAUAGUGCCUCUAAGGCUAAUGCGGCUGUCUUGUUUUCGGCGCGGAGUGCUAUGUCCGGAUCACUAACGAGAGUGAUUAUUCCGUCGGGCCCAGGCAUUUUGAGCUUCAUGUACCCGUAAUGGGGUAUGGCUUGAAAAAUUGUGAAUGCCUCUCGUCCUAAUAUAGCGUGAUAUCCCCUGUUGAACGGGGCCACUUGGAACGUGACUUCUUCGGAUUUGUAAUUGUCCGGCGAGCCGAAUACCACAUCGAGUGUGAUUUUUCCUGUGCAGCGUGCCUCCCGGCUAGGGAUUAUUCCUCUAAAGGUUGUGCUGCUUCGCUCAAUGUGGCUCCAGUCUAUUUCCAUUUUUUGAAGGGUUUUCUCGUAGAUGAGGUUUAAUCCGCUGCCGCCAUCCAUCAGGACUUUUGUAAGUCGAAAGCCGGACUAAGUACCAGUGCGGCUGGAGCUCGGGCUGUUCGGAAUUUAGGUUCGUCGCUGGCGUUGGAGGUGAUGGCUGUGUCGCUCCAUGGAUUGCUUGUUGCUACUUGGUAGACUUCGGCGAGGCUGCGGAUUGUUCGUUUCCGCAUAUUAUUUGAUGCGAAAGUCUCAAAGACUGUUGAUACUGUACCGAUGUUGUUGGAGUGGUUUUCCGGGGCUAGAAGCUCCUCUCGACUUUUGGCCACCUGCCGUAAUAUCCAACAUGCUCGAAGGCUAUGUGUUGGGACGGCGCCUUCUGUACUGUGAAUUUUACAGGGUCCGCUAAGCCAUUCCUCCAGUACGGUUCCGUGCCCUUUAUGGGGUUUUUGCUUUUUGGUUUUUGUAUCUGGUGCCUGAGUGUAAUGCACCCUUUUGUUGCGGACUAGGGUUGUAUUCGGGGCCGGAUUGUCCCAAAACUUAUUUUCGGUUGUCCAGAAACUCUCCAUCGCACAGUACUGUUAGGACCCCGACUCAAUGCCACAUCGAUCUAGCAUGUAACACCUCAUAUCACUUUGCGGCCUCACGCACGGUAUUCCCACGGGUGUCGCCUUACCUUUGCCCGGGACCGUUUGCGCCUUUUGGCACACGUAUAUGAUAGUGUCGCUAGCAUCCAUAUGAUAAGGAGCCCGGGCUGACAUGGCUAGUCGUAAACCCAAAGUGGCACAAACUUACAGGGACAGGCAUCCAUGACCCAGCAUCGAACGUGUCGGUCAUCAGCGAGUGAAUCCAGGCUGUAGCACUGGGCUAGCAGAACUCCGGUGAACCGGGCUGCAGCGGGCUAACAGGACUCCGGUAUUCAUCGCGUGACAUUUCCUCGAAGGGACAGACACAGGAACGAAGAAGACACAUGCCGGCCAGCCUAAGUGUUUCGGAGCAGUAGCAAGCUACCAUGGCUCAGUGGAAACACUAGGAUACAUUUCCCGGUAAGAGAGGCUUCCAAGGAUAAACAACUAGGUUGUCAGAUCCCACACAUACCAAGCAUUUCAAUAACAUACACACAAUAUGCUCGAUAUGUGCAAAUACAACAUGGCAUCACAACAUGACUCUACGACUCAAGUAUUUUAUUGAAUAGGCUCCGAGGAGCGAGAUAUUACAAACAUGGGUCUCUCGACCCAGCAUUCAAAGCAUACAAGUCAGAGCACAAGCGGAAGCUUAACAUGUCUGAGUACAGACAUCUAUAAAUGAAAAAGGCUGAAAAGCCUGACUAACUACCAGAUCCUGCCGAGGGCACAAGAUCGUAGCUGAGGUAACAAGCUAAACGUCAAAGUCCACGCGGUACUACUGGCAAGACUGAAGUCUCUAUGCAAAAACAUAAAAUAGGCAAACGUGAGUACAAAUGUACCCAGCAAGACUUACAUCAGAUCUAUCUACAUAUGCAUCAUUAUCAACAAAGGGGAUGGUGGGGUUUAACUGCAGCAAGCCAGCUUUGACUCGGUGGCUAUCCUGAACUACGACUGCAAGUAACUCUUUUGAGGUGGCGCACACGAGUCCACAUAUUCACCAUAUCAAUACACCACUAUGGAUCCGCUCCCGUCUCCCUACGAGAACGCCAUCCAUAGCACUCACACUUAUCUUGCGCAUUUUUAGAGUAUCCAAUUUCACUUGUCUAUGAACUGUACAGGCAACCCAGAAGUCCUUUUCCACGGACACGGCUAUUCGAAUAGAUUAUAUUAACCCUGCAGGGGUGUACUUCUUCACACACGCUCUCACCACUUACCGGCGUUUACACGACAUGUACUCGGCAACCUUCAAGCGGAAGCCCAGCGAGGGUGUCGGCCACGACCUGACUAACCACACAAGUCUCUCGUCCAGGUUUAUCGCCUGUUCGGGUUCCAUCCGCGAGGAGAUCCGGCCGGGGUGUCGCUCACGGCCCCAAACGAUGUGUGCAGGGUUCCCAAGUCCACCAUCCGGGUGCCACUUGGUACACCGGGCCACUGUGCCUAGUCUGUCCCAAGCCCACCUGUACCGGGUGCCACUUGGUAGACUACUAACACUACCUACAAACACCAGAAACUAGUUGCAACUCCUGGACAGAGAUCAUGUUGAUUAAUAAGUCGAGAGGGGUCGAGUUACCGGAACCCAAUGUGUGGUAGUAACUGAUCAUGGAUCACAAACACAGAACUCGGUUCCUGAGGACGGCUGCAAUGAGACAACCCACCAUGUACUCCUACAUGGCCUCUCACCGCUACCUUUACCAAAUCGUGUUCACACACUUAGCUCUCAACAGUAGGACAUGUCCACACAUCUCUGAUUCAUCCCCGAUGAAUCAGACCUGACACAACUCUAAGCAAUAGCAGGCAUGACAAACAAGCAUGAAUGAGUAGGCACAUCAGGGCUCAAACAACUCCUACUCAUGCUAGUGAGUUUCAUCUAUUUACUUUGGCAAUGACAGGUCAUGCAAAGGAUAAAGGGGUUCAGCUACCGCAGCAAGUAACAGAUGAAUCGUUGUUGUCCUAAUGCAGUAAAAGAGAGCAGGAGCGAGAGAGUGGGAUUGUAUCGGAAUGAACAAGGGGGUUUUGCUUGCCUGGCACUUCUGAAGAUAAUAUAGUUCUUCAUCGGUGUCAUCGAACUCAUCGUCGGAACGUCGUCUACUGAGAGGGGACAAACACCGACAAACAAGGAAAAACACAAUCAAUGCAAUGCACAAUAUGAUGCAUGAUCAUGACAUGGUAAUAUGCUGUGUUUUGAGCUAAUGCAACUAGCAACAGGUUAAAUGAAGUUGGUUUGAAUCAAAGAUUCAAAUUCAAACUCCAUAUGUGGAUAUUUAAAUGCCAUUUAAUUGAAUUGUCCUAAACAGUAGUCAUAAGUUGCUCUAACAUGCAAGAAAAUGGUACAUAUGGAUAGAUUGGAUUUUUCUGAUCAUUUUUCAUAUAUAAAUUAUUUCAUUUCGAGUUGCGGUUGAUUUUAUAUGAUUUUUAGAAGUUUUGGGCAUUUUCUGAAAAUAAUAAAUCAUUUCUGAUUUAUUAAAAUCCUAGAAACAAAUACUGCGUCAGCAUGACGUAUUAGUGACAUCAGCAGGUCAACUGGGCGCCUCCAGGUCAAACCUGACCAGUGGGGUCCACUGGUCAGUGACUGGGGCUAGUUAGUGACACUGACAGGUGGGCCAGAUCAACGGCCACGUCAGCUGGGUUAACUGUGACACGUGGGUCCCGCUGAGUUAAUCUAAAGUAAAUAGGAAAUAGAACCCGGGGUUAAUUAGGGCGUGGGGCCCAUGUGUCAGUGAGCUACGGGUGUAGUUAGUGGCGUCAUUAGCCACUAAUGGCGGUGCCACGUCAGCUCGCCGGAGUGUCGCCAGCGACGACCAUGGCCGACGGCGGAGAUGCACCCUGUGCUCGCUACGGAGCACAAUUCGACGCGUGGUUUGCUCCUACGGGUAGCUAAAGGUGCGCCGCAUCCAGCUGGGCGAGCGGCAGCGGCUGUGGUGGCCGGAGGUCACCGGAAACGAGCUCGCGGCGGCGCCGGAGUUCGGACCUCAACGAGAAUGGAGCUCCGGUGCACGGGGAAACUAGUGGAGGGUCUCAGCAGACUCCUGACGAUGCGAGGAGCACAAAUAUGUGCUCGGCCGUGACAGAUGCUAGCUCAAACGACGACGAGCUACGCGGCGGCGGCAUGGAGCUCUCGGCCACGACGGGGCUAUGGCCUAGAGGUCAAAAGCGACCAGGGAAGAAGGGGGAAAUGACUCAGGGGCUCACCGCGAGUCCGUUGGGAGGGUUAGUGGGCUCAAAGAUGUCUUGUCGGGGGCGAAUCGACGACGGCGAUCGACGGGGCCGAAGGUUGAAGAAGGCGGCGGUGUGGGCGUUCGGGGGCGUCCGGCGGUGCGUGUGUCCUUGAGGAGGCGUAGACGACGGAGGUGGAGCUCCUGGACAGUUGGGAAGGCUAGGCAGUGGCUGUGGCCGCGGCGAACAGCGUCGAUGGCGAUGGUGGCGUUCGACCAUGGCUGCGGGCAAGCGAGGGGGAGAGCCAGGAAAUAGGGGGGAGAACAGAGGGGGUCGAGGCGUCUCCAGGCGCGGGGACAGGGAGGAGGUUGAGCCUCCAGCGCGAAGGAGGAGGUGGAACCUGCGUGCGCGGGCGCUUUCUCACGGCGAAAGCAGCAGCUUUGGGGCGAGGGGAGGAAGACGACAGUAGGUCGCGGUGGGCUGGGCCAGCAGUGUUGGGCCGUGCAGGAGCUGAGCCAGCCAGGUAGGUCCAGGUAAGCAACAGGUAGGUCUUCUGCUCUUUUUUUAUUUUUGUUCUGUUUUGUUUUAUUUAAUUGCCAAUGAAUUCUAAUUCAAACAAAAUUUGAAAACAGUGCCAAAACUCCCCUGGAUAUUUUUAAGUCACUUAAUGGACUUCUCCACAUAUACAUAAAAUAUCUCAGGUCAUUUGAAAAUAUAUUCAUUAUAUAUUAUGAAUAUAAUUCCAAAUUCAAAUAGAAUAUGAUUUAAAUUCAAUGUCCCAAAAUAUUCCAAAAAAUGUUCCAAAAUUUUGGUUUGAUAUAUAUCUCUUGCCAAAAUUACCAAAAUGAUUUUUAGGACAUUUAGGAAUCACUGAAUGCAAUUUGAAGGGUUCUUGCCCUUCUUUUAAAAGUUUUUGAGGCUUUCUAAUUUCCUCAGUUCAAGUUUCAGAAAUUUAGACAUGAUUCAUGAGUGCUCUAUGAUGCAACUAAUACAAGCAAUAAUCUAGGGCUGUGACAACUCACCCCCACUAAACAAGAAUCUCGGCCCGAGAUUCAAGCGUAGGGUAAGAUGAAGGGGGAACGCAAACUAGUAUAAUCUUCACGAUCCAGGGUGCACUUCAUAAGAGUGUUGAUUUGAUCCGCAUCUUUGUCUCGAUGUCUUCCUCUGAGAACUGCAACUAACAUGACAAGAAGAGGAAAGGAAAAACUCUAGAAGAAUCGAUCUUCUCGAAGGUCGAACAACUCAGGAUCAACUCACGGAAUGAGACAUAGCAACCUCUCUCGAGUUGAGACACGAAACAUACGCCCGAAGGGAUGGAGUAAAACAGAUGACAAAGGUUCACUAGGUAGACAACAAUUCCACACUUGAGGUGAUGGUGAAUGGUUUUCAAGAUAGCGAUGAGAUAAUUGCCAUGAUUCCAUAACGGGGCACCUUAGAGAAGGUGACUUGUAGAAAUAUCCCCUUAAGUGGCAAAAGAAUUACCUUUGAUUUAGAGAUCAUUGAGAUUCUUUAUACCAGCCUAAGGCAAUCCUCAAGCGAUCAUUUGGAGGGGGUCGGUAGAAUGACAUACCCGGAUUAGAAUGGAUGAUGUGGAUUACCUUGUCGAAAACAACACAAGGGAUGAUUUUGCUUGUGCGUGCUCUCAAGAACUUGAGCAUCUCCAUAUUCAUCAAGGUUUUACCAAUAUCCGUGUCAAGGAUCCUGGCAACACAACAUACUACCAUGAUGAAUACUGGUGGAAGAUGCAGAUGCAAAGGAAGAUAACACCUUCUCAGAUUUCACCUUAGCGAGGCCAAGGAAACAAAAUCUGGAUAAUCGACCGAGAGACAUUUAGCACUCCGCUUCUAAUGUUCUCCUUGAUGUGCUAGCAUACCCAUUUAUUGAAAUGGUUUGAUAUCUAGAACAUCAAGUAAAAGGUCGGACUUCGGGAACACAAAAUCCAUAAGGAACAACUACUUGAGUAAAUCCUAGGAAAUCCUUAUGGGGAGGUGGCCAACUUCCUCAAUCAAGAUACUACAAUAAUAGGUCUUCCGGCUGGGUGUGUUGGCCAUGACAUCCAUUUUACCGGUUACGGUGAGACCAGUAUUAUAGUUCUUGGGAAACGUUCCAACCAUCAUAUCUGCCUGAGAUUCAGAUCUGGUUAAUGUCAGGAUAUUCCAGACUCAUCGAGUCCAGAAAGAAAAUGAAAGUUUGCAGCACAAUCGACGAGAUGACGUUGCGAGAUUCUCGGGAAAUGAACUACGAUAGUAAGCUCCAAAACAUGAGCUGGUUCUGCUACAAACAUGCGAACACAUUGUCCUAGACAAACAUUAUCCCAUGGUAGUCUUAUAAUAAAACACUACCGAGUUCCGGUGGGGAACCAUCAUCGAGGAUAUCGAAGUCCUUGUGCACUUAUCGAUGAACUUCUUAUCCUUGAGCAAGUCAAUCAGUGGCUUGGCGUGCUCGGGACACAUAUGGAAUGAAGGUUGCAAGUCUCCAGACCACAGAAUACUUCGCACGUGUGCAUGACUGACUUGGGAUGAUUCCAGAGGAAGCAAAACUAACUUUCUCUAACUCACGGCGGCAACUUGCAUUAAAUGCACAUGAUCUAGAGGAAGUCACUUCUUUCAUCCGAACAUAUGCUUCAUGAACUAGCAUGAAGAAAAUGCUUUCAAAAGUUUCCAACACUAACUUAUUGUCCAACAAGAUCUUGGAGAAGAAUAAAUGAUGUUGAUGGGAUCAACAACAAAUCAUCGAGAUUUCCAUGAAGAUGGAAUUCCACGACUAGGUGAACAAGGUGAUAGCAUUGGUCAGACCAAAAGAUGUAAUGGUGUAUGCCCGAGGGUUCAACCAUGAAUAAGACAACAUUACGAGCAUCGUUGGUUCUGACUUGAUUUGAGGAUAGCUCACGCCCAAAUCAAAGGUUGGACAAGACAAUAGAUCCAACAACUGAUCACGAGGAGCAACUGAUGAAGAUAUCAUCUUUCUUCAACACACACACAAAAGAUAUCCCUUAAAAUGAACUGAGUCGGACAAGUUUUUUUUUCUUCCAACUCUCCAAGUUGUUGUUUAGCUUAUCCAACUAGCUCAGGGUAUCCAACACGGAUUCUUGGAGAAAGGGUGGUUUCGAAAACCAACUUGGUCACGAGCUCAACAUAGCGGUCAGUGACAACCUGGUGAUACUUCCGAGAAGAUAAUCGAAAAAUCACGAACCACCGAUAUGCUAUUAGGCUCGAGAACAAUCUUGCUUUUCAGGGCAAGACGAUAUGAUCACAAGAGCUAGGGAUUGGCACAAUCCCAACUCAUUGAUCGAGGAGUGCACCGGAAAUAACGACUAGGUAGCACGAUCAGUCUUAGAAUGAUGAUUCAAAAACCAACACGCUAAGAAUGAAAUUAUUGCCCUUUAACUACCAAGCAACAAGGUUGCUAGGAGUAUUGAUUUCACACAUCACGAUUCACUUGUCGGCAUUCCGGUUCAACAACACGGGGACCGAGAAAUGAAUAAUGAUGGCGAGAAGUAUCACUGCACCAAGAAUUCAUAAGAUGAUGUGUAAUUCCUAUGACUUUCUUGACAUAAAGAGGGUAAUACUUCAGAGUAGAACAGAACAAAAACUGGAUUAGUAUUUGAUCUGCGGAGUAUGACUACUUUGACCCAAUCCUAGAUAUGGAUGAGGUAUUAGAGUUCAUUUCUCCUAGUCAUUCUGGGAUAGAAUGGCUUGACAGAACACAAGAAUAAUAGGCAUCAAACAACACGAAUGCACGACAUAAACUUGACUAUCAACUGAUAGACAAGGAUCGGAAGACAAUUAAAGCGGGACAACUCAAAGGAACAUACAGUUUUCUGAGUAGUGGAUGCAUAGGUUAGUAUGUCGAAACAAGUUCAACAAGUUUCUUCCGGAUAACCCAUGCAGAAAAGUAGAACUGGCUGAGUCACAAUAUAGAAUGAAGCACUCAUCGAGAGCACUCCUGUUAUGAUAUUUUGAUCCAAGAAACUUCUGCCAUAAAGUGGUUCAUAGUAUUUGGAAGAAGGAAAUACCACGAACCUUGAGGACUAAUGCAAAGGUUACUAAUAACCUAAAGGAACGAGCAAACACUAUCAACAUGAAGUGAGUAGGGUGAGUUUCGGGUUCAAGACCCACGAGUAGAAUACCUACUAACUAAAUUGCAUCACGGGACGCUUUCGAGAAUGAUGGCCAGAAUCAUCACACUGGGAAUACAAAACGUGGCUAGAUUACUAGGUGAUACUCUAGAUACCUAGGGUCAUAAUAAUGAUUCCAACAUAUAUGUCGAGGCAAUAGAAUACCUCAACUCAACAAUUAGUGUGAUUAACCUGGCCCAAAGGAACAUCAAAACCAUAGGGAAAGGAUUUGCAAGUGCAUCAGACUAUAUAGAAACCUGGAAUGACUCGGACAGCAUAACGGCUGUAAAUGCUCAAAAGAUUGGAGACAUGCUACAAAAAUGGUGGCAUAGCCACUCAGAAGCACAAUAUCAAGGUUUCAAGAUCAACAGUUAACAUACAGAGGAUAGUAGGAACUGAACUCAAGCUUAGAACCAUCAAUCCUAUAGGUCUACGGAUUAGUAACACGUGAUCCUGAUAGAAGAAAGAGAAAGCCUAGUUCCUUAACCCCGUAGGAAAGAUAGGAUGACUCAGAUCAUAAGGGCAUAAGGUAUAAGGAGUAAAAGAGCCUUACGUUCCAUCCCACAAUCAAUUCCCUUAUAUAAGUAAAGAAUUUCUAGACUCAACUUCGACCAGUUUGGCUUGGUAAUCCUACAGGCAGUCAAGCUCUGAUACCAAAGCUGUCAGGACCCCGACUCAAUGACACAUCGAUCUAGCAUGUAACACCUUGUAUCACUUUGCGGCCUCACGCACGGUAUUCCCACGGGUGUCGCCUUACCUUUGCCUGGGACCGUUUGCACCUUUUGGCACACGUAUAUGAUAGUGUCGCUAGCAUCCAUAUGAUAAGGAGCCCGGGCUGACAUGGCUAGUCGUAAACCCAAAGUGGCGCAAACUUACAGGGACAGGCAUCCAUGACCCAGCAUCGAACGUGUCGGUCAUCAGCAAGUGAAUCCAGGCUGUAGCACUGGGCUAGCAGGACUCCGGUGAACCGGGCUGCAGCGGGCUAACAGGACUCUGGUAUUCAUCGUGUGAUAUUUCCCCGAAGGGACAGACACAGGAACGAAGAAGGACACAUGCCGGCCAGCCUAAGUGUUCCGAAGCAGUAGCAAGCUACCAUGGCUCAGUGGAAACACUAGGAGACAUUUCCCGGUAAGAGAGGCUACCAUGGAUAAACAACUAGGUUGUCAGAUCCCACACAUACCAAGCAUUUCAAUAACAUACACACAAUAUGCUCGAUAUGUGCAAAUACAACAUGGCAUCACAACAUGACUCUAUGACUCAAGUAUUUUAUUCAAUAGGCUUCGAGGAGCGAGAUAUUACAAACAUGGGUCUCUCGACCCAGCAUUCAGAGCAUACAAGUCAGAGCACAAGAGGAAGCUUAACAUGUCUGAGUACAGACAUCUAUAAAUGAAAAAGGCUGAAAAGCCUGACUAACUACCAGAUCCUGCCGAGGGCACAAGAUCGUAGCUGAGGUAACAAGCUAAACAUCGAAGUCCACGCGGUACUACUAGCGAGACUGAAGUCUCUCUGCGAAAACAUAAAAUAGGCAAACGUGAGUACAAAUGUACCCAGCAAGACUUACAUCAGAUCUAUCUACAUAUGCAUCAUUAUCAACAAAGGGGAUGGUGGGGUUUAACUGCAGCAAGCCAUCUUUGACUCGGUGGCUAUCCUGAACUACGACUGCAAGUAACUCUUUUGAGGUGGCGCACACGAGUCCACAUAUUCACCAUAUCAAUACACCACUAUGGAUCCGCUCCCGUCUCCCUACGAGAACGCCAUCCAUAGCACUCACACUUAUCUUGCGCAUUUUUAGAGUAUCCAAUUUCACUUGUCUAUGAACUGUACAGGCAACCCAGAAGUCCUUUUCUGGGGACACAACUAUUCGAAUAGAUUAUAUUAACCCUGCAGGGGUGUACUUCUUCACACAUGCUCUCACCACUUACCGCCGUUUACACGACAUGUACUCGGCAACCUUCAAGCGGAAGCCCAGCGAGGGUGUCGGCCACGACCUGACUAACCACACAAGUCUCUCGUCCAGGUUUAUCGCCUAUUCGGGUUCCAUCUGCGAGGAGAUCCGGCCGGGGUGUCGCUCACGGCCCCAAACGAUGUGUGCAGGGUUCCCAAGUCCACCAUCCGGGUGCCACUUGGUACACCGGGCCACUGUGCCUAGUCUGUCCCAAGCCCACCUGUACCGGGUGCCACUUGGUAGACUACUAACACUACCUACAAACACCAGAAACUAGUUGCAACUCUUGGACAGAGACCAUGUUGAUUAAUAAGUCGAGAGGGGUCGAGUUACCGGAACCCAAUGUGUGGUAGUAACUGAUCAUGGAUCACAAACACAAAACUCAGUUCCUGAGGAUGGCUGCAAUGAGACAACCCACCAUGUACUCCUACAUGGCCUCUCACCGCUACCUUUACCAAAUCGUGUUCACACACUUAGCUCUCAACAGUAGGACAUGUCCACACAUCUCUGAUUCAUCCCCGAUGAAUCAGACCUGACACAACUCUAAGCAAUAGCAGGCAUGACAAACAAGCAUGAAUGAGUAGGCACAUCAGGGCUCAAACAACUCCUACUCAUGCUAGUGGGUUUCAUCUAUUUACUGUGGCAAUGACAGGUCAUGCAAAGGAUAAAGGGGUUCAGCUACCGCAGCAAGUAACAGAUGAAUCGUUGUUGUCCUAAUGCAGUAAAAGAGAGCAGGAGCGAGAGAGUGGGAUUGUAUCAGAAUGAACAAGGGGGUUUUGCUUGCCUGGCACUUCUGAAGAUAAUAUAGUUCUUCAUCGGUGUCAUCGAACUCAUCGUCGGAACGUCGUCUACUAAGAGGGGACAAACACCGACAAACAAGGAAAAACACAAUCAAUGCAAUGCACAAUAUGAUGCAUGAUCAUGACAUGGCAAUAUGCUGUGUUUUGAGCUAAUGCAACUAGCAACAGGUUAAAUGAAGUUGGUUUGAAUCAAAGAUUCAAAUUCAAACUCCAUAUGUGGAUAUUUAAAUGCCAUUUAAUUGAAUUGUCCUAAACAGUAGUCAUAAGUUGCUCUAACAUGCAUGAAAAUGGUACAGAUGGAUAGAUUGGAUUUUUCUGAUCAUUUUUCAUAUAUAAAUUAUUUCAUUCGGAGUUGCGGUUGAUUUUAUAUGAUUUUUAGAAGUUUUCGGCAUUUUCUGAAAAUAAUAAAUCAUUUCUGAUUUAUUAAAAUCCAAGAAACAAAUACUGCGUCAGCAUGAGGUCAACUGGGCGCCUCCAGGUCAAACCUGACCAGUGGGGUCCACUGGUCAGUGACUGGGGCUAGUUAGUGACACUGACAGGUGGGCCAAGUCAACGGCCACGUCAGCUGGGUUAACUCUGACGCGUGGGUCCCGCUGAGUUAAUCUAAAGUAAAUAGGAAAUAGAACCCGGGGUUAAUUAGGGCGUGGGGCCCAUGUGUCAGUGAGCUACGGGUGUAGUUAGUGGCGUCAUUAGCCACUAAUGGCGGUGCCACGUCAGCUCGCCGGAGUGUCGCCGGCGACGACCAUGGCCGACGGCGGAGAUGCACCGUGUGCUCGCUACAGAGCACUAUUCGACGCGUGGUUUGCUCCUACAGGUAGCUAAAGGUGCACCGCAUCCAGUUGGGUGAGCGGCAGCGGCUGUGGUGGCCGGAGCUCACCGGAAACGAGCUCGCGGCGGCGCCGGAGUUCGGACCUCAACGAGAAUGGAGCUCCAGUGCACGGGGAAACUAGUGGAGGGUCUCAGCAGACUCCUGAUGAUGCGAGAAGCACAAAUAUGUGCUCGGCCGUGACAGAUGCUAGCUCAAACGACGACGAGCUACGCGGCGGCGGCAUGGAGCUCUCGGCCACGACGGGGCUAUGGCCUAGAGGUCAAAAGCGACCAGGGAAGAAGGGGGAAACGACUCAGGGGCUCACCGCGAGUCCGUUGGGAGGGUUAGUGGGCUCGAAGAUGUCUUGUCGAGGGCGAAUCGACGACGGCGAUCGACGGGGCUGAAGGUUGAAGAAGGCGGCGGUGUGGGCGUUCGGGGGCGUCCGGCGGCGCGUGUGUCCUUGAGGAGGCGUAGACGAUGGAGGUGGAGCUCCUGGACAGUUCGGAAGGCUAGGCGGUGGCUGUGGCCGCGGCGAACGGCGUUGGUGGCGAUGGUGGCAUUCGGCCAUGGCUGCGGGCAAGCGAGGGGGAGAGCCAGGAAAGAGGGGGGAGAACAGAGGGGGUCGAGGCGUCUCCAGGCGCGGGGACAGGGAGGAGGUUGAGCCUCCAGCACGAAGCAGGAGGUGGAGCCUGCGUGCGCGGGCGCUUUCUCACGGCGACAGCAGCAGCUUUGGGGCGAGGGGAGGAAGACGACAGUAGGUCGCGGUGGGCUGGGCCAGCAGUGUUGGGCCGUGCAGGAGCUGAGCCAGCCAGGUAGGUCCAGGUAAGCGACAGGUAGGUCUUCUGCUCUUUUUUUAUUUUUCUUCUGUUUUGUUUUAUUUAAUUGCCACUGAAUUCUAAUUCAAACAAAAUUUGAAAACAGUGCCAAAACUCCCCUGGAUAUUUUUAAGUCACUUAAUGGACUUCUCCACAUAUACAUAAAAUAUCUCAGGUCAUUUGAAAAUAUAUUCAUUAUAUAUUAUGAAUAUAAUUCCAAAUUCAAAUAGAAUAUGAUUUAAAUUCAAUGUCCCAAAAUAUUCCAAAAAAUGUUCCAGAAUUUUGGUUUGAUAUAUAUCUCUUGCCAAAAUUACCAAAAUGAUUUUUAGGACAUUUAGGAAUCACUGAAUGCAAUUUGAAGGGUUCUUGCCCUUCUUUUAAAAGUUUUUGAGGCUUUCUAAUUUCCUUAGUUCAAGUUUCAGAAAUUUAGACAUGAUUCAUGAGUGCUCUAUGAUGCAACUAAUACAAGCAAUAAUCUAGGGCUGUGACAAGUACUUACUAUGAACGCCAGGUCGGCGAAGCAUGUAAUUUCACGACGGCUGACGACGUUCAAGAUUCCCUCGUCCGUGCAAUUAUUGCAAAAAAUUGAGAUUGCGUUUUCCUCUCGGCAGUCCUUUAUCCUGUCCAUAACCAGGAGGAAUCUGGCCCAGUAGUGAUGUACUGUCUCAGCGGGCUCUUGCCGGAUUAGAGAUAGAUCGCAUUGAAGGAAAUAUGUCCUAGAGGCAAUAAUAAAGUUAUUAUUUAUUUCCUUAUUUCAUGAUAAAUGUUUAUUAUUCAUGCUAUAAUUGUAUUAACCGGAAACAUGAUACAUGUAUGAAUACAUAGACAAACAUAUAGUCACUAGUAUGCCUCUACUUGACUAGCUCAUUAAUCAAAGAUGGUUUUCUUUCCUAACCAUAGACAUGUGUUGUCAUUUGAUUAAUGGGAUCACAUCAUUAGGAGAAUGAUGUGAUUGACAUGACCCAUUCUGUUAGCCUAGCACUUGAUCGUUUAGUAUAUUGCUAUUGCUUUCUUCAUGACUUAUACAUGUUCCUGUAACUAUGAGAAUUAUGCAACUCCCGUUUAUCGGAGGAACACUUUGGGUACUACCAAACGUCACAACGUAACUGGGUAAUUAUAAAGGAGUACUACAGGUGUCUCCGAAGGUACAUGUUGAGUUGGCGUAUUUCGAGAUUAGGUUUUGUCACUCCGAUUGUCGGAGAGGUAUCUCUGGGCCCUCUCGGUAAUACUCAUCACUUAAGCCUUGCAAGCAUUAUAACUAAUAAGUUAGUUAUGAGAUGACGUAUUACAGAACGAGUAAAGAGACUUGCCGGUAACGAGAUAUUGGAUACCGACGAUCAAAUCUCGGGCAAGUAACAUACCGAUGACAAAGGGAACAACGUAUGUUGUUAUGCGGUUUGACCGAUAAAGAUCUUCGUAGAAUAUGUAGGAACCAGUAUGGGCAUCCAGGUCCCGCUAUUGGUUAUUGACCGAGAAGGGUUCUAGGUCAUGUCUACAUAGUUCUCGAACCCGUAGGGUCCGCACGCUUAACGUUACGAUGACAGUUUUAUUAUGAGUUUAUAAGUUUUGAUGUAUCGAAGUUUGUUCGGAGUCCCGGAUGUGAUCACGGACAUGACAAGGAGUCUCGAAAUGGUCGAGACAUAAAGAUUGAUAUACUGGAUGACUAUAUUCGGACACAGGAAGUGUUCCGGGUGAUUUCGGAGAAAACCGGAGUGCCNNNNNNNNNNNNNNNNNNNNNNNNNNNNNNNNNNNNNNNNNNNNNNNNNNNNNNNNNNNNNNNNNNNNNNNNNNNNNNNNNNNNNNNNNNNNNNNNNNNNNNNNNNNNNNNNNNNNNNNNNNNNNNNNNNNNNNNNNNNNNNNNNNNNNNNNNNNNNNNNNNNNNNNNNNNNNNNNNNNNNNNNNNNNNNNNNNNNNNNNNNNNNNNNNNNNNNNNNNNNNNNNNNNNNNNNNNNNNNNNNNNNNNNNNNNNNNNNNNNNNNNNNNNNNNNNNNNNNNNNNNNNNNNNNNNNNNNNNNNNNNNNNNNNNNNNNNNNNNNNNCCCUCCUAGUAGGAGUAGGAAAGGAGGAGUCCUACUCCUACUAGGAGGAGGACCCCUCCUCCUGGCGCGCCCAACAAGGGCCGGCCGGCCUCCCCCCUCCCUCCUUUAUAUACGGGGGCAGGGGGCACCCCAUGACACACAAGUUGAUCUACGGAUCGUUCCUUAGCCGUGUGCGGUGCCCCCCUCCACCAUAUCCCACCUCGGUCAUAUCGUUGCGGAGUUUAGACGAAGCCCUGCGCCGGUAGAACAUCAUCAUUGUCACCACGCCGUUGUGCUGACGGAACUCUUCCCCGAAGCUUUGCUGGAUCGGAGCCCGGGGAUCGUCAUCGAGCUGAACGUGUGCUGAACUCGGAGGUGCCGUACGUUCGGUGCUUGGAUCGGUCGGAUCGUGAAGACGUACGACUACAUCAACCGCGUUGUCAUAACACUUCCGCUUACGGUCUACGAGGGUACGUGGACGAACACUCUCCCCUCUCGUUGCUAUGCCAUCACCAUGAUCUUGCAUGUGCGUAGGAAUUUUUUUGAAAUUACUACGUUCCCCAACAGUGGCAACCAAGCCUAGGUUUUAUGCGUUGAUGUUAUAUGCACGAGUAGAACACAAGUGAGUUGUGGGCGAUAUAAGUCAUACUGCUUACCAGCAUGUCAUACUUUGGUUCAGCGGCAUUGUGAGAUGAAGCGGCCCGGACCGACAUUACGCGUACGCUUACGCGAGACUGGUUUCACCGCUACGAGCUCGUUGCUUAAAGGUGACCGGCGGGUGUCUGUCUCUCUCACUUUAGCUGAAUCGAGUGUGGCUACGCCCGGUCCUUGCGAAGGUUAAAACAGCACCAACUUGACAAACUAUCGUUGUGGUUUUUGAUGCGUAGGUAAAAACGGUUCUUGCUAAGCCCGUAACAGCCACGUAAAACUUGCAACAACAAAGUAGAGGACGUCUAACUUGUUUUUGCAGGGCAUGUUGUGAUGUGAUAUGGUCAAGACGUGAUGCUAUAUUUUAUUGUAUGAGAUGAUCAUGUUUUGUAACCGAAGUUAUCGGCAACUGGCAGGAGCCAUAUGGUUGUCGCUUUAUUGUAUGAAAUGCAAACGCCUUGUAAUUGCUUUACUUUAUCACUAAGCGGGAGCGAUAGUCGUAGAAGCAAUAGUUGGCGAGACGACAACGAUGCUACGAUGAAGAUCAAGGUGUCGCGCCGGUGACGAUGGUGAUCAUGACGGUGCUUCGGAGAUGGAGAUCACAAGCACAAGAUGAUGAUGGCCAUAUCAUAUCACUUAUAUUGAUUGCAUGUGAUGUUUAUCCUUUAUGCAUCUUAUCUUGCUUUGAUUGAUGGUAGCAUUUUAAGAUGAUCUCUCACUAAUUAUCAAGAAGUGUUCUCCCUGAGUAUGCACCGUUGCCAAAGUUCGUCGUGCCCAAACACCAUGUGAUGAUCGGGUGUGAUAAGCUCUACGUCCAUCUACAACGGGUGCAAGCCAGUUUUGCACACGCAGAAUACUCGGGUUAAACUUGACGAGCCUAGCAUAUGCAGAUAUGGCCUCGGAACACGGAGACCGAAAGGUCGAGCGUGAAUCAUAUAGUAGAUAUGAUCAACAUAGUGAUGUUCACCAUUGAAAACUACUCCAUCUCACGUGAUGAUCGGUUAUGGUUAGUUGAUUUGGAUCACGUGAUCACUUAGAAGAUUAGAGGGAUGUCUUUCUAAGUGGGAGUUCUUAAGUAAUAUGAUUAAUUGAACUUUAAUUUAUCAUGAACUUAGUCCUGGUAGUAUUUUGCAAAUUAUGUUGUAGAUCAAUAGCUUGCGUUGUUGCUUUCAUAUGUUUAUUUUGAUAUGUUCCUAGAGAAAAUUGUGUUGAAAAAUGUUAGUAGCAAUGAUGCGGAUUGGAUCCGUGAUCUGAGGUUUAUCCUCAUUGCUGCGCAGAAGAAUUAUGUCCUUGAUGCACCGCUAGGUGACAAACCUAUUGCAGGAGCAGAUGCAGACGUUAUGAACGUUUGGCUAGCUCAAUAUGAUGACUACUUGAUAGUUUAGUGCACCAUGCUUAACAGCUUAGAAUCGGGACUUCAAAGACAUUUUGAACGUCAUGGACCAUAUGAGAUGUUCCAGGAAUUGAAGUUAAUAUUUCAAGCAAAUACCCGAGUUGAGAGAUAAGAAGUCUCCAACAAGUUCUAUUGCUAAAAGAUGGAGGAGAAUCGCUCAACUAGUGAGCAUGUGCUCAGAUUGUCUGGGUACUACAAUCGCUUGAAUCAAGUGGGAGUUAAUCUUCCAGAUAAGAUAGUGAUUGAUAGAGUUCUCUAGUCACCAUCGCCAAGUUAGUAGAACUUCGUGAUGAACUAUAAUAUGCAAGGGAUGACGAAAGUAAUUCCCAAGCUCUUCGUGAUGCUGAAAUCGAUGAAGGUAGAAAUCAAGAAAAGAGCAUCAAGUGUUGAUGAUUGACAAGACCACUAGUUUCAAGAAAAGGGCAAAGGGAAAGAAAGGGAACUUCAAGUAGAAUGACAAGCAAGUUGUCGCUCCCACGAAGAAGCCCAAAGCUGGACCAAGCCUGAAACUGAGUGCUUCUACUACAAAGGAAAUGAUCACUGGAAGUGGAACUGCCCCAAGUAUUUGGCAGAUAAGAAGGAUGGCAAAAGUGAACAAAUGUAUAUUGGAUAUACAUGUUAUUGAUGUGUACUUUACUAGUGUUUAUAGCAACCCCUCAGCAUUUUGAUACUGGUUCAGUUGCUAAGAGUAGUAACUCGAAACGGAAGUUGCAGAAUAAACAGAAAAUAGUAAAAAGGCGAGGUGACGAUGUGUGUUGGAAGUAGUUCCAAGAUUGAUAUGAUCAUCAUCGCACACUCCCUAUACUUUCGGGAUUAGUGUUGAAACUAAAUAAGUGUUAUUUGGUGUUUGCGUUGAGCAUGAAUAUGAUUUGAUCAUGUUUAUUGCAAUAUGGUUAUUCAUUUAAGUAAGAGAAUAAAUUGUUGUUCUGCUUACAUGAAUAAAACCUUAUAUGGUCACACACCCAAUGAAAAUGGUUCGUUGGAUCUCGAUCGUAGUGAUACACAUAUUCAUAAUAUUGAAACCAAAAGAUGCAAAGUUAAUAAUGAUAGUGCAACUUAUUUGUGGCACUGCAGUUUAGGUCAUAUUGGUGUAAAGCGCAUGAAGAAACUCCAUGCUGAUGGGAUUUUGGAAUCACUUGAUUAUGAAUCACUUGAUGCUUGCGAACCAUGCCUUAUGGGCAAGAUGACUAAAGACUCCGUUCUUCGGAACAAUAGAGCGAGCAACUGACUUAUUGGAAAUAAUACAUACUGAUGUAUGCGAUCCGAUGAGUGUUGAGGCUCGCGGCAAGUAUCAUUAUUUUCUGACCUUCACAGAUGAUUUGAGCAGAUAUGGGUAUAUCUACUUAAUGAAACAUAAGACUGAAACGUUUGAAAAGUUCAAAGAAUUUCAGAGUGAAGUUGAAAAUCAUCGUAACAAGAAAAUAAAUUUCUACGAUCUGAUCGUGGAGGAGAAUAUUUGAGUUACGAGUUUGGUCUACAUUUGAAACAAUGCGGAAUAGUUUCGCAACUCACGCCACCCGGAACACCACAGUGUAAUGGUGUGUCCGAACGUCAUAACCAUACUUUAUUGGAUAUUGUACAAUCUAUGAUGUUUCUUACCGAUUUACCACUAUCGUUUUGGGGUUAUGCAUUAGAGACAGCUGCAUUCACGUUUAAUAGGGCACCAUCUAAAUCCGUUGAGACGACACCGUAUGAACUAUGGUUUAGCAGUAAACCUAAGCUGUCGUUUCUUAAAGUUUGGAGUUGCGAUGCUUAUAUGAAAAAAGGUUUUCAACUCGAUAAGCUCGAAACCAAAUCGGAGAAGUGCGUCUUCAUAGAAUACCCAAACGAAACUGUUGGGUACACCUUCUAUCACAGAUCCGAAGGCAAAACAUUCGUUGCCAAGAAUGGAUCCUUUCUAGAGAAGAAGUUUCUCUCGAAAGAAGUGAGUGGGAGGAAAGUACAACUUGAUGAGGUAACUGUACCUGCUCCCUUAUUGGAAAUUAGUUCAUCACAAAAAUCUAUUCCUGUGACUACUACACCAAUUAGUGAGGAAGUUAAUGAUGAUGAUCACGAAACUUCAGAUUAAGUUACUACAGAACCUCGUAGGUCUUACAGAGUAAGAUCCGCACCAGAGUGGUACGGUAAUCCUGUUCUGGAAGUUAUGUUACUAGACCAUGACGAACCUACGAACUAUGAAGAAGCGAUGGUGAGCCCAGAUUCCGCAAAAUGGCUUGAGGCCAUGAGAUCUGAGAUAAGAUCCAUGUAUGAAAACAAAGUAUGGACUUUGAUUGGCUUGCCCAAUGAUCGGUGAGACAUUGAGAUUAAAUGGAUCUUCAAGAGGAAGACGGAUGAUGAUAGUGUUACUAUCUACAAAGCUAGAAUUGUCGCAAAAGGUUUUCGACAAGUUCAAGAUGUUGACUACAAUGAGAGUUUUUCACUCGUAUCUAUGCUUAAGUCUGUCCGAAUCAUGUUAGCAAUUGCCGCAUUUUAUGAAAUCUGGCAAAUGGAUAAACAAAACUGCAUUCCUUAAUGGUUUUAUUAAAGAAAAUUUGUAUAUGAUGCAACCAAAAGGUUUUGUCAAUCCUAAAGGUGCUAACAAAAUAUGCAAGCUCCAGCAAUCCAUCUAUGGACUGGUGCAAGCAUCUCAGACUUGGAAUAUACGCUUUGAUAAGUUGAUUAAAGCUUAUUGUUUUGUACAGACUUACGGUGAAGCCUGUAUUUACAAGAAAGUGAGUGGGAGCACUACAACAUUUCUGAUAAGUAUAUGUGAAUGACAUAUUGUUGAUCGGAAAUAAUGUAGAAUUAUUCUGCAAAGCAUAAAGGAGUGUUUGAAAGGAGUUCUUUAAAAGAAAGACCUCGGUAAAGCUGCUUACACAUUGAGCAUCAAGAUCUAUAUAGAUAGAUCAAGACGCUUGAUAAGAUUUUUCAAUGAAUACAUACCUUGAUAAAUUUUUGAAAUAGUUCAAAAUGGAACAGUCAAAGAAGAAGUUCUUGCCUUUGUUGCAAGGUGUGAAGUUGAGUAAGACUCAAGACCCGACCAUGGCAGAAAAUAGAAAGAGAAUGAAAAGUCAUUCCCUAUGCCUCAGUCAUAGGUUCUAUAAAGUAUGCUAUGCUGUGAACCAGACAUAUUGUAUACCUUGCUCUGAGUUUGGCAAAGGAAUACAAUUUUGAUCUAAUAAGUAGAUCACUGAACAUGGGUCACGAAUAUCCUUAGUGAGGACUAAGGAGAUGUUUCUCGAUUAUGGAGGUGAUAAAAGAGUUCGUUGUAAAAGUUACAUCGGUGCAAACUUUUAUACUAAUCCAGAUGACUCUAAGUCUCAAACUGGAUACAUAUUGAAAGUGGGAGCAAUUAAGCUAGAGUAGCUCCAUGCAGAGCAUUGAAGACAUAGAAUGUUUGCAAAAUACAUACGGCUCUGAAUAUGACAGACCCGUUGACUAAGCUUUUCUCACGAGCAAAACAUGAUCAUACCUUAGUACUCUUUUGGGUGUUAAUCACAUAGCGAUGUGAACUAGAUUAUUGACUCUAGUAAACCCUUUGGGUGUUGAUAACAUGAUGAUGUGAACUAUGGGUAUUAAUCACAUGCAGAUGUGAAUAUUGGUGUUAAAUCACAUAGCGAUGUGAACUAGAUUAUUGACUAGUGCAAGUGGGAGACUGAAGGAAAUAUGCCCUAGAGGCAAUAAUAAAGUUAUUAUUUAUUUCCUUAUUUCAUGAUAAAUGUUUAUUAUUCAUGCUAUAAUUGUAUUAACCGGAAACAUGAUACAUGUGUGAAUACAUAGACAAACAUAUAGUCACUAGUAUGCCUCUACUUGACUAGCUCAUUAAUCAAAGAUGGUUUUGUUUCCUAACCAUAGACAUGUGUUGUCAUUUGAUUAAUGGGAUCACAUCAUUAGGAGAAUGAUGUGAUUGACAUGACCCAUUCUGUUAGCCUAGCAAUUGAUCGUUUAGUAUAUUGCUAUUGCUUUCUUCAUGACUUAUACAUGUUCCUGUAACUAUGAGAAUUAUGCAACUCCCGUUUACCGGAGGAACACUUUGGGUACUACCAAACAUCACAACAUAACUGGGUGAUUAUAAAGGAGUACUACAGGUGUCUCCGAAGGUACAUGUUGAGUUGGCGUAUUUCGAGAUUAGGUUUUGUCACUCCGAUUGUCGGAGAGGUAUCUCUGGGCCCUCUCGGUAAUACUCAUCACUUAAGCCUUGCAAGCAUUAUAAAUAAUAAGUUAGUUAUGAGAUGACGUAUUACAGAACGAGUAAAGAGACUUGCCGGUAACGAGAUUGAACUAGGUAUUGGAUACCGACGAUCAAAUCUCGGGCAAGUAACAUACCGAUGACAAAGGGAACAACGUAUGUUGUUAUGCGGUUUGACCGAUAAAGAUCUUCGUAGAAUAUGUAGGAACCAGUAUGGGCAUCCAGGUCCUGCUAUUGGUUAUUGACCGAGAAGGGUUCUAGGUCAUGUCUACAUAGUUCUCGAACCCGUAGGGUCCGCACGCUUAACAUUACGAUGACAGUUUUAUUAUGAGUUUAUAAGUUUUGAUGUACCGAAGUUUGUUCGGAGUCCCGGAUGUGAUCACGGACAUGACAAGGAGUCUCGAAAUGACCGAUACAUAAAGAUUGAUAUAUUGGACGACUAUAUUCGGACACCGGAAGUGUUCCGGGUGAUUUCGGAGAAAACCGGAGUGCCGGAGGGUUNNNNNNNNNNNNNNNNNNNNNNNNNNNNNNNNNNNNNNNNNNNNNNNNNNNNNNNNNNNNNNNNNNNNNNNNNNNNNNNNNNNNNNNNNNNNNNNNNNNNNNNNNNNNNNNNNNNNNNNNNNNNNNNNNNNNNNNNNNNNNNNNNNNNNNNNNNNNNNNNNNNNNNNNNNNNNNNNNNNNNNNNNNNNNNNNNNNNNNNNNNNNNNNNNNNNNNNNNNNNNNNNNNNNNNNNNNNNNNNNNNNNNNNNNNNNNNNNNNNNNNNNNNNNNNNNNNNNNNNNNNCAGGAAGGGCGCGCGCCCCCUCUCCCUCUAGUCCGAAUUGGACUAGGAAGGGGGGGCGGCGACCCCCUCUUUCCUUCCCCUCCUCUCCCCUUCCUUCCCCUCCUAGUAGGAGUAGGAAAGGAGGAGUCCUACUCCUACUAGGAGGAGGACUCCUCCUCCUGGCGCGCCCAACAAGGGCCGGCCGGCCUCCCCCUCCCUCCUUUAUAUACGGGGGCAGGGGGGCACCCCAUGACACACAAGUUGAUCUACGGAUCGUUCCUUAGCCGUGUGCGGUGCCCCCCUCCACCAUAUCCCACCUCGGUCAUAUCGUUGCGGUGUUUAGACGAAGCCCUGCGCCGGUAGAACAUCAUCAUUGUCACCACGCCGUCGUGCCGACGAAACUCUUCCCCGAAGCUUUGCUGGAUCAGAGCCCGGGGAUCGUCAUCGAGCUGAACGUGUGCUGAACUCGGAGGUGCCGUACGUUCGGUGCUUGGCUCGGUCGGAUCGUGAAGACGUACGACUACAUCAACCGCGUUGUCAUAAUGCUUCCACUUACGGUCUACGAGGGUACGUGGACGAACACUCUCCCCUCUCGUUGAUAUGCCAUCACCAUGAUCUUGCGUGUGCGUAGGAAUUUUUUUGAAAUUACUACGUUCCCCAACACGUAUAUGUCUGGGCGGGUGGGUGGAAUCAAGUCCGGAACCCUACCCAUCUCAAGGCUCGAAGGCCGAGAAGUUUCCAAAUUUGGAAGCUUGGAUUGCUGGACGUUGUCCAACGAGUCUGGUCCGAUGCCUGACUUUAGGUUCAAUGCUUGAUCGAAGUCCGUCCCUCCGCGGGAAUCCGGCAUGGGGGGUUCGGGAGCCCGGACCUGACUAGUUUUCAAUACAGGAGAAGAGUCGCCGCAUUGUUCCUCUACCACUGCAACGUGGUGGGUGACCUGGGGAGAGUUAAUCUCUCUCAGAUCGGUUUUAAGCCCCAUCUGAUUGUAGUCUGUAGCGACUCCCAGGGCAACGAUGCGAUCCAAGAGCUCGUUUACGGACGAGAGCUCUAUUGGAUCCAGCCGCUCGGCGAAUUCCAAGCGGACGUGAAGAUUGCUUUUGACGACUUGAGAGGUCAUUGUCGAAGCGGUGGCCGGACAGGCGGUCAUAAGAAAACCACCUAGCCGGAUAGUUUGGCCGGCGGCCAAGGCUCCUUUGGCGAAAAUACCAUCCUUGAAGACGGGAGGAGGCAUCCUUCCCAUCGGUGACGGCACAGAGGAACUCUCAAUGAAAGCACCAAUGUCGGUGUCAAAACCGGCGGAUCUCGGGUAGGGGGUCCCGAACUGUGCGUCUAGGCGGAUGGUAACAGGAGACAAGGGACACGAUGUUUUACCCAGGUUCGGGCCCUCUUGAUGGAGGUAAAACCCUACGUCCUGCUUGAUUGAUAUUUAUAUUGUAGAUGUUUACAAGAGUGGAUCUACCACGAGAUCAAGGAGGCUAAACCCUAGAAGCUAGCCUAUGGUAUGAUUGUAAUGGUUGUUGUUGUGUCCUACGGACUAGAGCCAUCCGGUUUAUAUAGACACCGGAGAGGGCUAGGGUUACAUAGAGUCGGUUACAAUGGUAGGAGAUCUACAUAUCCGUAUCGCCAAGCUUGCCCUCCACGCCAAGGAAAGUCCCAUCCGGACACGGGACGAAGUCUUCAAUCUUGUAUCUUCAUAGUCUUGGAGUCCGGUUGAUGAUGAUAGUCUGGCCGAUGAUAGUUCGGCCGAUGAUGGUAGUACGGCUAUCCGGACACCCCCUAAUCCGGGACUCCCUCAAUGACCAUGCAAAGUUAAAGAAAGAUCUUGAUCAUGCUCUUGUCGUGUCUCGUGUGCUAACUUCCGAGAAGGCUAAACUUGGGGUUGAUCAUGCUAGACUCAAAGAGGAGUUUGAGAUACUUGAGAAGGCUCACAAGGUCUUGAAGGGUGCUCACGCUAACCUCAAGGAGUCUCAUGCUCAACUCCAAGUUAAGCUAACCAAGGAAUAGGCCACCUUCCCUCAUAUGGUAUUAAUUGAUAAUGCAUGUGCUACUAACCCAUGUUGUGAGCAUGUGCAUCUUGUGGAGGAGAAUGUCAAAUUGAAGGAUCAACUUGAGAAAGGCCUUGUGACAUUCAUUCAAGGUGAGAAGAACCUCAACAACCUUUUGAGCAAUCAAAAGGAAGUUGUGGCCAAGGAAGGAAUUGGGUUUGCACCCAAGUCCAAGAGCAAGAAGACGAAGAACGACAAGACCAAACGUCCUCCUCCUCUCAAGCAAACUUUUGUGAAAGAGGGAGAGGGUGCUCCUAAGGAGAAGAAGGAAAAAGUGAAGGGAGUUGACGUCCAAAAGGGCAAAAGCAUUUCCUCCAACAAAGUCGGCGACUUUAACCCGUCAUAUGUGUUGUGCCGUGCUAGUGAUGGACAUGUUUAUGCUAAAUUUGUUGGUUCUCCUUAUGAGUACAUUGAAUGGUCUAUUUGGGUUCCUAAGACCCUUGUUACUAACAUCAAAGGACCCAUUACUAAAUGGGUACCUAAAACCAAGCAUUGAUCUCUUGUAGGUGUUUGCUUCCGGUGGGGGGUCAUGGUUGCUCGAUAGUGGAGCAACAAAUCAUAUGACCGGGAGCAAGGACUUGGUGGUGGACGUGCAAAAGAUUCCAUCUAUGCCCACCAAUGUCGAGUGGGGUGAUGCAUCACAUUCUAAGGUAUUGGAUCUCGGCGAGGUUGUCAUUUCUCAUGAUCUAACGAUCGAGAAAGUCAUGCUUGUUGAGUCCCUUGCAUACAAUUUGCUUUCUGUUCGUCAACUUGCACUCAUGGGUUUUGCUACCUUCUUUGACAUUGAUACCAUGGCCCUCUUGUGGAGAAAGACUCUUAAAGUAGCCUUUGUUGGGCAUGUCAAGAACGGUCUCUAUGUGAUUAACUUUUCGGAGCGACCCACUAAGACCACGACAUGCCUAAUGGCUAAAGUUGACGUGGGAUGGCUUUGGCAUAGCCGGUUAGCCCAAGUCAAUAUGAGAUCUUUGCAAAGUCUUCUCAAGGGGGACCAUGUCCGUGGACUAACGAAUGUUUGUUUUGCCAAAAAAGAUCGUGCUUGCAGUGCUUGUAUCGAAGGAAAGCUACAUGAGACGGCUCACCCUCCCACUACUAUCAUCUACUCUAAGAGACCCUUGGAGUUCCUUCACAUGGACCUCUUUGGGCCUCCAUCCUUUGAUAGUCUUGGGGGUAGAAAGUAUUGCUUGGUGAUGUGGAUGAUUAUUCAAGAUACACUUGGGUAUACUUCUUCAAGAGGAAGAGUGAGACUCAACAAACCGUCAUCGACUUUGCAAAUGAAGCUCAACGUCAACAUAAUGCAAAGAUCUUGACAAUAAGAAGUGACAAUGGCACCGAGUUCAAGAACUACACCUUGGAUGAGUUUCUUAGUGAUGAGGGGAUCAAGCAUCAAUAUUCUGCACCAUAUACCCCUCAACAAAAUGGUGUUGCGGAGAGGAAGAACCGGACGUUGAUGGAUGCGGCAAGGACCAUGAUGGCGGAGUUCAAGUCCCCAUACAACUUUUGGGCUGAAGCCAUCAACACCGCAUGUCAUGCAUCCAAUCGGCUCUAUCUCCGCAAAGGCUUGAAUAAGACCCCUUAUGAGAUACUCACAGGCAACAAGCCCAAUCUCAAGUACUUCCGGGUGUUCGGGUGUAAGUGUUUCAUUCUCAAGAAAGGUGUUCGUUUGUCUAAGUUUGAGGCUAGAGCAUAUGAGGGCAUAUUUUUUGGUUAUGCUACAAAGUCUCAUGCUUACCGUGUUCUCAACAAGUCCACCGGGCUCAUUGAGGAGACGUGUAACAUGGAGUUUGACGAAAAUAACGCCUCCCAAGUGGAGCAAAGUGGUACUUGUGAUGUAGGUGAUGAAAUUCCUCCCCAAGCCAUAAGAAGAAUGGGUAUUGGUCAUAUUCUACCCAUUGAGGAACCCCUUGUGGCCGAAGGAGAAGGACAAUGCUCCGCUCAAGUGGAGCCACCACCUACUCAAGACCCACCCGCUUUUGAAGAACAAAGUGAAGGCCCUCAACCUCGUGAACAAGACCAAGGGCAAGAUCAAUCUCAAGAUGGUGGUGAAACUCCAAAUUAUGCCCAAGGUCAAGUUCUUCCCCACGAGCAAGUUCAAGAUCAUGAAGAAGCUCAAGAUCAAGAACAAGCUCAAGACGACGCUCAAGAUUAUCAAGUUAACCCUCCUCCUUCCACAUCAGAGGAGGAAUUAGAGCGUCGUGCCGCGAAGAUUGCUUCCAAACUCACCACCAAAGGACAUCUCAUGGAGAAUGUGGUUGGAAGCCUAAGAAAGGGGGUAAGCACUCGCAGACAAUUAGCAAACUAUUGUGAACAUCACGCGUUUGUCUCUUGUGUUGAACCCCAAAAGGUCUAUGAGGCGCUCGAAGACUCGGAUUGGCUCAAUGCCAUGCAUGAAUAACUCAACAACUUCGAGUACAACAAGGUGUGGAGAUUGGAGCCAAGGCCAUCGGGGAACCACAACGUCAUUGGAACCAAGUGGAUUUUCAAGAACAAGCAAGAUGCUCAUGGGAACAUCAUUCGCAACAAGGCAAGAUUGGUAGCACAAGGCUACUCCCAAGUCGAGGGUAUCAACUACGGUGAAACCUUUGCUCCCGUUGCUCGUCUUGAAUCCAUUCGUUUGUUGAUUGCUUAUGCUUCCCAUCACAACUUUAAGUUGCAACAAAUGGAUGUGAAAAGUGCUUUUCUUAAUGGUCCUAUUAAUGAGUUGGUCUAUGUCAAGCAACCCCCCGGGUUCGAGGACCCCUACUUCCCGGAUCAUGUGUAUCAACUCGAUAAGGCACUCUAUGGCCUUAAACAAGCCCCACGUGCGUGGUAUGACCACCUUACCGAGUUGUUACAAGAUCGUGGAUUUGAAGUGGGGCAAAUCGAUCCCACUCUUUUUACUAAGAAGGUCAAAGGGGAGUUGUUUGUAUGCCAACUAUAUGUUGAUGAUAUUAUCUUUGGUUCCCCUAACAAAGCUUUCAAUGAGGAAUUUGCCACUCUCAUGACCUCCUAGUUCAAGAUGUCUUCGAUGGGAGAGUUGAAGUUCUUCCUUGGUUUUGAUAUCAAAAAAAGAAGAGAAGGAACCUUCAUCAACCAAGCCAAAUAUACUCAAGACAUGCUGAAAAGAUUCAAGCUAAGUGAUGUCAAGCCGGCUUCUACUCCAAUGCCUACCAAGUGCCAACUUGACAUUGAUCCCAAUGGUAAAGCGGUGGAUCAAAAGGUAUACCGCUCCAUGAUUGGCUCCUUGCUUUACCUUUGUGCAUCUAGACCGGAUAUCAUGUUGAGUGUGGGAAUGUGUGCACGGUUUCAAGCCGCACCGAAGGAAAGUCACUAUGUGGCGGUCAAGCGAAUCUUUCGAUAUUUGGCUCAUACCCCAAACUUUGGCUUAUGGUACCCAAGAGGGGCAAACUUAAAGCUUGAAGGUUUUGCGGAUUCCGAUUGGGCAGGAGACAAAGUGGAUAGGAAGUCCACUUCCGUAGGGUGCCAGUUUCUUGGGUGCUCUUUGGUGAGUUGGUCUUCCAAGAAGCAAAGUUGUGUGUCUCUCUCGUCCAUCGAAGCGGAAUAUGUGGCGGUCGGUAGUUGUUGUGCACAACUUUUAUGGAUGAGGAAAACUUUAAAGGAAUACGGUGUCAUUUGUGACAAAGUGCCUCUUUGGUGUGACAACGAAAGUGCCAUCAAGAUUUCUCUCAACCCGGUGCAACACUUCAAGACGAAGCAUAUUGAGAUUCGGUAUCAUUUCAUCUGGGAUCACAUUAGGCGAGGGGAGAUCGAGCUCAAGUAUGUCAACACUCAUGAUAACCUUGCAGAUAUUUUCACGAAGCCCUUGGAUGAAGCAAGAUUUCGUGAGUUAAGGCAUGAGCUAAAUAUCAUUGAUUCGAGCAAUGUGACUUGAACCCGUGCAACCCCACCACACUCAACUUGUUGUCUAGUUUAGGUGUAGGCAUGGACAUAGGGGGAGUGUUGUUCUCUCAAUGAACUUUCCCUCCCCCCAUUAUGCAUAAAUAGAUCAACUCUUUCACAUUAGCCAUUUUGAUGGUACUUGUGCUUCAAAGAAGAGUUUUGGUUAUGGGCCCAAGGAUAAUUCUUCGCGGUGCCAUACCAUCUAACUCAAACAUAGGUGGCUCCGGCCACCGCCCUCUCCUUUUUGAGAGAUUGUGUCGCAUGGUGGUUUCUUGUUGUCUUUCUACCUUUAGUUUGUGCGUGUUCUUGUGGCUUCCUUGUGCGAAACGUUUUCUUGCAAAGACCUUCUUCUCGUGUUAAAACCCGCGGUGUCUUGAGCUCACGGUACUAUCGCGUAUGGGGAGCACGGUACUACCGCCCCCACGUGGCAGUAAUUUUUUACUGCCGCCUGGGUGAGCGGUACUACCGCGAUGAUAUGCGGUACUACCGCGCUAGCGUGGGCACGUGGGGAUAAGGAUGGGCAGGGGGAGUUCUAACUCCCCCAUACCCAUUCACAGUUCCCCCCACGUCGUCUCUCUCUCUCCCACGCUCAAGAAUAGAGCCGGCGUUCGUCGCCGGAUCUCCUCCCACGGCUGCCCUCCCGUGAUUCCGUCCGGUGGGAUCAUUCCCCACCACGUGUUGUUGCUAUGGACCAAGGUUUUUCCCCAACUUUUUCUCAUUUUGUUGAGAUCUUUGCAUCUAGGUUUUUGGGGGAGACUUGUGUGUUCUAGAGAUUAUUAGGCUAUUUCUAUGCAAGAGUAGGAUGAAGGAGAGUAGUUUUGCAUAGGAACUAUACUUGUAUUUUUGUCCUGUGCUAGAUUUGAUCACCGUAGUGCCGCCAUGGUUUCACGGUUCUUUUCAGAUUCGAACUGACGUUCGGAUCUGACGCGACGCGGUACUACCGCCCGUCUGGCGCAGUACUACUGCUAGUCCGGUACUACCGCCCGUCUGGCGCGGUACUACCGCGCUCACGGCGGUACUAAAAUUUUACUACCGCUCCAACCACGGUACUACCGUGACAUCGCACGGUACUACCGCGACCUGGAGCGGUACUAAUAUUUUAGCACCGCAGGCUCUGGCAGCACUACCGUGGCUCACAUCUAUCUCAUGGCAACUUUCACUUAUACUUUCUAUGUGUUUCGUGUGCUUUGCCGUGGUCUUUGCAUUGAUUCUCUUUGCGUUUCGUUGGUGUUUUGAGUUUGUGUCUCAGGUGGUGGCUCUCGCCGUUCCAAUCCCAGUCGUGACACGGGCUCCAAGCGUCUGGGCAAUCCAGGUGAAGCACCAGAGGGCUCCUCUGCCCCCAAGCGCCAUGUCAAGACAUCUGCUAGCAAGCACAAGGAACCCGCUAAGGGCAUGGACGAGAUAUCCCAAUCUGAGUAUGUCCGUCUCAGGCAACUCCACCCGUAUGUGCACCCUCGUUCUUCUGUCAAAGGUUGUGAGCUGUUUUGGAACAAGCAACAGACUCUCAUCUAUCUAGAUGUCAUCAAAAACAAGCAGAAUACCGACGUGGAUGUGAAAUGGAUUGAAAUGCAUCACAUGAGGAAGGACAAGUUCCGUGAGUACUUUGGAGAGGCUCUGGACUUGGUGGAGCAGUUUGGCAUUGAGCAUGUGAUAUCCUUUCACCUUGACUAUGACCCCGAGCUUAUCUGUCAGUUCUUUGCCUCAGUAUACUUUCACUCUAAUGAGGAGCGGAGGAUGACCUGGAUGACCAAUGGCCGUCAGCUGACUGCUACCUGGAAGGAGUUCAUGGAUUUGCUCCAGGUUCCUGAUGACCGGCUCAACACUCCCAUGGGUGUUCGCACCCAUGCAAACUCUGAAUCUGCCAACAAGGACAAGCUUGCGCCAUACUAUGUUGAGAAGGCGCUCGCCAAUGGCAAGACAGGGUUGGUGCUCAACUCUUUUCUGGAUAUCAUGUAUCGCAUCUUUCGCAACUCCUUGUUCCCUCGCAUAGGUGACAAGGACAAGGUUCAUGCCUAUAUGGUGGAUAUGAUGCUCAUUUGCGAGGAGGCUCGUUUGUCUCAGACUCAUCCACUUGAUGUCUCACACAUCAUGUGGUGUGAGCUUCGGUUUGCGGUGUUCAACCGCAAGGUGCCUAUCUAUGGGCCCUAUCUGUUUCUGCUGAUCUUGAAGACGUGGGAAAAGAUGUUCCCUGGUGAGGAGUUCCUUGCUCCAGACUGGACUCGCCAUGAUCCCAUCUAUCUGCGUGUCAAGCCCCAAUGGGCCAGCACUACUACUCGUGCAGAGGCGUCUGCUGCUAGGGAUGCUGUUCAUGAGAAGGAUGCUGGCGCCGAGGAUGUUGCUGAGGACCGUGCUGCUAGGUCUUCCCAGAGUUCCUCUAUGCCCUCGUGGGCCAAGAAGUUGAAGGACAAGAUGAAGACUCUUUUCUGCAUGCAAGCCAAGGGGCAGUACAGGACUCACGUGGCAUCUAAGGAGAGUCGCCGCCGGGACAAGAAGAUCUUGAAGCUGUAUGGCGAGGACGUGUCUGGUGGUUCUGAGGAUCGCAUCACCCUAGAGGCAGAGUGGAUGGAGAAGCAAGGCUACAAAUGGACUGAUUCUGAGGAGGACGUCGAGGAGACCAUUCCUGCAGCCGAGGAGUCUGAUGAGGAGCCUUGGGAUGAGUUCCCUGCUUGAGCCACCCCUUGUGUGUAGGUGUCCUCUUUGCCUUUUUGGCGUCUCGAUGCCAAAGGGGGAGAGAGCGUAGGGAUUUGCGUCGUCGUUCGUGUUCGGUGUGCUUGCUGCUUUCUCGUUUUGAACCUCAUUUAAGUUGCUUUGGGUUGCUUUACUUCUUAUGGCGUAAGACAUAUGCACUCUAUCUAUCUUAGCGAGCUUGUGAUAUAUUAUGCUACCUUUGUGCUAUGCUCUACUUAGAUGUUAAUUAUCAUGCCUUUGUCUCUACAAUAUAGGGGGAGUGUUGAUCCUAGUUUGUGUGCUAUGCAGUCCAAAGCAUCCAUCUAGAUUGCACACAUCUAGGGGGAGCCCGUCUAUAUUUUAGAGAGGUGGGGUUUGCCCUUGCUCAAAAUUAUCUUAUCUAUGUGCAAAUCCCGUAUUGUCAUCAAUCCACCAAAAAGGGGGAGAUUGUAAGGGCAUAUUUAUCCCUUAGGUGUUUUGGUGAUUGAUGACAAUGCUUUUGUGGACUAAUCGUGUGCCUUGAGUUUCUCAGAUGCUUCAUCACUAGGUACGAGACGAUUUGGUGCCCCUCGGAGACUAUUGAAGACAGUGUUGUUCUACGUUUCUCUUUGGUGGGUUUGAGUCGUAGGAGAGUCGUACUAUUAAGAGGGGGUCCGCGUCAGAAAGGUUUGGGUGGAAUCAACUCGUACACAUGUCCUACCUUUCCUUGCACUUUGGAGCGUCUUUCCGUUAUCCUAGUUGUGCAUAAUCAGACGACUACUGCUGUACUUGCGGUAGUACUGCUCUAUGGAGCGGUAGUACCGCAAGCACCUGCGGUAGUACCGCUGGGGGUCACGGUAGUACCGCUCCUCCGGAGCCUUAGUACCAUAACUCCCAGGCCUAGUGCUGCUCCGGUACGGUAGUAGGAGCGGAUGUAAUUUUUUACAUCCGUGCCCACACGGUAGUACCGCACGACAUGCACGGUAGUACCACGGGAGGCCGCGAUAGUACCGCUCCCCUAGAGCCAUAGUACCGUGGCCCUCAUACCUAGUACCGUUGCGCUGCGGCAGUAGGAGCGGAUGUAAUUUUUUCCAUCCGCGCCUCAACGGUAGUACCACACCUCGUGCGCGGUAGUACCGCGUUGGGUUUUUGCACUGUUUCUUUUUCAGCGGAAGUAGGCACGGAUGUAUUUUAUUUCAUCCGCGCUCUUCGUAAGCUUUGGCUUGCCUGCCUUGCGGUAGUACCCCAAGGGGGAGCGGUAGUACCGCGCGAGCGGUAGUACUGCGCUCAGUCAGGCUAGUCCCGACCUCUGCUGCUGCCGCGGAAGUACCGUGGUCCUCCACAGUAGUACCGCGUGGCCUUGCGGUAGCACUACACCCCUGGAGCGGUAGUACCGCAUGUCGCAGGCUGGUCUAAGUGGAUAAUGGUUGGAUUUCUUCCACGAGUAUAAAAGGGGCGUCUCCUACCUCUAGUUGACCACCUCUUCCAUCCCUAAGCUCCAUUGUUGCUCCAAGCUCCAUUUUCGCCCGAUCUCUCUCCCUAGCCAAUCAAACUUGUUGAUUUGCUCGAGAUUGGGUGACAAGGCCCCGAUCUACAUUUCCAACAAGAGAGAUUUGAUUCCCCCCACUUAUCCCUAGCGGAUCUUGUUACUCUUGGGUGUUUGAGCACCCUAGACUUUUGAGGUCACCUCGAAGCCAUACUCCAUUGUGGUGAAGCUUCGUGGUGUUGUUGGGAGCCUCCAAUUGUUGUGGAGAUUGUCCCAACCUUGUUUGUAAAGGUUCGGUCGCCGCCUUCAAGGGCACCAAUAGUGGAAUCAUGGCAUCUUGCAUUGUGUGAGGGCGUGAGGAGAAUACGGUGGCCCUAGUGGCUUCUUGGGGAGCAUUGUGCCUCCACACCGCUCCAACGAAGACGUACUUCCCCUUAAAAGGAAGGAACUUCGGUAACACAUCCUCGUCUCCACCGGCUCCACUCUUGGUUAUCUCGCGCCUUUACUUUUGCAAGUUUACUUGUGUUGUUUCCCUUACUUGCUCGUGUACUUGUUGUUGUUGCAUCAUAUAGGUUGUUCACCUAGUUGCAUAUCUAGACAACCUACUUUGAUGCAAAGUUUAAUUUGUUAAAGAAAAGCUAAAAAUUGUUAGUUGCCUAUUCACCCCCCCUCUAGUCAACCAUAUCGAUCCUUUCAGCUUGUAACACUCGAAAAAUUUCUCAAGAAAAUAAUGGCAACACUCGAUUUUUUUUCUCGGCAAAGAAAUGGUGACCCUCAAAUUCAAGUUCUUGCGGGAGGGAGAAAAACACUAUUCCCAUGUUGAGAUUCAAACUAUGGUCACAGGCUCGAUAUGGUGUAAUUGUUGUAAAGCAAAUGUAUACCAAGCUAUUUAACCCAUUUUUGCCACCAGAAAAGCUCGACAAGGUGUAUUUGUUGUAAAGCAAAUGUAUACCAAGCUAUUUAACCCUUUUUUACCACCGGAAAAGCUACUUUCCGAACCACCGAUUUUUUAUGAUAGAUCCGAAUGAUUCCUCUCUAGUUCGAUUAUCAUGGCCCCGAGAGAAUAUGACCAUACGGUUUGCGCUCCGCCGCUCCCGGGGGAGGCCGCCCAAUGGAAGCACUCGGACUCCUUCUGUCGGGAAUCUAUUGCGUCUGCACAAAUGGUGCAUGGAUCCGUCGGCAUGGGUGCCAUCGCUGCCUCACUGGAGGCGGUGCGGUCUGUCUGGCGUCCAAACAUGGUGGCGGAUGCGCGGCCCUUCCGUUGACGCACCGAGCUGGAGGACGCACCAUGGGCGUCCUCUGACACAAACAUGGCGCGGCGUGCCCACUGUGCAAGGCAGUGAGUGUGGAAGGCAGCGAUAACCCUCGCGGCGGUGGAAGUUGGCGAGACAGAGUCGCAUUCUCUAGCCCCCUGUAUGGUGCUCUAGUGCGGGCUCUGCAACCGCGUCGUCAUGACGUCGGCUCCUCCUAGAACGGAUCCAUCAUCAAUCUCACGUCCAACGGCACCGUCCCGGUUGUGGGCUUCAACGAGGAAGAGUAGGGCAUGGGAGACAAUGAACAUCGAGUCCCGUGAGCCGGUUCAUGUGAAGAGCAUGGUAAUUUACACAUCUUACACCUGAUAACUUACGUACAAAUACUAUGGUAAUUUUAACAGUGGGGGGGGGGGGUUGUUGUAAUACACCUCCAAUAACUUCUGUGUGAAUAGCAUGGUAAUUUAUGCACCGUAGACCUGAUAACUUAUGUGCAACACGUUGAUAACUUUUGACACCGGGAAAAUAAAGUUGAAGAAACAUGUCCCCGGUAAUUUUUGUGUGAAUUACAUGGUAAUUUACGCACCGCAGACCUGAUAACUUAUGUACAAACACAAUGAUAACUUUGACCCAGGAGUAAAAGUUGUUGAAGACAUCCCCAACAACUUUGGCGUAAAAGCAUGAGAACUUACACACCACAAACCUGAUAACUCAUGCGCAAACACCGUGAUGACUUUGAACCGGGGAGGGGGGGUGUUUAAAAACAUCCCCCAAUAACUUUCGUGUAAAUAGCAUGAUACUGUACGCAAGUAUACGUGAUAACUUACAAAUAAAUACCACAGUAACAAUGAUCCAGGGGUGGUUGGAGGGGAUGAAGUUGUUUGANNNNNNNNNNNNNNNNNNNNNNNNNNNNNNNNNNNNNNNNNNNNNNNNNNNNNNNNNNNNNNNNNNNNNNNNNNNNNNNNNNNNNNNNNNNNNNNNNNNNNNNNNNNNNNNNNNNNNNNNNNNNNNNNNNNNNNNNNNNNNNNNNNNNNNNNNNNNNNNNNNNNNNNNNNNNNNNNNNNNNNNNNNNNNNNNNNNNNNNNNNNNNNNNNNNNNNNNNNNNNNNNNNNNNNNNNNNNNNNNNNNNNNNNNNNNNNNNNNNNNNNNNNNNNNNNNNNNNNNNNNNNNNNNNNNNNNNNNNNNNNNNNNCACGAUAAUAUACACAUUAUAGACUUGAUAACUCAUGUACAAACACUGUGAUAACUUUUCCCUCCACCGGAGGGAGGGGUUUUGAUGAAAUAUACUCUCGAUAGCUUCUGUGUAAAUAUGAUGAUAGUUUACGCAUCACUGUCCUGAUAACUUUUAUGCAAAUAACAUGAUAACUCAUACAUCGUAGACAUGAUAAAUUAUGUACCUAGUCCUGGUAACUUUGUCGGUGGGGGUAGGGGUGGGGGGAGUCGUUGAAACAUACCACGGUAACUUCCAUGCAAAUAACAUGAUAAAUCACACAUCAUAGACAUGAUAAAUUAUGUACCCAGUCCUGGUAACUUUGUCGGUGGGGUUAGGGAUGGGAGGAGUUGUUGCACCAUACCACGAUAACUCUUAUGCAAAUAAUAUAAUAACUCACACAUCGCAAACUUGAUAACUUAUGUACCCGAUCCUGGUAAUAUGGCGACUGUGGCGAGGGGGGUGAUGCCCCGCUAAUUUUUGUGUAAAUAACAUGGUAACAGAAACAUACAAAAAUGAUAACUCCCAUACAAACGCCACUGUAACUUUUGACCUGAAACUUUUUUGUUGAAAAACAUACACCCGAUAAUUUCUGUGUAAAUAACAUGAUGAUGUAUCAUCGCAGACUUGAUAACUAAUAUUUUACGUUUAAACACCAUGGUGUCUUUCAUCCAAGGGAAAAAAGUUUUUGAAACAUUUCACCGGUAAUUUCUAUGUUAAAUUACCAUACUUUCCCAUGCUUUUAACCUUCUCGUACUGUAGUUACCAACCUUAUCAUGCUAUAGUUAUCAUGUUACUCAGACCAUACUUAUCACGCUGGUCAUUGCCAAAGUUACCAAGCUAAACUUUAUUUUUUCUUUUGAUAUGGCAGAAAUAAGAAAGGUUAAAAUAACAUUGUCAUUCUAUAAUAGACAACAACAAAAGGUGGCUUAGUUGGUUAUUAGGCUCAAUAGGUAUUACAUAGACCUGGGUUCGAAUCCUCUUUCAAGCACUUUUAUUUUCUUUUCAUAUUAUGCAGCGAAAAACCAGAAAAAACCACUAGCAAUUUACUACGGUUUUUGAGAGAAGGAAAAAAAUCAGUGAAAGCGGGAGAAACGACGCAGCGGGACGAGCGGAAGGAUCGACCGAAGGUCGUGCGGAUCUGUUGCUAACCACCAGUCGACUGGUAGUUAGCACAGUCCAUGAAUUAUAUACAGACUGAAACGAGUGAACACACACUACAAUAUUUUAUACUCCCUCUCUCUUAGUUUACAGGGCGUGCGCGUACCCCUAGGUCGUUAAUUUGACCAACCUAAUACAUGUCAUAUAUUACAAAAAAUAUACCAAUAUAAACUUCAGACGUUCUAUUUUCAAAAAGUAUAAUUUUUGUGUUAUAUAGUUUAUAUUAGGGUGAUAAAAUUGGCAGCCUAGAUAUACGGGUAGGACUUGUAAACUGAGACGGAGGAAGUAUAUAUACAUCUAAUUUAGAAAAAAAUAAUUAGGACAUAUUAUAUUUGUGAACGAAGGGAGUAUCUAAUUAAUUAAUCGAGAAAGCUAAAUUACAGUCGAUUGGACGUUAAGAAUAGAUCCGCACGAUUCGCCAUUUCCCGUUUUCCUCUCGAUCCAAUUCUCCCGCGAGAAGUUUCCGUUUUUCUGCUUUUUCCUCUCGAUCAACUUCCCGCAUUUUUCUGGCACGGUAAAAUAAAAAUUUGGAGGAAGCAGGAGUCGAUCCCCACACCUCCUGGUAUAUAACUAAGGUAGGUAAUCAACUGGCCUACAAUUAGCUUGUGUUUACAAGUAGGUCAGUAAUCUUUUGUACAUGUCUAUAACGCGAGGUGAAAAAUAAACCUUUUUCUUUCUUUUCCUUUUUUACACUAUUUUUUUUACCAUUUUGGCAUUUGUUUUCUUAUUCUUUUCUAGUCCGAUGAUUUAUCUACACUUGUACCUCUUAUGAGAUAACUCUACUAGCCAACCACCUCACGUACGUUUCCUCUUCUUGAACAAAUGAAAGUAAAUAUGCUAUUUAACAUGUCUCCUCUUCUAGGUUUGCACAAAAGUUACUGCAAUGUCUGAUCUUUUCCGCACUUAAGUAGAUUAUUUUUACCAACUAGUCUCAAGUUGAUGACACUGAGGUAAUUUUGGCGAGGUGGAGGGGGGGUGAUGAAAUCGAUUUUGUGUGUGUAUAUAGCAUGGUAACUCACACAUCACAUACCUGAUAAUUUAUGUACCUCCUGGUAACUUUGGCGAUUGGGAGGGGGGGAGUUGAUGAAAUAUCCACCUCGUAAGCUUAUUGAAAUAACAUGGUAACUCACACAUCGUAGAUCUGAUAACUUAUUGUACCCCGGUAUGAAAAAAGUUCAUUUUACUGCCAUGAAUAAAGUGGGAUCUAUUUUUGGCUUCUUUUACCCCCAAACAAACCCAAACCGGUCAAAACACCCCUGGCUGGUUUUUCUCCUCCCUCUGCUGAUGUGGCACUAGUAAAAUGGACUUUUUUCCCGGUAUUGGCGGGGCGGGGGGUUAACGAGAUAUCCCCGGUAACUUUUGUGGAAAUAGCAUGGUAACUCACACAUUGCAAACCUGAUAAGUGUUGUGACACGGUCCUGAUAACUUUUGGCUAGGGGAGUGAUGAAAUAUACCCACGGUAACUUUUAUGUUAAUAACACGGUAACUCGCACGUUGCAGACCUGAUAACUUAUGUACCCCCGGUCUUGGUAACUUUGGUGGCCGGGAGCGGGGGGUGAUGAAAUAUCCUCCGUUAACUUUCGUGUGAAUAUCAUGGUAACUCAAAUUUCAUAGACCUGAUAACUUAUGUACCCCGGUCCUAAAAACUUUGUCGUCGAGGGUGGGGGUAGGGGAGUUGUUGAAACAUACCACGGUAACUUCUGUGCAAAUAACAUGAUAACUCAAACAUGGCAGACCUGAUAACUUAUGUACCCCGGUCCUGAUAAACCUGGUCGGCGAGGGUGGGGGUGGGGCAAGUCGCUGAAACAUGCCACGGUAACUUCUGUGCAAAUAACAUGAUAACUCAUACAUGGUAGACAUGAUAACUUUGUCGGAGGGGUCGGGGUGGGGGUGUCGUUGAAACGUAUGAUGAUAACUUCUAUGCAAAUAACAUGAUAACUCACACAUCGUAAACAUGAUAAAUUAUGUACCAGUCCUGGUAACUUUGUCGGAGGGGCCGGAGUGGGGGAGUCGUUGAAACAUAACACGAUAACUUCUAUGCAAAUAAUAUGAUAACUCACACAUCAUAGACAUUAAAUUAUGUACCCAGUCCGGGUAACUUUGUCGGUGGGUUGAGGUUGGGGGGGGAGUCAUUGAAACAUACCACGACAACUUCUAUGCAAAUAACAUGAUAAGUCACACAUCGUAGAAAUGAUAAAUUAUGUACCCAAUCUUGAUAACUUUAUCGGCGGGGGUAGGGUGGGAGGAGUUGUUGAAUCAUACAACGAUAACUCUUAUGCAAAUAACAUGAUAACUCAUACAUGGUAGACAUGAUAACUUUGUCGGAGGGGUCGGGGUGGGGGUGUCGUUGAAACGUACGACGAUAACUUCUAUGCAAAUAACAUGAUAACUCACACAUCGUAAACAUGAUAAAUUAUGUACCAGUCCUGGUAACUUUGUCGGAGGGGCCGGAGUGGGGGAAUCGUUGAAACAUAACACGAUAACUUCUAUGCAAAUAAUAUGAUAACUCACACAUCAUAGACAUUAAAUUAUGUACCCAGUCCUGGUAACUUUGUCGGUGGGUUGAGGUUGGGGGGGAGUCAUUGAAACAUACCACGACAACUUCUAUGCAAAUAACAUGAUAAGUCACACAUCAUAGAAAUGAUAAAUUAUGUACCCAAUCUUGAUAACUUUAUCGGCGGGGGUAGGGUGGGAGGAGUUGUUGAAUCAUACAACGAUAACUCUUAUGCAAAUAACAUGAUAACUCAUACAUGGUAGACAUGAUAACUUUGUCGGAGGGGUCGGGGUGGGGGUGUCGUUGAAACGUACGACGAUAACUUCUAUGCAAAUAACAUGAUAACUCACACAUCGUAAACAUGAUAAAUUAUGUACCAGUCCUGGUAACUUUGUCGGAGGGGCCGGAGUGGGGGAGUCGUUGAAACAUAACACGAUAACUUCUAUGCAAAUAAUAUGAUAACUCACACAUCAUAGACAUUAAAUUAUGUACCCAGUCCUGGUAACUUUGUCGGUGGGUUGAGGUUGGGGGGAGUCAUUGAAACAUACCACGACAACUUCUAUGCAAAUAACAUGAUAAGUCACACAUCGUAGAAAUGAUAAAUUAUGUACCCAAUCUUGAUAACUUUAUCGGCGGGGGUAGGGUGGGAGGAGUUGUUGAAUCAUACAAUGAUAACUCUUAUGCAAAUAACAUGAUAACUCACACAUCGCGGACUUGAUAAUUUAUGUACCCGACCCUGAUAAAUGUGGCGACUGUGGCGAGGGGUGGGGAGGGGGGCAACCUCGGUAAUUUAUAUGUAAAUAGCUUGUUAAUAGACACAUACUAAGCUGAUAACUCACAUACAAACGUCAUUAUAAUUUUUGACCUGAAUUUUUUUGUUGAAAAAUAUACAUCCGGUAAUUUCUAUGUAAAAAGCAUGAUAAUGUAUACAUCACAGAUUUGAUAACUAAUAUCUUACGUUUUAAACACCAUGGUAUUUUUCAUCCAGGAGAAAAAAGUUUUUUAAAACAUUUUCAUCGGUAAUUUAUGUGCUAAAUUACCAUACUUCCUCAUGCCUUAACCUUCUCGUACUGUAAUUAUCAGCCCUAUCAUGGUAUAGUUAUCAUGUUGCUCAUGCCAUAGUUAUCACGCUGGUCAUGCCAAAGUUACCAAGCCAAACUUUGUUUUUUUUCUGAUAUGGCAGAAAUAAGAAAGGUUCAAACAAUAUUGUUUAUCCACAAUAGACAAUAACAAAAGGUGGCUUAGUUGGUUAUUAGGCUCAAUAGGUAUUGCAUAGACCUAGGUUGGAAUCCUCUUUCAAGCACUUUUAUUUUAUUUUCAUAUUAUCGGUGAAAAACCAAAAAAACACUAGCGAUUUAUCACGAUUUUUGAGAGAAGGAAAAAAAAUCAGUAAAAAACGAGCGUGGGAAGUCAGCGAUCACGUACGAACUAGUGGUGCGGAUCUGUCACUAACAACCAGUAGCACAGUCCUUAAUUAAUUUUGUAAAGAGAAAACUGGAUUGGAUAUGUAGCUCGUCGGCACCUACGCGUACAAGCAGCCGGACAACGCCGCCCGCCUCUACCUCCACGUCGGCGGCGCCUCCGCCGACGCCCGCUGGGUCCCCGCCGAGCGCCGCGCCACCUACGCCUUCCUCGACAAGGCCGCCGCCGCCGCGGCGGAGGACGACGGCUACGACGACGAACGCCGCGGCCGUCGCUACACCUCCUCCUCGUCCUCGUCGGCCUCGCGGGGGCCCAGGUGGGUCCUGGAGGUGGGCCCGGGCCGGCGGGUGUCGGCGCCCGUGGGGCAGGAGCUGCAGCUCAAGGCGCUCCCGGGGCAGUGCCGGGCGGACUUCGCCGCGGCGGGGUCCGUGUGGGCGCUGCGCUUCCCCAACGACGCCGCCUUCCGCCGCUUCCGGGAGCAGUACGACCGGUGCCUCUUCGAGAACACGUACGGGGUGGAGGCCACGGACGAGGGCCGCCGGGAGGUCUUCGGCGCCGACUUCGCCGCCUGGGCGCGCCCCGCCGAGGCCGACGACGCCGUCUGGGCCGACGCGGAGGACGACCUCGCCCCUGCCCCCGCCAGGGACCUGCUCGAGGAGUUCGAGGAGGAGGCCGGGGACGGCAGCGGCAUCCAGAGCCUCGCGCUCGGCGCGCUCGACAACAGCUUCCUGGUCGGCGGCGCCGGGAUUCAGGUGGUCAAGAACUUCCGCCACGGCGUGCACGGCAAGGGCGUGUCGGUCAGGAUCUCGGGCGCCCGCGGUGGCGGCAGCACCACCAGCAGCACCAACUACGCGACGCCCAAGAAGGCCCUGCUGAUGCGCGGCGAGACCAACAUGCUGCUGAUGAGCCCCGGGGACACAGGCGCGCCCCAUUCCAACGGCGUCCACCACGUCGACAUCGAGACCGGCAAGGUCGUCACCGAGUGGCGGUUCGAGAAGGACGGCACCGACAUCACGAUGCGGGACAUUGCCAACGACAGCAAGAGCGCGCAGCUGGAGCCCUCCGGAUCGACCUUCCUGGGGCUGGACGACAACCGGCUGUGCAGGUGGGACAUGCGCGACGCGAGGGGCAGGGUGCAGACGAUCGGCAACUCCUCCUCCGACUCGCCGGUGCUGCACUGGUCGCAGGGCCACCAGUUCUCGCGGGGCACCAACUUCCAGUGCUUCGCGAGCACCGGGGAUGGCUCGAUUGUUGUUGGCUCCGUCGAUGGCAAGAUCAGGCUCUACUCCAAGAGCUCGAUGCGGAUGGCCAAGACGGUGUUCCCAGGGCUUGGGUCGCCGAUCACGCAUGUGGAUGUUACUUACGAUGGGAAGUGGAUCCUGGGCACCACGGACACAUACCUGGUUUUGAUCUGCACCAUCUUCAAGGACAAGGAUGGCAAGGAGAAGACUGGGUUCAGUGGGCGUAUGGGAAGCAGGAUCGCGGCGCCCAGGUUGCUGAAGCUCAGUCCGCUUGAUUCAAUCCUCGCUGGGAACGACAACAAAUUCCAUGGUGGACAAUUUUCAUGGGUAAGUCUCAUAUUCUUAUUCAGGCGCAUAACAUUGACUGUUCCUACUGCUUUUUGGCAAUGCACUUUUUAGUCUUAACGAAACUUUAUAUAGAAUGUGCAAGAUUAGCUGUUCAUCUAGACUUAUGUAGUCCUGGUUAUAGGUGAAUUCAGUGAAGGUACUAUGCUAGUAAUCAGUUAAUGCAAUAUGUUUGCUAUCCAUAAUGGCAGUUCGCUAACUUACUAACUUGUUAUUGCUCUAAUGGGAAAUCUGUACUGAUUAAAUACCAGUUUUCAGGAAAAUUCAUGCACACCAUCUAUUAUUAACCAUGAAUAUGCGGUACUAAUUAGCAUAUCCAUCUCGACAUGGUAGUGUGAUGACUUCUAGGGUAAUCAGUAGGUCGACAGUUUCAUGAUACUCUCAGUUUAGACUGCAUUACUUUUUGGUACUAAUGACUAGAACAAGUUCAGUUCAUAGUACAAAUGUCAAUUCAGAACCAACAGCAAUUGAACCAUUUCUGAAAUCUCCUCUCUGUUUUUACAUGAAACUAACUUGUCACUUCAACGCCAUUAGAUAUAAGACUCUGGCGAAUGGAAGUAUAAAUUUUCUCCAUACUUUCUGUGGUUCCAUGUAUUCAUGGAUGAUAUAAACAUGUUUCUUCAAUGGGAAACAGGGUAUAGUGUUUGGGAAAUAGUAGCAAUUUCUGCAGGAUACGAAUUAGUGUUCUUCCUGAAUGACACUUGAAUGCAAUAGUCUGUUUCCCAUGCCAUUGCUCGUUUCAGAUGUUAUAUUUCUGGUAUCUUCAUUUGUACGCAAAUGGCUUCUUACAGCUUUGCUUAAUUCUUCAUUCUUGAAAAGCACAUCCUCUGAUCCGCUAUCCUCUGUCAUUUUGCCCCCAGGUAACGGAGGACGGGAAGCAAGAGAAGCAUCUCGUCGCGACGGUCGGCAAGUUCAGCCUCAUAUGGAACUUCCAAAAGGUCAAGGACAGCAACCAUCACUGCUACCGCGACCAGGAGGGCCUCAAGAGUUGCUACUGCUACAAGGUCGUCCUCAAGGAGGAGUCCAUCGUCGACAGCAGGUUCAUGCACGAGAACUUCGCCGGCUCCGACUCCCCUGAAGCUCCCCUGGUGGUCGCCACCCCGAUGAAAGUCAGCUCCUUCAGCAUCGCAAACAGGCGUUGAUUCUGAUGUUUCUCGAUUCUGAACCGUAGUGUCUCUGUGCAGAUUGGUCACUCGUCUAAAUUUUUUUUGGUUCUUGCAACAUUUUGAAUGUAGAGUAAUGUACUUAUUUGCUUGCGGUUUUAGACUUGCGUGUUUGCUUGUUGGCAAAACAUAUGGCAUCAUUCUGAAUGUUCGGACAAUAGUGUAGUGAGUGGUGUUCUCUCUGUGUGUGUAAUGCAAACAUCAUUUUCACGCGUGUACAAUGAAAGUGUGUUGAAAAAGAGCAUAUGAAUGUUUGUUCUUUCUCCUAUCUUGUUAUUGGUAUUCAAUUUCGUACCGUUCCGCAGUUCAUCGGUGGCAUAGAUCAGUAGUGCCAUACUCUGACAUGUCACCAGGUGGCAUUACAAGAGCGAGACGAACUUGCAAGUGUUCAGCAUAAGAAAAUUAUUUACUGAAUCCCUAGAGAAUAAAAACGAUUAACUGAAGGUAUUUCGAGAAGUCUGAGCACAGGAGUACGCAUAAUAUAAGACGUUUUUGCUGUUUAAAUUGAACUGCAAAAGCAUCUUAUAUUUAGUUAUGGAGGUAGUAAGAACCAAGUAUUUCAUGAACUGGUUCAGUAGAAAUUGAAGAUUUCACCCGACAAGACCUAAAGUGUCGCUAGGCACCCAUCAUUCUGAACCGUGUUGGUACAAGUUACAGGUUCCUGUGCAGCACUCUCUAAUGAUUUUACGUGUGUUUUUACGGCGCCUUCCGGAAAACCUGCGCCAUCAUCUCAAAUUACUUAGCCACUAAAGGGGAGGAAAAAAGAGAGGCUCAGGACCUCAGUGGCAACAAUCGGCAGUGAUGCGAGAAUGCGGAAUGCCGCCCUUGUACACCAUGCUUUGAUGCGAAAUCUGGCUUGUUCUCACUUCUCAGUGAUGCUGGUUUUUGAUGCCGCUCAGUGAGAUACUCUGUAUGCUCUGACCUCUGAGAGUGCACAGUUCACACACUCCCUAAAUGUGCAUAAAUUACACUGUUUUUCCUACGCGCGGCUGCAGUUUAACAUCCAACGACGGCUCAUGUGGUUAAUGCUGUUGUGGAUGGAUGGGAACUGGGACAUGGAGAUAGAAUCAUACCGCCUCUGAUGAGAACUGAAAUUACCAGAGGUCAAGUGCAAGACUAGGAUGAAAAAAGUGUCAACAAAUUGCUUCAAUGUUUUUGUUAUGCUUUGCUUAUUUAGAAAGCAAAUCAUAUGCUGCUCUGACCUGAGAUUAUUGCACAAACAGAUUAACCUUUUUUUUUAUCUUGAAAUUGUAUCUAUGCAUGUAUGGAGGUGCUCCUGUUGCUGGAGGCAGCGCUUUCAGUUUUCAGCGGAGACCAGAUAAUUGAGAUCGAUUUUUUCCCUCCUUUUGGGUCAUCUGUUCUUACUUCUGCUUUGGCUCACUAGCAUUCAUCUGGUGUGAAUCCCCAACCUGCAUUUUAAUAUUGCACUGAAACUAUCUAUAGUCUAGCAAAUCAUGCAGAAAUUCUGAGGACAUUGCUCUCUGCUUUUGUGUUCGCAAAUUUCCUGCUUCACAGUUUUGAUCCCAUUGCGGUUGUGAUUCUUUACUGCUAAAUCAGGGGGAAACAAUUUGUGGUAUGCUGCAUGUAUUGACGUGGAUUCAGUUUUCUACUGUGUAUAAAAAUCACUAGUAUCUAAGUCAUUCUAAAAAUCCUACUGUAUAAAAAUCGUAUGCUUCGUCUAGUUACUCUCAUAGUCCCAUUGUCUUAUAUGCCGACACAUUCGAUCUUCCAAUCCCCUUAAGCAAACAAUACAGUACCAUUUUUGCAAGAGAAAAAGAAGGAUCGGAUGUUUUCCUGGGAAUCAUCUUCUUCCCAGACGAGGACGAAUGAGGUGGGACGUGGCGACCGGGACGCGCCCGCUGCCUUCCUUAUCUUUUCCUGAAAGAACUAUGUGGCGCUUUGGCUCAUCGUAUGAUGCAUUCGCUGCCUUAAGAGGCCCGGCCCCCCUAGUCGGCAGCCAUCUGCCGACCACUGAUGCGGCCACACGUAGCGCCCAGCCGCGGCGAUUCGUCCAUCUGACCACCCCUCUUUAUGGGCUCGUCGGCACUCACCUGCCCGUGCACUCACGAGAGCACACGUCGUGCUUCGUCUACCCUCCAACGGCCUAUAAAUACCGCCUCGUGCUGCAGAUACUUUACACAACCACCUGCACCACACAAGCAAGAGAAGUAAACACAGCAGCACUAGUGGAUUUCACGACUGAGAAGGUCGGCUCAAGAUGGACCACCAAGCACACGGCGCCGGCGAGAAGAAGGGCAUCAUGGAGAAGAUCAAGGAGAAGCUCCCCGGCGGCCACGGUGACCACAAGGAGACCGCUGGCGCCCACGGGCACGCCGGCACGGUGACGCAUGGCGCCCCGGCCACUGGUGGUGCCUACGGGCAGGAGGGUCACACCGGAACCACCGGCACGGGGUUGCAUGGCGCCCACGCCGGCGAGAAGAAGGGCGUCAUGGAGAACAUCAAGGACAAGCUCCCCGGUGGCCAUGCUGACCACCAGCAGACUGGUGGCACCUAUGGGCAGCAGGGACAUACCGGUACGGCGACGCAUGGCACCCUUGCGACUGGUGGCACCUAUGGGCAGCAGGGGCAUACCGGCACGGCGAUGCAUGGCACCCCGGCGACCAAUGGCACCUAUGGGGAGCACGGACAUACCGGCACGGCGACCGGUGGCAGCUACGGGGAGCAAAGACAUACCGGAGUGACCGGCACGGGGACGCACGACAUCGGCGAGAAGAAGAGCCUCAUGGAGAACAUCAAGGAGAAGCUCCCUGGUGGCCAUGGUGACAACCAACAGACCGCUGGCACCUACGGGCAGCAGGGACACGUCGCCACGGGGACGCAUGGCACCCCGGCGACCGGUGGCACCUAUGGGGAGCAGGGACACGCUGGAGUGACCGGCACGGGGACGCACGGCACCGGCGAGAAGAAGGGCCUCAUGGAGAACAUCAAGGACAAGCUCCCUGGUGGCCACGGUGACCACCAGCAGACCGGUGGCACCUACGGGCAGCAGGGACACACCGGCGCGGCGACACAUGGCACCCCGGCUGGCGGCGGCACCUAUGAGCAGCACGGACACACUGGGAUGACCGGCACGGGGACACACGGUACCGGCGGGAAGAAGGGCGUCAUGGAGAACAUCAAGGACAAGCUCCCUGGUGGCCACAGUGACAACCAGCAGACCGGUGGAGCCUACGAGCAGCAGGGACACACCGGCGCGGCGACGCAUGNNNNNNNNNNNNNNNNNNNNNNNNNNNNNNNNNNNNNNNNNNNNNNNNNNNNNNNNNNNNNNNNNNNNNNNNNNNNNNNNNNNNNNNNNNNNNNNNNNNNNNNNNNNNNNNNNNNNNNNNNNNNNNNNNNNNNNNNNNNNNNNNNNNNNNNNNNNNNNNNNNNNNNNNNNNNNNNNNNNNNNNNNNNNNNNNNNNNNNNNNNNNNNNNNNNNNNNNNNNNNGGGAUGACCGGCACGGGGACACACGGCACUGGCGAGAAGAAGGCCGUCAUGGAGAACAUCAAGGACAAGCUCCCUGGUGGCCACGGUGACCACCAGCAGACCGGUGGAGCCUACGGGCAGCAGGGACACACCGGCACGGCGACGCAUGGCACCCCGGCCGGCGGCGGCACCUAUGAGCAGCACGGUAACACUGGAAUGACCGGCACGGAGACGCAUGGCACCACGGCCACCGGCGGCACCCAUGGGCAGCACGGACACACGGGAACUACUGGCACUGGGACACACGGCACCGACGGGGUCGGCGAGAAGAAGAGCCUCAUGGACAAGAUCAAGGACAAGCUACCUGGACAGCACUGAGCCCGGUCUGCCCGCGGCCGCUACCCUUGCAGAAUAAUAACCCCACCGUGUAUAAGUUGAUUGAGUCUAGUUCACCUAGCUCACUUGGUCGUUGGAGGAGAGAAUGUAUUAUGUAUCUUGUUUAAAGUUUUCACGGACAACAAUGUGUUCACGGUUUCCGUCUGUUUACACUCUGUCGUGCAAAUUUCCUUUUUGUUCGUUUUCUUUUGUCCAUCUUAUCCGACAGACAGACGCAGCGACCACUGUCAGAUCAAAGUCCGGGUUAAUCUCAAUCCUACAUGGCAUGACCACAUUACAGACCAACCCUACUAUAGAUCAACCACCGAGUCGCAGCACAACCUCAAUCAGCAGGGCUUCAGCUUGCAGCGCCUUGUUUACAGAGCCGCCUUCUCAGCGCCUUCCGGAAAACCUGCACCAGCAGCUUGAAAUUGCUAAGUGCUAACGAUUACGAAAAGAGGUCGGCAGGAAGCAAAAUGGCCGAGACAGAAUACGGCAACGGCGACGUGGCCAAACAGGCAUCCUACAUUGUACUAGUGCUUAGCGCAAAGCACAUACAAUGAAUACGGAAUCACCCUCUAAAUCCUCGCUCUUUUUACCCAUUGUCCUUGGAAUACAUGGCCAAACAGGCAUGUCAACAAUGUUGAAAGAAAUCUUGCAACUACUUCAGAGCGGUAAAAGAAAUGGUAGCUUUGUGCUGAAGGACUUUCCAAGUGGUAUGACAGAUUUCUCUUCUUUAGAAUAAACCCUGGCAUCGACAGGGGCGAACCCUAACACGCUGCAGCUUCCGCCUCCCCUUCCGGCCUCCCUCCCUCGUUGCCGCCACAAGGUGCCGUCGGAGAAAGCCCCACCGGUGUAGGUGCCAGCGGGGCUCGCGUUCCUCUCUGCUCGGGGCUUGGGCUGGAGCGGGACGACCCUCUCACACUAGUAGAAAACGGGACUUUCGUCCAAACUCAAUAUACACAUUAGUCCCGGUUGGAUCACGAACUGGGACUAAUGUGAGCAUUAGUCCCGGUUCGAGCGGCUAAGGCGUCGGAAAUGCAUUAGUCCUGGUUCAAAUGGGACCUUUAGUCCCGGUUUGUGACACGAACCGGGACUAAAAAGGAUGUGAUGCCCUUUAGUCCCGGUUCGUGUCUCAAAUCGGGACUAAAGGUUCAAACUCUACAACACCCCCCCCCCCUGCGUGUAUCGCCUUUUUAGUUCUGUAAAAGACAAAAGAAAAUAAUAAAAACUUCAAAAAUUAAAAAUCCUUCGAAAUGUAGUUAUGUUACUACAUCUACUAGUUAGUAAAAUUAAAAAACUUACAUUUGGACAUGUUUUGCAAAAAAGUGUUACGAAAAAGUAAAACGGCCAUAUCUUUUGCAUACGAUGUCGAAAAAGGCAUAAUAUAUCAAAAAAAUUCAGCACGAAAACCCGCAUUCAAUUUUGACAGCCUUAGGCCUGCAAGUUUUUAGAAUCCUUAAAUUCUGAAAGGAAAAAAAGAUAUGCUCAAAUUUCAGUUUUUUUGACUUUUCAUUAAAUCUGGUCAAACUGUGGUCAAACUACUUAUCCAAAAAAUAUUAGUGUUAAUAAAUAAUUAUUUUUAGUUUUUUUGACUUUUGGUCAAACUGUGGUCAAACUACUUAUUCAAGAAAUAUUAGUGUUACUUAAUAAUUAUUAUUUUUUAGAUAAUAGUUUCAAACUCAAACGAUGCUUAAUGCUCAAGUUCAACUCCUAAGGGUUAAUAGGAUUGACAACUUAGUAUUGUCAAGAAAACAACAAGUGCAGACUUGGAAACUAGGGGGAAUAGAACUCGAAAGUUAAGCGUGCUCAGACUGAAGUAGUGAGGGGAUGGGCUUUAGUCUCGACCAUUUAGUCCCGGUUCUAAAGGCCCUCUGGAACCGGGACUAAAGGCCCGUUUUUCUACUAGUGUCGGGCGGAGUCGUGGGGCUAACAUGGGUCUCCUCGGCGUGGCGGCGUCGGCAGUGCGGUGGCAUGUUGCUGCAUGUCCAAGGCGCAACGGCUGCUGUCGGUGUCAAAACUGGCGGAUCUCGGGUAGGGGGUCCCAAGCAGUGCGUCUCAGGAUCAAUGGUAACAGGAGGUAAACCUGGGCAAACGUCGGGCCGGGCCGGGUUUCGGGUCGGGCUUGUAAAAGCCCGACCUUCAUUUCUCAAGCCCGAGCCCGGCCCGAAGCCCAAAAUACUCCCUGAAAUCAAGCCCGAGCCCGGCCCGAAAUCAAGCCCCAAGCCCGAAAGCCCGGCCCGAACGCUGUUUUUUAGUACGUGUACGUGCAAGCCCGGGUCGAAGCCCGAAAGCCCGGCCCGAAAAAUAGAAAAAGAGAAGCCCGAGCCUGGCCCGAACUACCUUUCGGGCUGCAAAACAAAGCCCGAGCCCGGCCCGAGUGUCAAGCCCGGCCCGGCCCGGCCCGGGUUUUUCGGGCCGGGCUCGGGCCGGGUCGUCGGGCCGGGCUGCCCAUGCCCGGGUUUAACAGGAGGUAAGGGAUACAAUGUUUACCCAGGUUCGGGUCCUCUCGAUGGAGGUAAAACCCUACUCCUGCUUGAUUAAUAUUGAUGAUAUGGGUAGUACAAGAGUUGAUCUACCACCAUAUCAGAGAGGCUAAACCCUAGAAGCUAGCCUAUGGUAUGAUUGUUGUAUAUGUCUAUCGACUAGCCUAGCCCCGGUUUAUAUAAUGCACCAGAGGCCUAGGAUAACAAGAGUCCUAGCCGAAUGCGCCGGUGGGGGAGGAGUCCUUGUCUUGAUCGCCAAGUCUUGUUGAUUCUUCCUUGUAUGCGGCAGCUGUCCAGACUGGCCCAUGAGUAUACGGCCAUGGGGGUCCUCGGCCCAAUCCAACUGAUCGGGGGACGGCGCGUUGAGUACCCCCUAGUCGAGGACACCGUCAGUAGCCCCCUAAACCGGUCUUCAAGUUAGGGACGCUCCUCGAUUCUUCCGAACUGUUCUUCAUCUUCGGUUGCCGGUCUUGAAAACUGGUUCAACAAAUCUUCUCAUCUUCUAUCUUGAGGAUCGCCGAAAUGCAUUCGACGAGUUUACACGUCGGGUAUCCGAGGAGCCCCUUUAAGUUUCCGGCCUUUAUCAAUGCCUUGUUAUUUUUAUGCCACACCUCGGGUUUGAAGUUGUUCCCGGGUGGCAACGUCCUCUUGCGUCCGAGCUCCAACGCCGGACUGCAUUCGAGGUAUCUUUUGCAGCCGAGCACCAACGCCGGACUGCUUCCCAGCUCUAAUGCCGGACUAUGUAUCCGAGCUCCAACGCCGGACUGUAUUCGAGAUCCAACGUCGGACUGUAUCCGAGCUCCAACGCCGGACUAUGUAUCCGAGCUCCAACGCCGGACUGUAACCGAGGUGUCGUAAAUCACCUUGGUUCAAAGAAGUUUGAAGGAGUUUUGCCGAGCUUAACACCGGAAAUGCCCUCUAUGGAGCCAGCAACUAGCGCCCGAGCUUUAUGCCGGACUGCUUCCCAGGUGGUGCACCACCCCAAAUGUGGGCCGAUUUUUGUCAAUAUUUUUUGUUGGUGCAAUUUAUUCUCUGCCGAGAUACAUAGCCAGUAGCCCUCAAGGUGGGUAUCGGUCUAAAACCCGAGAUGCCCAUGAAGGAUGACAUAAGACCGCUGAUCCCCGUAGCUGCUGAGACUCAGGUUGAUUUGCAAAAUCGGUCUGAGGAUCAAGUCCUAACUUGGCAGAAUACUUCGGGACACAAAAAGCGGCAUGCUCAGUCCUCGAGACUCAGGUUGGGUGCGGCCGACCAACUUGAGGAUCAAAAUCUCCUCGGAAACUGUAUUGCACUUAAAAUUUUCUGCAUAGAACAGGCAAUGCAGUAGCCCCCGAGACACUGGUCGGGUGGCAACACCAGAUCAGGGGAUUGAUGUGCCCAUUUAAUAUUUGUAAAUAAUAAGCCCGAAGCCCAGUAGCCCCCGAGCCUUAAUGCGGGCACGGGAGGCCGAAUUAAGGAUCGAUAUCCAUAGUAAAAUCACAAAUUAUGUGUAAUGACUCUAUGUAUCCAAGUACUUUACGUCAUUAAUGCUCGGAUCCGCAUUGUACAAAACUUUGUUGACCGACCAUCGGCUUCCACCUCCUCGUCCAAUAGCCGAGGAGUGUUUGUCCUACUUUAUAAAGCCUUUAUGAGGAUAAAGACUUACAACAAACAAGGCAAUCUGGCCAUACGGUUUUAUAAACAAAGGUACGCGAAGAGACAUGUUAUAUUACUGUUUAAUAGAAGAAAUGUCUUCCAAAGAAAAUAGUCCCGCUAUCGGUUCCUUUCUUUGGGUUGUCGUGCUAAGCAUGAUCAUGAAACCUCAGCUCCAAUGUAAGAGCAAAAUAUCGAGGAUUUAGUUUGGGAGGCUAGUUACUAGCCCCCGGUAGUGUUCGGCGACAGUCGAUGUCAAGCUGGAAACACUUCGACCAAUGUUAUGAAUGGCCCGUCAUUUAAUAUAGUCAUCGGAUCGCUGACCAGUUUACACCUAUUGUGAAAGUCAGUUUUCGGCUUUCUUCACUGAGGUGCUUGACCAUGCGAGCUGGAAGCACAAUCGCAGUGGUUCUCCCUUUGCACACCUAGCUGAACAAAGCGGAACAUAGGGGGCAAGCGCGGGAGCCGGGCAACCCAACUAUUGACCGAAGACACAAUUCGAAACUGAUGCAUAUAUAGCAAUAUCCGAGAAUGUCUUUUGCCGAAUCUCUAAAGGUGUCCGGCGUUGCACUGCGAGACUUGUGCUGAAAACACACAAAUAGUUUAAAAGUGCCAUGGGCUCGAAAAGCCAAAAAACUUAUUCAAAAGAUUAAUGUCCGAACUAGAUCAAGUGUUCGGCGCCAAUCCGAAAAUUGGACUUUAGAAAAGAAAAAAAAGGUGUUUCUGCCGUGCUUUAACAUGACACAUCCUAUCUCAAAACUUCAAGCGGGUCAGCCUACGGCUUCCGGCUAGUGACCGCACACUUGUGUCGAAAAAAGGAGUGAUAAAUAAUAAUAAAAACUUUGCAACGACUAAGAAGAAAAACACUUAUCAUAAAACUGCUCAUACAAAUUUAAGAGCCCCCAAGUGACUUGGGUAAAAGAAUGAUUGCAUGUAUCGAAGUACUUAUAUCAUAUCUAUGUUCAACCGAACUUUAAACGCAUCUUAACCGACCGUCGGCUUCUCCCUCUUCGGUCAAGGACCGAAAAGUGUUAUGUACUCCAUCUGUCGAGAAUAUCGACGGUGUUUCCAAUAACCACACAAUCAGGCCAUAAGGCUGUAACAGACAAAGUGCGCUCAGGGAACUUAUGCUAUAUUACUGCGAAGAGUAAGAAGCAUCUUCGAAGAAAAUAGUCCCCCCACCGAUACCUUUCUUCGGUGCUCAUUGUUAUUAUGAGAUUUGUGCAAUAUAUUUUUUGUACUCAUGAGUUCCAUUGUGUGCCGACCAUGAUUGAAAACAAUAAGAGCGCUAGCUUUCGGCUUCACCCAGUCUGAGGUCUGGCUGGGUUGACCCGAUCGUCACAAUCGCAGAGGUGCUCCCUUUACUCCCUAGCCGGACAAUCGGGAACGUAGGGGUAAGCACAGGAGACAAGCAACCCAGCUUGCAAAUUGCUUAAGUCAAUAUGGUGCAUAUUAUGGCGUAAUACACGAACAAGGAACGAAGCCGUACAAGUGUAACCAUAUGCAAGAGGAAAAAGCUUCAUGAAGAAAGCCCCCAAGCAAACGGGGUAUUUGAAUUUGCGUGUCACAAACAAAGUUUGGACAAGGAAAUUUUAACAAGCAACUUUUUUUCAAAAAAGUAUAAUGCUUGGAUGAGCCGAACACAAGUUAAAAAUUUAAAACUUUGAGCAUGAAGACAACUUAGCUAGUUAAUGUGUUCGAUAUUGAUGACACGGUCCGAGCUUGAUGCGGGACAAGGUUCCAUCCCCGAGCCGGUCCCGAGGUGGCGGAGCAAAGAGCUCGGCACUCCGAAGUGGUGACAUAGCACGGUCAAUGCAGGACGGCAGGGUGAUGCCGAAGUCCCCGGCAUGGGGUAAUGAAGUGUUGACGAAGCCCCCCGUCCAGCCGAGGUGACGCCGAAGGAUAUAGUCUGGCUGGAUCAUUUUCCUAUGCACAAAAAAUAGUGCAAACCGGAGAUAAUAGUAAUAAUAAUAAAAAUAAAAAAUUUGUUGCAUAACAAAUAAUUUAUGCAAAGUGAGUAAUAAAAGAAAUAUGGCAUGGCGCCGAAGUCAAUGUCGAUGCAGGGCGGCGGCGUGAUGCGGUAAAGGCAUGGCAAGACCUGAAUUCACAGGUCGGUUCGAGUUCCGGAUGCGGCGUUUGCCGGACUAUGUACGGAAACUGACCGAACCACCAUGCGACCGUUGUUAAUGCGGCCACCAUUUGAUAGACCUGCGUACAUAUGACGGACAAACCAGAGUAAUAAUUCAUUGGAAAAAAUGAACCCUAACAAGCAAAAAAUACUAGGAUUAAUAGCACCUGGCUUAUUUGUUGUAGCAAUCCGAAGAAAGGUGAUUCCCAAAAUUGAGACUCGAUCCGCACACCUAUCGCCUGAUGGGCGAUAAAGCAACAGCAUGGCGAUGCUGGCAAAGGUUGGCUCGCCGAGGCAAAGCCCUCGGUCAGCUAACGUGACGGAGCUGGUCGGCCAGCGACGCCGAAGUCUCCGGAGUAGGUUGAUGAAGAGAUGAUGAAGCCCCCGGUCCAGCGAUGCAGGUCGAUACGUGGUCGAUGCCGGCUUGAUGAAGUGACCGUGUGGCGAUACAGGUGUGCCCGCUCCGUGUAAUCCAUGGGGCGGCGAUGUUGGUGACGAUUUAUCCUUCGCGAUGCCGAACUAUUGUUCGGCUGGCCGAGAUGAUGAUCCGAAGAAAUUGAGCUCGGCUCAACAAAGCGAUGACGUGUCUAACGCAGGUCGGCCGCCGUGGAGUGAUGUUGUCGGGCUGGUUUGACACCGGCGCGACGGUGAAGUUCGUAUUGUAAGAAUACUUUUAAUACUAUUGGGAUGUGUUUGAGAAUAAAACAUAACACCCCAUACGAAACUUCCUUCAAAAAGGAUGUCCGAGAUCCCGUUCAUAAAGAAGAUGAAUUCGGGUCGGAUUCGUUCUCGCGCAGAAAACAGAUCCAAAAAGUGAUGCACUAAUCGGAAGUUUCCCGGAGUUUGGACGGUCGGAUCGAGCUGAAUUUUUGGCAGAUGAUAGAUAUGGGAAUUCCACAGCAAAUCAACGGUUGGAUCCUCCAAAGGAAAUCCGAGCUAGAUGCUGGAUACCACGCCCUAAACUCGUCCGGAUUCUCAUCCAGAUUCAACAGGGCUCUGGUAUAUCGGAGAUUGCCGGAGAUUCCUCCAUCGGAACUCGACGAAAUUUUUGCAGGGUUGUUGUAGACUUAAUUCCGCAUAAUUUCACCAAAGUAAUCGUUUAAGCGACACUCGAGAAGGCGAUGGCGGCGGAUACAAGUUUGCUGUCCAGAAAAACAGCACGGUCGCCUGAGGGCAAUGUUGACGUUGAGCCCUCGAGCUCCAUGGAUGACUCCCCCAUGAUCUUGAUAGAGAUCGGAGUUGAUGUUGAUGAAGGCCCUCAUCCGAACAUGACGAUCGGAGGUAGGAAGCAGUCCUUGGUCGAACCAAGGUGACCAGUCGAGCUGGUGACGAAGCAGCCGACAUCGCAGUUGACCUGCAGUCGAGCCAUUGAUCCUUUCGCCGAUCACACAGCGGAACUCUCAAUGAAAGCACCAAUGUUGGUGUCAAAACCGGCGGAUCUCGGGUAGGGGGUCCCAAGAAGUGCGUCUCAGGAUCAAUGGUAACAGGAGGUAAGGGACACAAUGUUUACCCAGGUUCGGACCCUCUCGAUGGAGGUAAAACCCUACUCCUGCUUGAUUAAUAUUGAUGAUAUGGGUAGUACAAGAGUUGAUCUACCACCAGAUCAGAGAGGCUAAACCCUAGAAGCUAGCUUAUGGUAUGAUUGUUGUAUAUGUCUAUCGACUAGCCUGGCCCCGGUUUAUAUAAUGCACCAGAGGCCUAGGAUAACAAGAGUCCUAGCCGAAUACGCCGGUGGGGGAGGAGUCCUUGUCUUGAUCGCCAAGUCUUGUUGAUUCUUCCUUGUAUGCGGCAGCUGUCCGGACUGGCCCAUGUGUAUACGACCAUGGGGGUCCUUGGCCCAAUCCAACUGAUCGGGGGACGACGCGUUGAGUACCCCCUAGUACAGGACACUGUCAGCUGCAGAGGGUCCUUCUCUGGCCGACGCGUGCGGGAGGUGCCUUGGCUAGGUCCGGCCAGAUCUAGUGCCAGUGGCCUGGAGCACGGCGCGGGUGGUGACCGGAGCCUGACUGAGUCUCUAUAGGAGGUGGGCACGGUGUCCUGGAGUGCGCGGGUGGUGACUGGAGGCCCGACCGAGUCUCUACAGGAGGUGGGCGCGGUGGCCUGGGCACGCCAGGGUUCCGGAUGUGGUGGCGGCAGGAAGCUGGGUCUCGGCCCAGAUCCGGUUUGUCUUGUGCCUCGAGGGCCUUGUUUGGCGUUCGACCGUCGCGUAGUGAUGGCACUCUGGUUGUCCAUGCGGCCACAUCUUCUUGGGCAGCGAUGGUUGGUGCUCAACGGCGGGGUGCAUGUGGUGGUGGCGAAACCCUUCUCCUAGUUCUGGGCCAGCGGCACAGGCUUCUCGUGCAAUGGAGAUGGUACGGACGUGGGGCUUGUGCUCGGGAAGAUUUGGUUGGGCAUGAGGUGGGUCGGGGCUACCACUCCUGGUAGGUGAUGUUGGGGCUUGGUCUGGGUGGUGCCCGCGGGCGAUGAGGUCCCUCUCGUCGUGGGUGAGGUGGCCGGGAACCCGCUACUUUGCUGGGAAGAUCAUCGUCGAAGACCUUGGGCAUGGCGUCAUGAGAGUGGACUCGGUGACGGACGUAGGUAGUCACGGGAUUGUGUGUCCCCCGGUCCACCAGGACUGGCUGGAGAUGCAGGCUUGGGCGCCUCCUGCCGUGGAGGCGUCGACCUAGAUGAUAUAUCCCAAAUGUAUCUACUUUUCCAAACACUUUUGCUUUUGUUUUGGACUCUAAUUUGCAUAAUUUGAAUGGAACUAACCCGGACUGACAUUGUUUUCAGCUGAAUUGCCAUGGUGUUAUUUUUGUGCAGAAAUAAAAAUUCUCGGAUUAGGUUGAAACUUCAUGGAGAUUAUUUCCAGAAUAUAUAAAAAAUACUGGUGAAGAGAACUACCGAAGGGGGGCCACCCAGGGGCCACAAGCUCAGGGGGUGUGCCAACCCCCAGGUCGUGCCUAGUGAGCUUGUGGGCCCCUGAAGACUCCGGCAACCCUAAGUCCAACUCCAUAAGUACCGUCUCGCGGAGAAAAAAAUCAGAGAGAAGGAAUCAUCACGUUUUACAAUACGGAGCCGCAGCCACCUCCUGAUUUUCAUCGGGAGGGUUGAUCUGGAGUCUGUUUAGGGCUCUAGAGGGUGGAAUCCGUCGUUGUCAUCAUCAUCAACCCUUCUCCAUCAACAAUUCCAUGAUUCUCACCAUUGGGAGUGAUUAAUUCCUUUGUAGGCUUGCUGUACGAUGAUGGAGUUGGAUGAGAUUUUUCAUGUAAUCGAGUCAAUUUGUUAGGGCUUGAUCCCUAGUAUCCACUAUGUUCUAAGAUUGAUGUUGCUAUGACUUUGCUACACUUAAUGCUUGUCACUAGGGCCCAAGUGCCAUGAUUUCAGAUCUGAACCCUUUACGUUUUCAUGAAUAUAUUUGAGUUCUUGACCCUAUCUUGCAAGUUGUAUGCAUCUAUUACGUGUUAUGAUCCGCACACCCAAGAGGACAAAAAUUGGGAUUCUUUUCGGUGAUUACCGUAGUAUGAGGAGUUCAUGUAUUCACUAAGUGCUAAUGCUUUAUUCCGGUUCACUAUUAAAAGGAGGCCUUAAUAUCCCUUAAAUUUCCUUAUGGACCUCGCUGCCACGGGAGGGUAGGACAAAAGAUGCCAUGCAAGUUCUUAUUAUAAAGCACGUAUGACUAUAUACGAAAUACAUGCCUACAUUACAUUGAUGAAUUAGAGCUAUUGUGUAUCACUCUAGGUUAUCACUAUUACAUGACGAAUAUCAUCCAACAUAAUUAUCCAUCGUUGAUCCAAUGCCUACGUUUUUUCUCAUAUCGGUCUUUCCUAAGUUACUUUAGUUCUUGCUGCUAUUACAAUCACUACAAAAUUGCUUCUGUUACUAUUACUGUUACUAUUGGUACUGUUACUACUGCUAUCAAACUAUCAUAUACUGUGCUACUAAACACUUUGCUGCAUAUAAUAUCCUAGGUGUGGUUGUAUUGACAACUCAACUACUAAGUCUCAUAAAUAUUCUUUGGCUCCCCUUGUGUCUAACCAAUAAAUUUGGGUGAAAUAUUACCUUCGAAGACUGUCGGAUCUCCUAUACUUGUAGGUUAUUAGUAGACUCUGUGGCCGAUGUCGGGCUAGGAGUGAAAGGAGACGCCUUUUACUCCUACUAUCUUAGUGGGUGCAUUGCGAUGUGAGGGAGUGAUGGUGUCUCGGACAUGGAUGCCGGGGCGACGGCCCUAGAUGGUCGUCCGCAUGGUUGGAUCUCCGGGGAGCACCAUUGUGGCAGUGUUUGCUUUUNNNNNNNNNNNNNNNNNNNNNNNNNNNNNNNNNNNNNNNNNNNNNNNNNNNNNNNNNNNNNNNNNNNNNNNNNNNNNNNNNNNNNNNNNNNNNNNNNNNNNNNNNNNNNNNNNNNNNNNNNNNNNNNNNNNNNNNNNNNNNNNNNNNNNNNNNNNNNNNNNNNNNNNNNNNNNNNNNNNNNNNNNNNNNNNNNNNNNNNNNNNNNNNNNNNNNNNNNNNNNNNNNNNNNNNNNNNNNNNNNNNNNNNNNNNNNNNNNNNNNNNNNNNNNNNNNNNNNNNNNNNNNNNNNNNNNNNNNNNNNNNNNNNNNNNNNNNNNNNNNNNNNNNNCUCUCUGUAACUGGCAGUGGAGGCUCCCCGGUCUGGAUCUAGAGUUCUGAACUCACCAAUAGGGUACCAAGGUAUGAAAUUAUCUUGAGUAAUCCCCCAGCGAUUAACAAUGCACUCCCUCUGUCCCAUAAUUUAAGAGCGUGUGUCAAAAAUGCUCUUAUAUUAUGGGAUGGAGAGAAUAGUAAAAAGGCAACAUCCAACCACAACAUUAUGAAGCAACAACAUUGCACACCUUUGCGGGACAUUGGCAGCAUCAAUGGGUGUGUUCCCACUCAUUUCAAGUUUUUAGCAAACAUCUUCCUUGAGGGGCUGGUUGUGCACCUUUUCUAUCCGUCGCCAUGCGGUUGACAAAAUUCAUGAUUCUCCACAACAUGGUAGGACGGGUCAAGAACAUGCAUAGAAGAAAAGAAAGAGAAAACAAUAGGAGCAUCAGAGCGAUGAAGGGGGUUAAACAAUGAUAAAAACAAAUAGAACCAAGAAUUUUCGACCACCCUUAGAAGGUUGCUUUGAGUUACAUGGAUAGUCAUCAUCGUUGAAGAGAUUCGGGUGCUCGUAAUUCAGAGUGACAAACUCCACUUCCCGUGAAAGCUCUUCGCCACUCCACAUUUCCGGCACCGUUUAGCUCAUACGCAACAUCUCUAGGCUAUUGUGCUCCUCUGGCGGUUCUUUUUUUGGUGAAAUGAUGCUCACUGUCACCCUAUUCAAGCAUGAGCUCCCGACCAACAGUUCCGAUGAUAUGGGGCAAUUUUGGCUGCAAAGUAUGCCGAUAAGGAAAUUCAAGGUGGACUAAGAGGUCAGCGAGGUUACAGGAUGUCGGUGGGGUGGAGGCUGCCGAGAGAGAGAGGGAGCAGCAGCCCAAAGGGAAUCUUUUUUUGAGAACUCAUUUCCGCUGCUCAAAUUUUAGAGCCGGUGUAGGCUUCUCCUAUUCUUUUGGAUACGAUUUACAUUUUGAGAGUUUGUCUAGGUGCGACUUAACUCCUCAAAAGGGAAUCUUUUGUGGAGUUAAGCUCUUUUUGGAAGUUGGCUAGAGUUCCUCUUAGAUCCUGAAUUAACUUUCAGUCUACUUUCUUUCCUUAAGUCUGUCCUUGAGCAAUGUUAUGGAUGGUGCAUUGGUUGAGAAAAUAACUGGCCCUCGUAUAACAACAAAACCCAAUCUCCAUCUCAUCAACGUGCAUGACUUUCAUGUCCAGCGAAACUCAUGCCAGGUUCAUUGUGAAUUGACUACUACGCUUGGCCAUAGGUGCGGGCAAAGAAUGCUCAAAGGUGCUCCGAUAGGGCAAUCAUUAGCACGUGCGAGAACCUAUUACUUAGAACAACUCUAGCAGAGUUGCCAUAUUGGUAGCCACUCCACAUGCAUUAUGGAGGUUGUUGAGGUGAUGUGCAAAGUUGUGCCUCCGUAUUUGCUGCCUCUAUAAUUGUGGGGCCCACUCGAUAGUGGUGCAUCUUUUUCCCAAUCUCCCUGCCAUCCCAGGUGAGGUGAGGGACCACAUGAAGUUUCCUUCAUACCACAUGCAAAUGUCAUACAGACUGCGCUCCAAAAGGCAGGCCCGAGUUGCCAAUUGUGGAGGCUGGUAGGCUAGAUAUGGAGGGAGAUCCAUAAAUUAUGGUGAUAUAGAGGCAUAUGUGCUGGAAAUAUGUACUAGAGGCAAUAAUAAUUCAUGAUUAAUGUUUACAUUAUAUGCUGUAACUGUUGUGGUUCUCGAUCCUGCAAAAACCAAGAGGAUCAGAGGAAAACUCAUCUACACAUGUAGAGUUAUAAAUGGUAAAAUAAGAUUCCUAGUCUUGCAUUUAAGACUAGCUUAGUUGUUGUAUGAUGGUUGAUCAUGGGCAUAGUUAAGUGUAAUGAUGAUGCAGACAACAUUUGAGAGAAUGAUGUUGGAAGAACACUCGUAUUUUCUUGACCCAAGUUGUAUCUUUUACUAAGAGAUGAAAUCAUCACAAGUCUAUAGUCUAUAAUACGAUAAAUUAACAUAUGCACAAUUCGUUAGACCAUGAGAGUAUAGAGUCACUCCAUAUCGGAUGAUGCUCUUUGGAGUUAUUCUAAUGUCUGUUGUAAUAGGGUGGUCAUAACAGCAAGUUACAUGUUCAUCGGAAACAUAUGAUGGGGGACUAGAUAGCUCGAGACUCGGAUUUUGUUCAUGUGACGAUGGAGAGAUUUUGUAGGGCCCUUCGGUGUGUCGACAUCCAUCGUCGUCAGGUAUAGUGAGAAUGUAUUUGACUCACGGGGAUACUGAUAUAUAUCACCUCGGGUUUUGUAAAUUAUCGCAAAGCAAAAUGAAUAUCAUAUGGUAGCUACAGGUUCAGUCGAUAAACAUUUGUGUGGGUAUAGCCGUAUAAGCAUCAAUAUGGAUGUCCACAGCUCCGCUAUUGAUCAUUGACCGAAAGUUUUUCUUGGUCAUGUCUAUAUUUCACCGAACCUACAAGGUCACAUACUUAAGAACCUUUGAUCCGUUGACUUCUAAAUGAGUUUGGAGUGUUGGAGUAUAUCACCAAAAAAGUUUUGGAGAUAACAUAAAUUGUUGCGGGAGAGAACCGGAAGUGUUUCGGGGAAACUAGAAGCAGCUCGGAGAAAACCAAAUAAAACUGGAUGGGUGGAAAAGUUCUGGAGGAUGUAAUAGUAGUAUAUGAGGGCUCCGGUAUUUAUAGAGAGCUCCUCGGGAUUAUUCUAGGCACCAUGGGCUGCCCAAAUAAACUAAAGCCUAUUAGGGCGCAUCCACAUAGGCCUUGAGGCCCAUAUAUGUGUUGCCCUCCCUUAGCCUCGCCCCCCAAGCUAGGGGGUGGUGGGCUGGUGGGGCGCCACCCCCUUGGUCAUCGCCACAAGGGAAGCCCCCUCCUACAAGUUGGUCUCGCCCCUCCACCUAUAUAUACCCAUGGGGGCGCCCGCUAUUGAGACACAAGUUCUCUCGUGAUCUGGGGUGCCCCCCCUCUCUAGCUCUCCACCAUAGCUCUUCUUGCGAAGGGCUGCUCCUCCCUCUUUUUUCUAUUCCGGCAUCGUCAAGGCCUAGACAAGGAAGCACUGCCGGAUCUCUGGUCUUGAACGCGUGCGAUGCACAGAGGGCCCGUACGUUUGGUUCUUGUUCAAGGGAUCUGUUCGUGGGACUUCAAGAACACGAUCUUCACAAACUCUUUUUCCGCUGCAACUCGUUGUUGGUAAAGAUCAGAUCUAACCUUGUAUGUAUGUCUUCAUAGUGAUCCUGGUUUUGUUCGUAGGACAUUUUAUUUUCUAAAUUACAAUUCCCAACAAUAUGAUGACCAUGCCAGAGUGCAUUUUUUUGGCAACAAUCAUAAUCAUUGGAAGUUAUUAUGGCAACUGUGCUCAGACGUGUGCAGGUAGUAAUCGACAUGUACGGCCACACAGGUUUUCCCACUAGACAAUCACAUUGUGGGUCUCACAUAGGAUGUAAAUUUUCUAUUUUUUCUGAAAUUUUCCAAAAUCCUACAAUUUCAAUAUUUUGAAAGAUUUUUUGAAGUUCAAAAUUCUGUAAGUUCGAAGUAUUCUAAAAGAUCAAAUUUUGAAAUUGAAACAUUUGAAAAUGAUUUAAAAAUAAAUAAAUUACUAUUGUCAAAAUUUUGAAAGUUGACAGACUUGGAGCAGCCGCGACGUCCAUGAUCGAGCUCGGCCGUUGGUCGUCCGCCUCUUGCACGCGGCUCCAACGCACAUCCGCUCUGGUGCUCACCUCCACGUCGGCCCCACGCUACCUCGCAUGUGAUUCGAACCGCCGCGUCAUCGGUGGAAGCACCUCGCGACACCAAUGGCCACUACGCCAGAUCAUGCGCCAGCUCCACCACAUCCCGCAUGGCACGGCAUGGAAAAAAUCUUACCAUCGCACGAGUUUUGCCUGACUAUGUCCUACAGGGACGACAAGAGAGGAAUGAAGGAGCCGGUUGUACGGGUGAGUUGGUAGGUUGGGGCGCCAAAUUAGGGUAUCUUUUCUCAAAACGAGGGAAAUAUAAAUAUGAAGGAUUUUAGUGACAUGUCCUCUUAAAUCCUACAGGAUUAGAAAACUACAGGAAUUCAGAUAAAAGAGUGUUUGAUGGAGUGAGGCGUUUUGGAGGCCGAGCUCCAUGGAGCCUUUUAUUUUUGAAUCUUUUCUUCAAAAAUUGAACUUUUCGGUUUAAAUCUGAAAAAAUUUAUGCAAGUAUACAAAGAUGAAAUGUAUAUGUGUGUAAAAAUUCAGGAUGAAAAACCUUGAAAUGCGACCUGUGCGACAAAUUCAUUGUGUUUGAGGCUUAAUAGUAUCUUGUGUUGAAAAACCUCAGAUUUGUUUUUUUAGAGGCCUCAUUUCAACGUAUUUUGUCCUGAAUAUUUACACACAUGUAUAUUAUGCCUUCAUGUAUAUGUGUAUUUUUUCAUAAUUUUUUAAAAUCUAGAAAUAUGAAUUUUGAUGAAAUUUCAAAAAUGCUUUUGGACUCCUCCAUGGAGCUCGGCCUCCAAAAGGCAUUUUUGUGUUUGAUAUCACUAUAAAGAAAAUGAAUUAUACAAAGAGAUUUGAGUGGAUGCACAUUUUUCUCCAAAAUAAAGUGCAAAUGAAUUCUAAGAAAACUUACUAACAUUUCAAUAUACUAUGAAUCAAACAGCCAACACGGAAAAAAAAUUCCUACGAUCUAAAUUCUCUAAAAAUCCUACAAAACUCUUUUGGAUCAAACCCCCAGCUCAGCCUGUCAUAUGCUUCGAGUACUUACUUUCGUUCUCGUCACAUGUCGACACUUUCGAUCCGCUAAGCAAUACCAUUUUUGCAAACGAAAAGAAGAAUGAUCAGAUGUUUCUGGGGAAGUGUCUUCUUCACUCUAGUCGGCAGCCACCUGCCGACCCACUCAUGCGAGCACACGUAGCGCCCUGCCCGGCGAUUCGUCCGUCUGACCACCCCUCUUUAUGGGCUAGUCGGCACUCACCUGCCCAUCCACUCACGAGAGCACACCUGGAGCUUCGUCCACCCUCGAACGGCCUAUAAAUAGUGCCUCAUGCUGCACCUGCUUUACACAACCACGUUCUUCACACAACCAAGACAAGUAAACAGCAGCACUAGCUAGUAGAUUUCCCGAGUGACAGGUUGAGCGCAAGAUGGAGCACCAGGGACACGGCACCGGCGAGAAGAAAGGCAUCAUGGAGAACAUCAAGGAGAAGCUCCCCGGUGGCCACCAGCAGACCGCUGGCACCCACGGGCAGCAGGGACACACUGGAAUGACCGGCACGGAGAUGCAUGACACCACGGCCACCGGCGGCACCUUUGGGCAGCAGGGACACACCGGAACGACUGGCACUGGGACACACGGCACAGCCGGGACCGGCGAGAAGAAGAGCCUCAUGGACAAGGUCAAGGAGAAGCUGCCUGGACAGCACUAAGCCCGGUGUGCCCACGACCGCUACCUUCGCAGAAUAAUACUCCACCGUAUAUGAAUUGAUCGAGUCUAGUUCACCUAGCUCACUUGGUCAUUGGAGGAGCGAAUGUAUCUUUGCUUUAAGUUUUCACGGAAAUGUGUUCACUGUUUACGUUUGUUUACACUCUCUGUCGUGCAAAUUUCCUUUUUGUUCUUUUUUUUGGGCUAUCUAUUUUUUGACUAUCAGGAGGGCCAAAGCCACCCGGUUCCAUUAUCAAAUAACGAAACCAGAGUGAGUUCAACAUCAUGCAUAAAGGCAUGUUCAGGAGGGGGUAUACAGCGUGACCAGCAUAUCCCUCCGUUCCCCUAGGGUUUCCCUAGGGUCUACCUCUUCCUUCGGCGGCGCCGCCGAAGUCCACAAAUUCCCACGUGAAAAUCGGCCGGAUUGCUACACGCUUGCUGGUGAUCGGGUCGUCCCGAGGCAAUCGUCUUGGCACAUCGUUUGCAUGGAGUUAGGGGAUGGAGUUCGAGGAGCAGGAGGGUCGAAGGGAGCGCAGGCGGAGGAUUUAGGGCGGAAGGCUUUGGGAGCUGGAGAGGAGCAACUCCCGUCAUCAUCGGCGGCGGGGAUGGCUGCGGGAGGGGCGGAUGAAGCGAGGCGUAUGGAGGAGGAUCGGGAGGAUGGGGAUGAGGAGGAAAAUUGGGAUCACCAUGGCCCAGAUCCGAAUUUGGAAGACGUGUUUGAAGGACUAAAUUUGCAGGGGGAGGAGGUGGAUGAUCUCGAUCUGUCAGGAGAGGUUGAUGAGUUGAUCAAGGAUGUGAGGUGGCUGGCUCUUUUUAGGGUUCAUACCCUACGUCCGUUCGGUCAUGCGGCGCUGUUAAACUCUAUGAGGAAUGCAUGGGCGUGUGCUCAAGGUGUGACGUUCAAUAUAAAGGGACCUAAUUUGUUCUUGGCGCAAUGCCAUUGUUUGGGAGAUUGGAAGAGGGUCAUGGAAGGAGGACCAUGGCAGUUUAGAAGAGAUCCGGUGGUUUUGGUUGAAUAUGAUGGGUUUACUAAUGUCUCUGACUAUACGUUGGACAUGUACCCACUUUGGGCAAGGAUCAAAGGCCUGCCUGACGGUCUAACGAGGAAGAAAGAACUGGCUGAGAAGGUGGCAAAGAAGGUAGGGGAGCCUCCGUUUACGGUGAUUGUCAAUGAAGGCAAGAUCAAUCCUUCGAGCUACUUGAGAGUUAGGGUGUUCGUUAAUGUUAAUAAGACGCUGGUGAGAUUUGUGCCAAUAACCUAGAAGGAGAGGAAGAAAUACCCAGUUUACUACGAAAAGCUGCCUGAUUUCUGUUUGUUUUGUGGAUGUAUGGGACAUGUGGUCGAGGAACGUGGAGAUGGGAUACAUGAUCCGUCAUCGUGUGAAUGGGGUGACUAUUUGCAUUGGAGUGGAGAACCAAUAAACAAUGGUGCAAGGGGAGGUCGAGGUGCCUGGUCUGAGUCACGUAGAGAUAAUGCGGCUGGGGAAGGAGUACGGGGCGGUAGAAGAGGAGGUGGAGGUAGGGGUGACAGAGGAGGGAGAAGCUUUGGGACUGGAGGAAGGGGUGCUGGAGUGCAUCCGAGUGUACCUGAGGGGGUUGUUGAGGAAGGCGAGCAGGGCGGGCUAGAUCAGGAACGCUCGGCUCGUAAAAGACUCGUCAGAGAUGAUGGUACAGUUAAUCUACGUGGGCAGUUGGUUCCUAACCUGGGAGGGAAGGUGGCUGAUACUGUGCUUUUUAUUGAGUCCGGCGCCGGGAUUGGAAUGCCGAGCCCGAGUGCAGCGGCCUCCACACUGGGAAAGAACCCCAUAGUGAAAAGGUUGCGUCACAGCGGAAGUGGGGACCAGAUGAUUGUCAUUGAGGAUAUGGGUACCUCUUAUGCGGCGGCCUCCGAGUCGGAGGACCGCCAGGUCCAAUGAAUUGCUUAAGCUGGAACUGCCGGGGAGGGGGGAAUUCCCGGACAGUUCGUGAGCUGACGACCCUUUGUAGGUCAUAUUCCCACAUGUUUGUGUUCCUGUGUGAGACGAGACAGAAGGAAGCGAAGAUGAAGAGAUUAAGAGGCCGGUUUGGCUUGAAGGGCUUUUGUGGCGUUGAUAGUUCAGGCAUGAGUGGUGGCCUGGCGGUAUAUUGGCAUGAAAAUUGUGUGGUUGAAGUGCUUGACAAAGAUGAUCGUCAUGUUGAUGCCCUAGUUCAGGUGCAGGAAGGGGCGGAUCAGUGGAGAAUUACGUUUGUAUAUGGAGAACCGCGGGUAGAAAACCGGCAUCUCAUGUGGGCAAAAAUACAGAAUUUGAAAACUGUCAAUGAUCUUCCGUGGUUGGUUUUGGGGGACUUUAACGAAGCAAUGUGGGAUUUUGAACACUUUUCAGCUACUCCAAGACCAGAGCCGCAGAUGAUAGCAUUCAGGGAUGUGUUGGAAGUUUGUAGUUUAGUAGACUUGGGAUUUUUGGGGGUUCCUUUCACCUAUGACAAUAAAAGAAGUGGCUCGAGCAAUGUUAGGGUGAGGCUGGAUAGGGCCGUUGCAACAAAUGAUUGGAGGAAUAUAUUCCCCUUUGCCUCUGUACAACAUAUUCUAAGUCCUUGUUCGGAUCAUGUGGAUGUACUUCUCAAGGGCGAGGCGGAUUCUGGACCGGUUGGGCCGAAACAUCGCCGAUAUGAGAUCUUCUGGGAGCGGGACUCCACGCUGCCGGAGGUCGUCAAGAACGCGUGGGAAUCUGUUGGCAAUGUCCAAAAUUUGGAGCAGUUGCGAGAGGCGCUAACCAAGACAAUGGUGUCGUUGGGUUCUUGGUCCAGGAAGUUCGGGAAUGUUACAAAGGAGUUAGCUAAGUCCCGUUCACAGUUAGAAGAGCUCAUGCAUAUGAAUGCGGAUCGACAAGAAAUAAGGAAAGUGACAGACAGGAUGAAUGAUCUUUUGUACCAAGAGGAGAUGAUUUGGCUUCAAAGAUCGAGAAUUUCAUGGCUUAAGGAGGGGGACCGCAACACAAAGUUUUUUCAUAGUAAGGUAGUGUGGAGGGCUCGUAGAAACAAAAUCAGGCAGUUAACGGAUAGUAUUGGAGUGGUCCAUUCAGAUUUGGUGUCUAUGGGUAAGCUAGUGAAUGAGUAUUUUCGGGAUGUCUUCACUGCGGAUGUUAACCUUGAUGCAGGCCAUGUGGUUGAUCUCUUUGAAGUACUUUGUCACGGAGGAGGACAAUAUUAAGCUAUGUGCUCCGUUUAGUGAUAAGGAAAUCUCUGACGCACUUUUUCAGAUAGGGCCACUUAAGGCGCCGGGCCCUGAUGGAUUUCCAGCCAGGUUUUUCCAGAGGAAUUGGGCGACUCUCAAGGACAGUGUGAUUGCGGCUGUCAAGGAUUUCUUCAGAUCCGGGGUGAUGCGAGAGGGAGUAAAUUCCACGACGAUUGUCCUCAUUCCGAAAGUUGCUAAUCCUACAAAGCUGACUGAGUAUAGGCCAAUCAGCUUGUGCAAUGUGAUUUACAAGGUCAUAUCUAAAUGUUUGGUUAAUAGGCUCCGUCCUCUCUUGGAUAACCUAAUCUCUGAUGAGCAGAGUGCGUUCAUUCCGGGUAGGAUGAUUACUUACAAUGCGCUGAUUGCCUUUGAGUGCCUACACUACAUCAAACAGGAAAAGUAUCCAACAAAAAGCUUUUGUGCUUAUAAGCUUGAUCUCUCCAAAGCUUAUGAUAGGGUGGACAGGGGUUUCUUGAAGCAAGUGAUGCAAAAGUUGGGGUUCUCUCAGCGAUGGAUAGACUGGAUUAUGACUUGUGUCACAUCGGUGAGAUAUUCUGUCAAAUUAAACGGAACUCUCUUGGAUUCAUUUGCACCGACGCGUGGGCUUCGGCAAGGUGAUCCCCUUUCACCAUUUUUAUUCUUGUUUGUGGCGGAUGGUCUUUUGGCGAUCCUAAAAAAGAAAGUGGCAUCUGGUCAUAUUACUCCUGUAAGAGUAUGCAGGCGAGCACCGGGCAUAUCCCAUUUGUUAUUUGCUGACGAUACCAUGUUGUUUUUUGAGGCAACUAGAGAUCAGGCUAAGAGCGUUAAGGAAGCUCUAGACUUGUAUGGUGCGGCCACUGGGCAAAGUCUCAAUUAUGGAAAAUGUUCUAUGUUCUUUGGUUCUUCUUGUCCGAACACAAUUCAAGAUGAGGUUCGACAGGUGCUGCGUGUGCAAAGUCUGGUUUUUGAGGAAAAAUAUUUGGGUUUGCCUACCCCUGAGGGUCGCAUGUCUAAGGGGAAGUUCCAAAACCUUCAAACAAGCUUGAUAAAACGCCUUAUUCAGUGGGGAGAUGGUCAACUUGCCCAGCCUGGUAGGGAGGUAUUAGUGAAAGCUGUUGCACAGGCGUUGCCAACCUAUAUCAUGGGGGUUUUCAAAUUGCCAUUUUCAGUUUGCGGUGAUCUUACAAGAAUGGUUAGAAACUUUUAUUGGGGCUCGGCAAAAGGAAAAAGAAAGGUCCAUUGGAGGGGGUGGGACCAUCUCAUGCAGCCAAAGGAUAGAGGUGGUGCAGGUUUUCGUGAUUUUCAGCUGUUUAACCAGGCGCUUCUGGCUCGGCAGGCGUGGAGAUUGAUUUCUAGGCCGAACAGUUUAUGUGCACUGGUUCUGAAAGCAAGAUACUAUCCGGAGGGCAAGCUUGAAGACACGGUGUUUUCUGGCAACGCUUCCUCCUCCUGGCAAGCAAUAAGCCAUGGGUUAGACUUACUAAAGAAGGGUCUGAUUUGGCGUGUGGGCAAUGGCAGGAGCAUACGAGUUUGGCGCGACAACUGGAUCCCAAGGCCUUUCUCAUAUAAACCCAUCUCACUGCAGGGCAGAUGUCGUAUUCGCUAUGUUUUCGACUUCCUGAAUGAGAAUGGAUCCUGGAAGGGGCAGUUACUGUCAGAGUAUUUCCUUGCUGCGGAUGUUGAUGAAAUACUAAAGAUUAGAGCUUCUCCGAGGCAGGCCGAAGAUGUUAUUGCAUGGGGUCCCAAUAAGCUGGGUGUGUUCACAGUAAAAAGUGCUUAUAUGUUGGCGUUUGAAGAAGCACAUAGAGAGAGGGCAUCCUCGUCUAGUUCUUCUCCAGAUGGGAGUAGAGCUUGCUGGUCUUACAUAUGGAAGAGCUUGGCGCCUCCGACCGUCAAGAACUUUGCUUGGCGUAUGGCGACUGAUGGGCUACCUACCUGGCGGAACAAGCAUAAAAUCGGAUUAGAAGUAUCAAGUACCUGUCCAGUUUGUGGUGUUGAAGAGGAAGAUAAUUUUCACCCCUUUGUGCGCUGCCAAUUUGGGAGAGACUUGUAUCUAGAGAUGGCCAAGGUUUGGAGGUUACCUAGUAUUGAUAAUCUGAUAAACAGUGGGAAGGAGUGGCUGCUUAUUGCCUUAUCUUCAUUAAGUGAUAUUGAGCGAUGCAUGAUGCUUAUGACCUUUUGGCGGAGCUGGUUCGUCCGAAAUGAGAUUACACAUCAAAAACCAGCUCCACCACUUGAAGUUUCGGUUCGGUUCCUGCAAAGCUACCUGGAGUCGCUGGUGGCGAUCAAACUGAAUUCCAACAUGGACCCGAUCAAGGGCAAUCCGUUGUGAUCCUAGACUCGUUGCCUUCACCGUGCAGGGCGGUUUCCCCAGAGAGUAGAUGGUCUAAACCAAGCAGGGAUUGUGUUAAACUAAACACUGAUGGGUCCUAUGAUUCUUCGAGAGCAGCGGGAGCUGGAAUGAUCCUUCGGGAUUCUAAUGGCGAAAUUAUAUUCUCAGCCUGCCGAGUUUUAUUUUCCUGCAGAGAUGCUCUGGAAGCGGAGUUAUGUGCAUGCAUGGAGGGGCUUUCGAUUUCUAUUCAGAGGUCAAAUCUUCCUAUUGUGGUUGAGAUGGAUUCGUCGGAGGCGGUGGCCAUGAUCAACUGUGUUGGCAAGGAUCGAUCGGUCUAUGCUGCUCUUAUUGAUGAGAUAAGAUAUCUUGUUAGUCUUCGUUCUACUUGCAUUACUCACGUUUCGCGAACUCAAAAUAAAGCUAGUGAUUGCCUAGCUACCUUCAGGAGAGUUGAGAGUAGAAUUAUGACCUGGAUUGGGUCAGGCCCCCCGGAGGUGGUACAGAUUGCUAAGGAUGAUUGUAAAGACUUGAUUAUUGAGUAAUACAAGUAUUUCUCCCCGCAAAAAAAAGGCAUGUUCAGGAAGGUAAAAGGUUACAUAAAACGCUCAGGAAAAAGUGAAAGGUGCAAACUUAUUACAACACGGGUAUCUUCAGAGUGUCGAAUACAUUCCGCUUUUCUCCCAUUCUAUGGUUUACAAUGUUUUAAAUAACUCAACUAUAGCCUUUGAGACCUCUCUCGCUAAAGCUAUGCACUUUUAAUGCUAAAUUAAUAUGACGGUAAUAGCCCGCAAUUUCCCGUUAUAAUGCUACCUUUGGAGUUAUUUAGCCCGCUAAGCCGCAAUACAAAACCAUCCUUUUGCAUUAUUUUUUGUUCUUGUUUAUGAUAUAUUUGACACAUUGAUGCGAAGCUUGGUUAUUGAAUUAGGACACCAGAUUGGUGCUAGGGUUUCGAUGUGCGAACAUGUGUAUAUAUCGAGUAUAUGCAAUAUAUCAUAUAUGAUGUUCAUUUUAUAAUUAUUUUUUUUUCAAUUUUGCAUGAAUAAAGGAAAACAAAAAACGGGGCUUAGCUUCGCUAUAGCUUUUCAUAGCAACGGGCCAAUCCGCCGCUAAAUGGCAUAGCCCGCUAUUUAAAACAUAGGGUUUUCAGCACGAUCCUCCAGACUGCAGUACCAGGGGCCACCCCCACUCCAGGCCGCUUGAGCUUCUUUGCAGGUUGAGCUGGAGAACUAGGUAGAUCCAGUGGUGUGACUGGGCUCGGUAGGGAGUGUUUGCAGGGGGCAUUGCCAGGACUCCUGGGACGUGAUGAUAGAGUAACCCGAUUCAGUUUGGCAAUGAGCACUUGAGAAAAAGCACCUUCAGCAUUUUGGUGAAGCUCCACUACCCACUGUGAUCUGAAAAGGGGUGUUUAGGAUCAAGGAAAUUUUGAGACAAAAUUCCUCUAUCUUCAACAGUGAGGCAUCCAUAAAUAAUAUCACCCGUCUCCUCAUGAGCCCUAGUGUCAAGUUCGAAACUUGUUUCAAAAUCAAUCCAGACAGUAUUAUAAAGAAUACAUGAAUUCCUAUGUUUCCACAUAGCCCACAACACACAAGCACAUGUAGAAUUUAAAUCACUGUGUUUCUUGUGGGCUAGCAAGAAUUUGGCAAUGGAGAGGUAAAUUUUUCCUAGUUCAUAGGAGAAGAAUUUUGAUACAGAAGCCCAAACUUGUUUUGCAACAACACAAUCAAAGAAUAAAUGGUGUAUGGAUUCCUACUCAGAACAAUAAACACAUUCUAGAGAUUUUCUACCACUACUAGGGAAAACGUUAUACACAGAACUUUAGCAGUAGCGCUUGUCAAAAAAGCUCGCUACUGCUAGACAGCAGUAGCGCGUGCCAAAUAAGCGCGAUGCAGAUGCAUAUAUAGCAGUAGCGCGUCUCGCUGAAAACUCUCUACUACUAAAAUUUCGACCACUAAGCCGAUGGGCUACACAUAGUAGUAGCGAUCUUUCAGAAACCGCGCUGCCGCUAAUAUUCUUAUAGCAGCGCGUUUACGUGCAAAGCGCUACUGCUAACGAAAAUAAAAUAAAAUGAAAAACAAAUAGAAAAGUAAAUGAAAAAUGAAAGAAAUAGAAAAAGGAGAAAGGAAAAAUAUAAAAUGUAAAGAAAAAUAAACGAAAAAGGGAAAAAAGGAUGAAGGAAUAGCAGUAGCGCGUUUGCGAAAACGCGCUAUAGCUAACUUAGCUAUAGCGCGUUUUCCCUAACGCGCUACCGUUAUUAUUGACUUAACCCAAAAAAUGGUUUCCCCCCGGCCACCACUUCUCCCCCAAAUCCCUCGCCCCACUCUUCGCCGCCGUCUCCCCCACCUCACCGUCUCCCCCACUUCGCCGCCGUCUCCUGCCGGCGUCGACGCCGCGCUCAUCCUCACCGCCGCCGCCCGAGGCCGCCCAACCUCACCGCCGCCGUCUCUCGGGCCGCCCUCGACCUCACUGUCACCGCCCUCGACCUCUCCGCCGCCGNNNNNNNNNNNNNNNNNNNNNNNNNNNNNNNNNNNNNNNNNNNNNNNNNNNNNNNNNNNNNNNNNNNNNNNNNNNNNNNNNNNNNNNNNNNNNNNNNNNNNNNNNNNNNNNNNNNNNNNNNNNNNNNNNNNNNNNNNNNNNNNNNNNNNNNNNNNNNNNNNNNNNNNNNNNNNNNNNNNNNNNNNNNNNNNNNNNNNNNNNNNNNNNNNNNNNNNNNNNNNNNNNNNNNNNNNNNNNNNNNNNNNNNNNNNNNNNNNNNNNNNNNNNNNNNNNNNNNNNNNNNNNNNNNNNNNNNNNNNNNNNNNNNNNNNNNNNNNNNNNNNNNNNUUUCUCUUAGCUUUUUCUUCCUCUGCCAUGUUAAUUAGCAGUAGUAGUAGAUGUUAAUUAGUACUAGGGUUCAUACAUAAUGAUUUUUAGUAGUAGUAGUAGAUGUUAAUUAGUAGUAGUGAUGGUACUAGUUAACUAGGGCAGUAUGUUUAAUAGUAGAUGUUUUUAGUUAGGGUAAUAAUAGAUGUUAAGUAGUAGAUAAUGUUGAUGUUAAUUAGUUCAGUAGGGUUUAGUUUUUGAAUUGAGUUUGUUUAACUAGAUGUUACUUAGGGCAGUAGGGUUUAGUUUAGAGUAAAGUAAUUUAGUUCAGUAGUUAAGUAAAUAUAAUCUAUAUUUGGUUUUUGAAUUGAGUUUGAGAGAGCAUGAGAUUUGUGUAGAUUUUCUUGUAGUGUCAAACGCUAGGACAUGCAAAUUUGAAGUGGUCAGGAUAUAUGCAAAUUCCUUAAUUAUGUUUACACAUGCAUGUUUCGAUUGUGCCCAAGUGGCCUUUUGUUGUUUCCAGGGAAUGAAGCCGAGUGGCCUAUGUUUUGCCGGAAUGUUGAUUCAUUUCCAUUCCGGCAAAUUUUAGACUCUCGAUUUGUCCACUUUUUAGGAAAGGUCAUGCCGAAAUUUUCCGUGAAUUUCGGCAUGACUUGUGCUACAAACUAGGACAUAUCGAGUGCCCGGGAUUUGCCGCACCAGGAAGGAGUCAACGUUCUUGCAAAACAUUAGGCUUUUUUAUGUCAUUAUUCAUUUUAUUAGGUCUAAAAUUAAUUGACUAGAUUUAAUCGUAGGAAACAUGGCUAGCAAUGAUGAAGGACAGGGUUCUGGUGAUUGCGACAACGUCUACCGGGCGGCAGACGAAUUUUUGAGCCUUGCUGACGAUCAACCGAUGUUGUUGCUGGGCCCACCGGUGGCAUCGGGGACUGAGACCGACACAUAGACCUGUGCUGAGACUGAGACCGGCGCUGAGACUCAGACCGGCAUCGAGACCGGCGCUGAGACUGAGACUGGCGCUGCCUCGAGGAGCGGAGCCGGUGUAGAACUGAAAGCAAAGAGGCAACGGCUUCCUAACAAACUCAGGACUACUAGACUGAUGGUCACGGAGGUGGACGACAGCAAUUUUGAGCUAAAUGCGCCCGAGGAAGCGCGCGCAUGCUACGGCAAUCAAAUAGGCUGCAUCGUACGGACAACCGCCACCAUCAACGAUGAGAAACUAUAGAAGAUAGAUAAUAUGAGGCCCUCCCUCCUAAAGAAGUUUCACCAGAUAUUCUUGUUCCCGGGCCGGAAUGAAAAGGAUUAUGAAGAUCCAGGUAAGGACCCGCUAAUGAAGAAGAUACAGAAACACACCAUGACCAAGUUUAGCGACGCGUUGGCCGCCUGGAAAACAAGGGUGAAAGCAAGGAUCAUCGACAAGAAGGAACCCUACUCCGACAUUGUAAAGUAUAAUCCGACAAUCACAGAAGAGUAGUUUCAAAUAUUCAAGGUGGCUUGCGAGGCCGAAGCUGGCAAAAAAAGUCUAAGUACAUGAAGGGGCUUCAAGAGAGGAACAUUGGGAGCCACCACCUAGAAAGCCGUGGUUACGGCGGGAAGAGGUCCAAAUGGGCCAAGGAGGACGCGGAAGCCGCGAGUCUGGGCAUCCCAGACCCCUUGGCGGAGUUCACCAUCUCGCAUGAGCGUGACAUCCUCAGGGCCCGGCACCGUUGGGACCCAGUGAAGAAGGUUUACGAGACAAAUGCGGUCACGACGGAGUUCAUUAGACUGCUGGUAAUUUUAGUUUUUGAUCAAUUCGACUGCACAUGUUAGUCAUAUUUAUAAACGAUCCUUGUGCCUUUUUGAUGUCUACUACGCAACCUUCUCCUUGUAGACGUUGUUGGGCCUGCAAGUGCACAGGUUUGUAGGACAGUAGCAAAUUUCCCUCAAGUGGGUGACCUAAGGUUUAUCGAUCCAUAGGAGGCGUAGGAUGAAGAUGGCCUCUCUCAAGUAACUCUGCAACCAAAUAACAAAGAGUCUCUUGUGUCCCCAACACACCCAAUACAAUGAUAAAUUGUAUAGGUGCACUAGUUCGGCGAAGAGAUGAAGAUACAAGUGCAAAAUAGAUAGUAGAUAUAGGUUUUUGUAAUCUGAAAUAAUAAAAACAGCAAGGUAACAAGCGAUAAAAGUGAGCGUAAACGGUAUUGCCAUGAUAGGAAACAAGGCCUAGGGUUCAUACUUUCACUAGUGUAAGUUCUCUCAACAAUAAUAACAUAGAUAGAACAUAUGACAAGCCCUCAACAUGCAACAAAGAGUCACUCCAAAGCCACUAAUAGCGGAUAACAAACGUAGAGAUUAUGGUCGAGUACGAAACCACCACAAAGCUAUUCUUUCAGAUCAAUCUAUAAAAGAGUUUGUACUAGAAUAACACCUUAAGAUACAAAUCAACCAAAACCCUAAUGUCACCUAGAUACUCCAUUGUCACCUCAAGUAUCCGUGGGCAUGAUUAUACGAUAUGCAUCACACAAUCUCAGAUUCAUCCAACCAACAUAAAAGUACUUCAAAGAGUGCCCCAAAGCUACUACCGGAGAGUCAAGAACGUGUGCCAACCCCUAUGCAUAGGUUCCCAAGUGUCACGAAACCCGCAAGUUGAUCACCAAAACAUACAUCAAGUGGAUCAAUAGAAUAACCCAUUGUCACCACAGUUAUCCCACGCAAGACAUACAUCAAGUGUUCAUAAAAGACUCAAUCCGAUAAGAUAACUUCAAAAGGGGAAACUCAAUUCAUCACAAGAGAGUAGAGGGGGAGAAACAUGAUAAGAUCCAACUAAAAUAGAAAAGCUCGGGAUACAUCAAGAUCGUGCCAUAGAGGAACACGAGAGAGAACACGAGAGAGAGAGAUCAAACACAUAGCUACUGGUACAUACCCUCAGCCCCGAGGGUGAACUACUCCCUCCUCGUCAUGGAUAGCGCCGGGAUGAUGAAGAUGGCCUCCGGUGAUGGGAUCCCCCUCCGGCAGGGUGCCGGAACGGGGUCCCGAUUGGUUUUUGGUGGCUACAGAGGCUUGCGGCGGCGGAACUCCCGAUCUAUCUUCUGUUCUGGAAGUUUUAGGGUACGUAGGUAUAUAUGGGUGCAGGGAGAACGUCGGUGGAGCUACGGAGGCCCCACGAGGCUGGGGGGCGCACCCAAGGGGAAGGGCGCCCCCCACCCUCAUGAGCACCUCCCAUAUCUUCUGACGUGGGGUCCAAGUCCAUCAGGUGGGUUUCCUUCCAAAAAUAACUUCUCUAGUUGAUUUCGUUCCGUUUUGACUCCGUCUGAUAUUCCUUUUCCUCGAAACACUAAAAUAGGCAUAAAACAACAAAUCUGGGUUGGGCCUCCGGUUAAUAGGUUAGUCCCAAAAGUAAAGUGGAUAAUAAAGCCCAAUAUUACCUAAAACAAUAGAUAAAGUAGCAUGGAGCAAUCAAAAAUUAUAGAUACGUUGGAGACGUAUCACUUUUGCAGAGAGAGCAGCAAAGGAGUGCGGCCGAAAGCGACUCGCCGUUUGAGGCAUUGGCGAGGCCCAAGUGGGACACUCCAUUCAACCGGUCGUUGAACAUAUUGAAACGACUCCCGGUGGAGACUCGACCGCCGUAUGGACGCGUGCACAGUGUCGGAGACGGCGCCACAUGGAAGAAGUACUACCGUGUGACCACGGAGGAGAGAAAGGAAAGACGGAGGUUAACUGAAGAAAACAUCGAUAAGAAGGUUGAGAUUGCGGUUGAGAAGAAAUCAUCUCGGACAGUCGCAACAGCGGUAAUCCUCUACCCCGAUACUCCCACGCUCUUUACUUGGACUCAUCGAAGAACAUUCACAAAAAGGAUUACACCCACAUCAAGGAUGUUCUCGACAGUGCUAUGUUUUACUACCAAGCAUGGGGUGGAGAGGUCAAGGACAAGAAGAGAAGGGGCGGCAGGCUCGCCUUCGGCCAUAAGACCGACUUCUGCUGCAUCCAGCAACCGAGUGAUUCUCUUAAUGAUGGAUUCUAUGUCCUACACCACAUGCUGGAGUACAGACGGGAUCACCAGAACCUUCGCAUGUCACCUAGAUCCGGCGAUGCCCAUAUUCUGCAAUGGGCAAAGAACGUAGGAGAUAUCGAGGAUCAUCGACUUUGAGCUGAGUUCUAUAACAUCCAGCGCGAACUUGCCCAAAUCAUCAUGAAGGAAGUCGUCGGAAAAACAGGGAUGUUCUACGAAGAAGGACAAAUGUCGCGGGAAGACGUCCGAACAUGGGUAUCCUCUCAGCGUCUCGACAUGAAGCCUUUCACUAAACUCGGGGACUAUCUCCCUGACAUCGAUGGAUGGCACGACAUGUUGGAGUGAUUGUUGAUAUAUGACAAUGUGUCCGUUUAGUCCAUACUUUCUGUACGACAAAACUUUGAGUUAUGCACGGCAAAACUUUAUUUGUGAUGUAAUUAAACCGUCCUCCUCCUCGAGUAGCGAAGAUCACUCUAGUUAGGGCAUUUUAGGUAUGAUGAACUUUGUUAUUUAUGCUUAUGAUAUGUUGUUUCUAUUUUGCCAAGUCUGUCUCUUUAUGUUGCUCAACUAUAUAUGUUGCAUAUCAUCGACUAAUGUGACGAUGCAGGUGCAUAGAUCAUCGAUGGAGAAGAAGUGCUACGCCAGGAGUAUAUAUACGAUGAGUGGCUGGAGUGUCAGGCAUAGGUGUACCGGUUUCCGGUUUUCGAGCGAUAGGCAGUAGUUAGUUUAGGUUCACGCUAAUGCGAGAGAGGGAUACGAACUCAUGUACUGCAUAGUUCCGCUCUCACUCAAAGUGAUAUCUCUUCUCGUGUAUAUCACUGUUUAGAUGGAUGACGAUGUAUUUGCAUGUAAUCGAGACUUGUAUCGCUAUUUUCGAGAUGAUGACGAGAGACCACUUUGUGUUGGAUGAUGAUUAUGAUCAUGACAUGAUUUGAUGAGACUAGUUGUAUGUAUAUGCUAUGAUUACAUUUGUAUGUGUAUGAUAUGCUAAAGAUUAUUGUAUAAAGCCUAUUCAAAUACAAAACAAAUAUGCAAAAAAAAUAAUAAAACUAGUAGUAGCGAGGGGGGAAAGUUAGCAGUAGCGCCGCCUUACCAGUAGCGCUUCCCUGUAAAAAGCGCUGCAGAUAAUAUCAUUAGUGCUCUUCAGUGAAGCGCGGUACAACUAUCCAUGUAUAGCAGUAGCGCCUUAUCAGUAGUGCAUCUUCCCGCGCUAUUGAUUGGCCUAAAAUCCGCGCUGCUGCUAGGCUUUUCCCUAGUAGUGUACCCCUCUUUUACACUACCAGGGAAAUGCUUAUAGGUAGGACAUCAGUAGUAGCGCUGGAAAAAAAGGAAUCGCUGCUGCUAAUUAGCAGCAGCGCUUGUCCGGGUACGCACUACAAUUAAUGCUUUAGAAGUAGCGUUGGAAACAGAAAAGCGCUACUACUAAGUGGGACCCAACGCUCCCACCGACGCUAGUUGUAGUAGCAACGCUGUCCAGAAAACAACGCCACUACUAAUAUUUUAGCAGUAGUGCUUUAUUUUACAGCACCGCUACUACUAACAGGCCUCACUUUGUAGUAACGCUGCUUCCUGAAAAGCGUUGCUGCUAAGUAGCAUAGCAGCAACGCUUUCUGGGAAGCAGCGCUACUGCUAGUUGCGGCUGGUGCCACGUUUUCACCCCCUCCUCCUCCCCCUCCUUUCCCCACUUCUUUCCCCCCUCUCCACCAUUGUUGCCCUUCUUCUCUCUUCCUCCUACCUCUCUUCUAUCCUCAUUAAUGUCCCCCUCCAUCAUAACUCUCCUCCAUAAAUGGUCUUCUCAUCUCUCUCUUCCUCGUACCUCUCUUCUUUCCCCAUUAAUGCCCCCUCCACCAUAACUCCCUCUCUAUUAGUUAGCUAGAGUCAUUUCUCCUCCCCAACAACUAGAUCUAGCUAGCUAUUUAGCCAUCCACACUUUCGAUCCCUAUAGGUAGCGAAAGGCCUCAUCUAACCGUGCUCGGUCUCUCUCGGGAGAUAUAUAGGUGAGUAAAAAGUUGUUCAUUUCAAGAAUGGGAAUAUGUGUGUUUGGGGUAUGGAGAGAUUUGUGCGAGUGACAUGCCCCCGAGUUGCUUAUGUUUUGCCAAAAUGUCUAUUUAUUUCCGUUUCGGUGAAUUUCAAGCAAAAUCGACAUGUCCUACUUUUAGGCAAGGCCAUGCCAAAUUUUUAUAUGACUUUGAUGCAUGGAUGCAUUUUGUUUAUAACCCUUUUGCUUGUUAUACCGUGCAGUCGGUCAUGAAGGUGAGUGGAUGGAACAUGGAGCGAUACAUGCAAUCCGCGGUGAUGGACAUGUAUGCAAAUAAUCGGACUAGGAUUAGAUGUUCGUGUGCAAGAUGCAAAGAAGGAGUCCUUUUGGACCCUUUUGAUCGUGGCACUUUGAAGGCGCACCUGCUGAUGAAUGGUUUUAUGGAUGGCUAUACUCGAUGGAUAAGUGAAGAAGAUGAUGAUGAUGACGAGGACGUCCACAUGGCAGGGAAUAACGACAUGGGGCUAGAUGAAGAGAUGACCGAUUGACACGAAGACGAUGAUGGCGCCGGACAUGGCGGUGGGGAAGAGUCCGGAAAUGAUGGCGGCAGAGAAGAUUCUGGACACGCGAAGAAGAGUCCGGACAUGGCGGAGAAGAGGCAGACGUCAUGCUGCAGUCUUCGACGCUACUAAGUGCAGUCGUGCAAGACCCUCAUGUUCGAGACCUCCUAGCAAGAGUACGACUAGCGAGAGAGUUGCUUCUAGAGAGUAGGCAAAGCUGGUGCAACUUAAAGUAGACUCGAAGACUCCAUUGUAUGACGGUUGCGACCCGACAUGACCCGCUUGAGUUUCACGCUCGAACUUCUAAAGACGAAGGCCAACAAAUGGACAGACAAAAGCCUCGAUGAGCAUUUGAAGUAUCUACAUAAUAAAGUUCUUCCCGCGGGGAAACUAUGUCGUAAUAGUGUUCAGGAGGCCAAGAAAAUCAUUUGCCAUUUUGAUUUGCCGCACAUUAGGUACCAUGCAUGCAUCAACAAUUGCAUCAUUUAUCCGGGGAAGCACACGAAAAAAACCAGCAGUCCAGUGUGCAAUGCUUCUCGAUACAAGAAGGCAGGAAAGAAAGCUCCUCAGAAAGUUGUAUGGUACUUUCUGAUCACUCCCCGUCUGCAGUGGUAUUUAGUAGAUCCUAAGGAAGCAAAGCUCAUGCGCUGGCACACGGAGAGGAAGAAGCCCGACGAUGGAGAUGAUCCGAAGCUGAGACACCUCAUAGAUGGUAGCCAGUGGAGAGUGACGGUGUCCUGGACUAGGGGGUACUCAACACGUCGUCUCCCGAUCAGUUGGAUUGGGCCCAGGACCCCCAUGGCCGUAUACUCAUGGGCCAGUCCGGACAGCUGCCGCAUACAAGGAAGAAUCCACAAGACUUGGCGAUCAAGACAAGGACUCCUCCCCCACCGGCGUAUUCGGCUAGGACUCAUGUUAUCCUAGGCCUCUGGUGCAUUAUAUAAACCAAGGCCAGGCUAGUCGAUAGAGAUAUACAACAAUCAUACCAUAGGCUAGCUUCUAGGGUUUAGCCUCCUUGAUCUCGUGGUAGAUCUACUCUUGUACUACCCAUAUCAUCAAUAUUAAUCAAGCAGGACGUAGGGUUUUACCUCCAUCGAGAGGGCCCGAACCUGGGUAAACAUUGUGUCCCUUGCUUCCUGUUACCAUUGAUCCUAAGACGCACUGCUUGGGACCCCCUACCCGAGAUCCGCCGGUUUUGACACCGACAUUGGUGCUUUCAUUGAGAGUUCUGCUGUGUGAUCGGCGAAAGGAUCAAUGGCUCGACAGUAGGUUAACUGCGACGUUGGCUUCUUCAUCACCAGCUCGACUGGUCACCUUGGCUUCACCGAGGACUGCACCCUACCUCCGACCGUCAUGUUCGGAAGAGGGCCUUCAUCAACACCAACUCUGAUCUCUAUCAAGAUCAUGGAGGAGUCAUCCAGGGAGCUCGGGGGCUCAACAUCAACAUUGCCCUCAGGCGACCGUGCUAUGUCACCACUUCGGAGUGCCGAGCUCUUUGCUCCGCCACCUCGGGACCGGCUCUGGGAUGGAACCUUGUCCAGCAUCAAGCUCGGACCGCGUCAUCAGUACCGAACACAUUAACCAGCUAAGUUGUCUUCAUGCUCAAAGUUUUAAACUUGUGUUCGGCUCGGCCAAGCAUUAUACUUUUUUGGAAAAAAGUUGCUUGUAAAAAUUUCCUUGUCCAAACUUUGUUUGUGACGCGCAAAUUCAAAUACCCCGUUUACUUGGGGGGCUUCCUUCAUGAAGCUUUUUCCUCUCGCAUAUGGUUAUACUUGUACGGCUUCGUUCCUUGUUCGUGUAUUACGCCACAAUAUGCACCAUAUUGACUUAAGCGAUUUGCAAGCUGGGUUGCCUGGCUCCUGUGCUUACCCCUACGUUCCCGAUUGUUCGGCUAGGGAGUAAAGGGAGCACCUCUGCGAUUGUCACGAUCGGGUCACCCGAGCCGGACCUCAGACUGGGUGAAGCCGAAAGCUAGCGCUCUUAUUGUUUUCAAUCAUGGUCGGCACACAACGGAACUCAUGAGUACAAAAAAUCUGUUGCUCAAGUCUCAUAAUAAUAAUGAGCACCGAAGAAAGGUAUCGGUGGGGGUACUAUUUUCUUCGAAGAUGCUUCUUACACUUUGCAGUAAUAUAGCAUAAGUUCCCUGAGCGCGCUUUGUCUGUUACAGCCUUAUGGCCUAUUGCCUGGUUAUUGGAAACACCGUCGAUAUUCUCGACAGAUGGAGUACAUAACACUUUUCGGUCCUUGACCGAAGAGGGAGAAGCCGACGGUCGGUUAAGACGCGUUUAAAGUUCGGUUGAACAUAGAUAUGAUAUAAGUACUUCGGUACAUGCAAUCAUUCUUUUACCCAAGUCACUUGGGGGCUCUUAAAUUUAUAUGAGCCGUUUUAUGAUAAGUGUUUUUCUUCUUAGUCGUUGCAAAGUUUUUAUUAUUAUUUAUCACUCCUUUUUUCGACACAAGUGUGUGGUCACUAGCCGGGGAGCCUAAUUUGUCUCUCAAAGAAGCCGUAGGCUGACCCACUUGAAGUUUUGAGAUAGGAUGUGUCAUGUUAAAGCACGGCAAAAGCACCUUUUUUUAAAGUCCAAUUUUCGGAUUGGCACCGAACACUUGAUCUAGUUCGGACAUUAACCUUUUGAAUAAGUUUUUUGGCUUUUCGAGCCCAUGGCACUUUUAAACUAUUUGUGUGUUUUUAGCACAAGUCUCGCAGUGCAACGCCGGACACCUUUAGAGAAUCGGCAAAAACAUUCUCGGAUAUUGCUAUAUAUGCAUCGGUUUCGAAUUGUGUCUUCGGUCAAUAGUUGGGUUGCCCGGCUCCUGCGCUUGCCUCCUAUAUUCCGCUUUGUUCGGCUAGGUGUGCAAAGAGAGAACCACUGCGAUUGUGCUUUCAGCUCACAUGGUUAAGCACCUCAGUGGAGAAAGCCGAAAAAAAACUGUCACAAUAAGCGUAAACUGGUCGGCGAUCCGAUGACGGUGUUAAACGACGGGCCAUUCAUAACCAUAGCCGAAGUGUUUACGGCUUGACCUCGACUAUCGCCGAACACUACCGGGGGCUAUUAACUGGCCUCCCAAACUAAAUCCUCGAUAUUUUGCUCUUACACUGGAGCUGAGGUUUCAUGAUCAUGCUUAGCAUGACAACCCAAAGAAAGGAACCGAUAGCGGGACUAUUUUCUUUGGAAGACAUUUCUUCUGUUAAACAGUAAUAUAACAUGUCUCUCCGCGUACCUUUGUUUAUAAAACCGUAUGGCCAGAUUGCCUCGUUUGUUGUAAAUCUUUGCCCUCAUAAAGGCUUUAUAAAGUAGGACAAACACUCCUCGGCUAUUGGCCGAGGAGGUAGAAGCUGAUGGUCGGUCAACAAAGUUUUAUACAAUGCGGAUCCGAGCAUUAAUGACGUAAAGUACUUGGAUACAUAGAGUCAUUACACAUAAUUUGUGAUUUUACUAUGGAUAUCGAUCCUUAAUUCGGCCUCCCGUGCCUGCAUUAAGGCUCGGGGGCUACUGGGCUUCGGGCUUGUUAUUUACAAAUAUUAAAGGGGCACAUCAAUCCCCUGAUCUAGUGUUACCACCCGACCAGUGUCUUGGGGGCUACUGCAUUGCCUGUUCUAUGCAGAAAAUUUUAAGUGCAAUACAGUUUCCGAGGAGAUUUUGAUCCUCAGGUUGGUCGGCCACACCCAACCCGAGUCUUGAGGACUGAGCACGCCGCUUUUUGUGUCCCGAAGUAUUCUGCCGAGCUAGGACUUGAUCCUCAAACCGAUUUUGCAAAUCAACCUGAGUCUCAGCAGCUACGGGGAUCAGCGGUCUUAUGUCAUCCUUCAUGGGCAUCUCGGGUUUUAGACCGAUACCCACCUUGAGGGCUACUGGCUAUGUAUCUCGGCAGAGAAUAAAUUACACCAAUCAAAAAUAUUGGCAAAAAUCAGCCCACAUUCGGGGUGGUGCACCACCUGGGAAGCUGUCCGGCAUAAAGCUCGGGCACUAGUGGCUGGCUCCAUAGAGAGCAUUUCCGGCGUUAAGCUCGGCUAAACUCCUUCAAACUUCUUUGAACCAAGGUGAUUUACGACACCUCGGAUAUAGUCCGGCGUUGGAGCUCGGAUACAUAGUCUGGCGUUGGAGUUCGGAUACAGUCCGGUGUUGGAGCUCGGAUACAGUCCGGCGUUGGAGCUCGGAUACAUAGUCCGGCGUUAGAGCUGGUAAGCAGUCCGACAUUGGUGCUCGACUGCAAAAGAUACCUCGAAUGCAGUCCGGCGUUAGAGCUGGUAAGCAGUCCGACAUUGGUGCUCGACUGCAAAAGAUACCUCGAAUGCAGUCCGGCGUUGGAGCUCGGAUGCAAGAGGACGUUGCCGCCCGGGAACAACUUCAAACCCGAGGUGUGGCAUAAAAAUAACAAGGCAUUGAUAAAGGCCGGAAACUUAAAGGGGCUCCUCGGAUACCCGACGUAUAAACUUGUCGAAUGCAUUUCGGUAAUCCUCAAGAUCGAAGAUGAGAAGAUUUGUUGAACCAGUUUUCAAGACCGGCAACCGAAGAUGAAGAACAGUUCGGAAGAAUCGAGGAGCGUCCCUAACUUGAAGACCGGUUCAGGGGCUACUGACGGUGUCCUGGACUAGGGGGUACUCAACGCGUCGUCUCCCGAUCAGUUGGAUUGGGCCGAGGACCCCCAUGGCCGUAUACUCAUGGGCCAGUCCGGACAGCUGCCGCAUACAAGGAAGAAUCCACAAGACUUGGCGAUCAAGACAAGGACUCCUUCCCCACCGGCGUAUUCGGCUAGGACUCAUGUUAUCCUAGGCCUCUGGUGCAUUAUAUAAACCGAGGCCAGGCUAGUCGAUAGAGAUAUACAACAAUCAUGCCAUAGGCUAGCUUCUAGGGUUUAGCCUCCUUGAUCUCGUGGUAGAUCUACUCUUGUACUACCCAUAUCAUCAAUAUUAAUCAAGCAGGACGUAGGGUUUUACCUCCAUCGAGAGGGCCCGAACCUGGGUAAACAUUGUGUCCCUUGCUUCCUGUUACCAUUGAUCCUAAGACGCACUGCUUGGGACCCCCUACCCGAGAUCCGCCGGUUUUGACACCGACAGAGAGAAUUCAACACUUUAUAUGGAUUUGAUGUAGAAGAUCCAAGGAACAUCGUGCUUGGUGCGAGUACCGAUGGCAUGAAUCCGUUUGGAAACCAGAACACCAACCACAACACAUGGCUCGUCUUUGUAUGGAUGUACAACAUCCCCCCAUGUAAGUGCAUGAAGACAAAGUACAUACACAUGAGCAUGCUGUUUCAAGGGUCGAAACAACCGGGAAAUAAUAUUAACCUGUAUGUGGGGCUUCUGAAAGAGGAGCUAGACACGUUAUGGGAAACACCGGCAUGGACAUGGGAUGCCAACAAAGGAGAGUAUUUCUAUAUGAGAGCCACGCUGAUGAUGACGGUGCACGACUAUCUCGGUUACGGUACACCUCAGGCCAGGUGUGCCACAGAUACUGCGGAUGCACGAGGUGCAUGGAUGAUACAACGUCUCAGCAGCUUAGGUCAAUGAAAGAUGUCGGGUCUGGGAAAAUUGUGUACAUGGGGCAUCGUAGAUGGCUCGAGAAGGAUGACCCGUGGAGAAAGCAUAGAUAUCUAUUCAAUGGGUUGGCUGAGCAUCGAGGACCUCCACAUAAGUGGAGCGACGCCGCAAAUCAACGAGCUAUUGAAAAACUGGGAAUAGUGCCCCGCGCCGGGAAAGAUGAAAAAGGCACAGGAGCCGCUGCUGAAGGUAUGGAAAACUAGGUCUGUUUUCUGGGACUUGGAGUACUGGCCCAAUCACGACACGCCUCAUCAAAUGCAUAUCACGAAGAAUGUCCUCGAGAGCUUGCUUGCCACACUGAUGAACAUGCUGGAGAAGACCAAGGACAGGCUGAAGGCAAGGAAAGACUUGGAAGAUUUGAAGACUAGGAAAUAUCUCCACCGCAAAAGUCGAUGGAGGAGACGAAGAUGGAGACGGAGGAGGGGGAAAGGGGCAGAAAAUUCAACAAGAAGGAGGAGAAUUAUUGCCCCCCUUCUUGCUUCACCUUAAGUGCGAAAGAUAUCGAUCAAUUCAUCAAGUGCCUUAUGGGAAUCAAAAUCAGCUCCGGUUACUGUGGAAGAUAAUAAGAUUUCUAGACCCCAAGAAGAAAAAGGUUCAGCGGGAUGAAGUAUCAUGACUAUCACGUGAUGAUGACGCAGAUACUCCUGGUUGCCAUUAGAGGGAUAAUGGACAAGCACGUCCGUGACACGCUUACUGGUCUCUGCAACUUCUUUGACGUUAUUUCUCGAAAGUCCAUAAGUGUGAAGCAGCUCCCAAGGCUACAGGAAGAGAUCGUUGUCAUACUAUGUGAGCUUGAGAUGUACUUCUGCUACGUCUUGAGCUUGUGUUGGUUUUCCUUGAGGAGGAAAGGGUGAUGUAGCAAUAGUAGCAUAAGUAUUUCCCUCAGUUUUUGAGAACCAAGGUAUUAAUCUAGUAGGAGGCUCCUCAAAAGUCCCACGCACCUACACAAACAAACAAAGAACUCGCAACCAACGCAAUAAAGGGGUUGUCAAUCCCUUCACGGCCACUUGCGAAAGUGAGAUCUGAUAAAGAUAGUAUGAUAAGAUAAAUAUAUUUUUGGUAUUUUAUAAUAUAGAUGCAAAAAGUAAAGAUGCAAAUAAAAGUAGAUUGAAAGCUUAUAUGAUAAAAGAUAGACCCGGGGGCCAUAGGUUUCACUAGUGGCUUCUCUCAAGAUAGCAUAAGUAUUACGGUGGGUGAACAAAUUACUAUCGAGCAAUUGAUAGAAAAGCUAAUAAUUAUGAGAUUAUCUAGGCAUGACCAUGUAUAUAGGCAUCACAUCCAUGACAAGUAGACCGACUCCUGCCUGCAUCUACCACUAUUACUCCACACAUCGACCGCUAUCCAACAUGCAUCUAGAGUAUUAAGUUCAUAAGAACAGAGUAACACUUUAAGAAAGAUGACAUGAUGUAGAGGGAUAAACUCAAGCAAUAUGAUAUAAACCCCAUCUUUUUAUCCUCGAUGGCAGCAAUACAAUACGUGCCUUGCAACCCUUUCUGUCACUGGGUAAGGACACCGCAAGAUUGAACCCAAAGCUAAGCACUUCUCCCAUGGCAAGAAAGAUCAAUCUAGUAGGCCAAACCAAACUGAUAAUUCGAAGAGACUUGCAAAGAUAACUCAAUCAUACAUAAAAGAAUUCAGAGGAGAUUCAAAUAUUUCUCAUAGAUAAACUUGAUCAUAAACCCACAAUUCAUCGGAUCUCGACAAACACACCACAAAAAGAGUUUACAUCGAAUAGAUCUCCACAAGAGAGGGGGAGAACAUGGUAUUGAGAUCCAAAAAGAGAGAAGAAGCCAUCUAGCUAAUAACUAUAGACCCGAAGGUCUGUGGUAAACUACUCACAACUCAACGAAGGGGCUAUGGUGUUGAUGUAGAAGCCCUCCAUGGCCGAUUCCCCCUCCGGCAGAGCACCGGCGAAGGCUCCAAGAUGGGAUCUCGCGGAUACAAAAGGUUACGGUGGUGGAAAUUGUUUUUCGUUGGCUCCCUGGAUGUUUUCAGGGUACGUAGGUAUAUAUAAGAGGAAGAAGUACAUCGGUGGCUGCUCGAGGGGCCCAGGAGACAGGGGAGCACGCCCAGGAGGGGUGGGCGCGCCAUCCUAUCUCCUGGCCACCUCGUUUGCUUCUUGACUUGCACUCCAAGUUCUCUGGAUCACGUUCAUUCCAAAAAUCAUGCUCCCGAAGGUUUCAUUCCGUUUGGACUCCGUUUGAUAUUCCUUUUCUUCGAAAUACUAAAAUAGGCAAAAAUCAGCAAUACGGGCUGGGCCUCCGAUUAGUAGGUUAGUCCCAAAAAUGAUAUAAAUGUGUAAAAUAAAUCCCAUAAACAUCCAAAAGGGGUAAUAUAAUAGCAUGGAACAAUCAAAAGUUAUAGAUAAGUUGGAGACGUAUCAAGCACCCCCAAGCUUAAUUCCUGCUCGUCCUCAAGUAGGUAAAUGAUAAAAACAGAAUUUUUGAUGUGGAAUGCUACCUAGCAUAAUAUGUAAUUUUCUUUAUUGUGGCAUGAAUGUUCAGAUCCAAAUGAUUCAAGAUAAAAGCUUAUAAAACAUAAAAAAUAAUAAUGCUUCGAAGCAUACUAACAAAUAAUCAUGUCCUAUCAAAAUAGCAUAGCCAAAGAAAGCUUAUCCCUACAAAAUCAUAUAGUUAGGCCAUGCUUCAUUUUCAUUACACAAAAUACUCCCAUCAUGCACAACCCCGGUUUCAGCCAAGCAAUUGGUUCAUACUUUUUAACGCGCUUCAGCUUUUUCAACUCUUACGCAAUACAUGAGCGCAAGCCAUGGACAUAGCACUAUGGUGGUAUAUGGUGGUGGUUGUGAGGACAAAAAGGGAGAAGAUAGUCUCACAUCAACUAGGCGUAUUAACGGGCUAUGGAGAUGCCCAUCAAUAGAUAUCAAUGUGAGUGAGUAGGGAUUGCCAUGCAACGGAUGCACUAGAGCUAUAAAUAUAUGAAAGCUCAACAAAAGAAACUAAGUGGGUAUGCAUCCAACUUGCUUGCUCACGAAGACCUAGGGCAUUUUGAGGAAGCCCAUCAUUGCAAUAUACAAGCCAAGUUCUAUAAUGAAAAAUUCCCACUCAGUAUAUGAAAGUGACAACAUAGGAAACUCUCUAUCAUGAAGACCAUGGUGCUACUUUGAAGCACAAGUAUGGAAAAAAAUAGUAGCAUUGUCCCUUCUCUCUUUUUCUCUCAUCUUAAUUUUUUUCUCUCUUUUUUUCUCUCUUUUUUUCUCUCUUUUUUUUCUUUUUUUUUCUUUUUUUUCUUUUUUUCUUUUUUUCUUUUUUUUUCUUUUUGGCCUUUCUCCUUUUUUUUGGCCUUUCCUUUUUUUAAAGCCCGAAGUCUCACCCCGACUUGUGGGGGAAUCAUAUCUUCAUCAUCCUUUCCUCACUGAGACAAUGCUCUAAUAAUGAAGAUCAUCACACUUUUAUUGAUUUACAACUCAAGAAUUACAACUCAAAACUAGAACAAGAUAUGCCUCUAUAUGAAUGCCUCCGGCGGUGUACCGGGAUAUGCAAUGAAUCAAGAGCGACAUGUAUGAAAAUUAUGAAGGUGGCCUUGCCACAAAUACGAUGUCAACUACAUGAUCAUGCAAAGAGCAAUAUGACAAUGAUGAGGUAUAUCAUAAUAAACGGAAUGGUUGAAAGUUGCAUGGCAAUAUAUCUCGGAAUGGCUAUGGAAAUGCCAUAAUAGGUAGGUAUGGUGGAUGUUUUGAGGAAGGUAAAUAAUGGGUGCAUGAUACCGGCGUAAGUUGUGCGGUAUAAUAGAGGCUAGCAAAGUGAAGGAUGAGUGUGCGUAUAUCCAUGGACUCACAUUAGUCAUAAAGAACUCAUAUACUUAUUGCAAAAGUCUACUUGCCCUCAAAGCAAAGUACUACUACGCAUGCUCCUAGGGGAAGGGUUGGUAGGAGUUAACCAUCGCGCAAUCCCGACCUCCACUCAUAAGGAAGGCAAUUAAAAGAGCACCUCAUGCAACAAAUUUGUCACACAACUUUUACCAUAUGUGCAUGCUACGGGACUUGCCAACUUCAACACAAGUAUUUCUCAAUUUCAUAAUUACCCACUAGAAUGACUCUAACAUUACUACCUCUAUAUCUCAAAACAAUUAUCAAGCAUCAAAUUGAUCAUAGCAUCCAAUUCACUUCCUAUGAUAGUUUUUAUUAUACCCAACUUGGAUGCCUACCAUUCUAGGACCAAUUUUAUAAGCAUAGCAAAUACCAUAAUGUUCUAAAAGACUCUCAAAAUAAUAUAAGUGAAGCAUGAGAGACUAGAAAUUUCUUCAAAAUUAAGCCACCGCCGUGCUCUAAAAGAUAUAAGUGAAGCACUAGAGCAAAAACUAUCAAGCUCAAAAGAUAUAAGUGAAGCACAUAGAGUAUUCUAGCAAAUUCUAAUCAAGUAUGCUUCUCCCAAAAGGUGUGUACAGCAAGGAUGAUCGUGGUAAACUAAAAAGCAAAUACUAAUAUAAUACACGACGCUCCAAGCAAAACACAUAUAAUGUGGCGAAUAAAAAUAUAGUUCCAAGUAAAGUUACCAAUGAACGAAGACGAAAGAGGGGAUGCCUUCCCGGGGCAUCCCCAAGCUUAGGCUUUUAGCUAUCCUUGAAUAUAUUAGGGUGUCAUGGCAUCCCCAAGCUUAGGCUCUUGCCACUCCUUAUUCCAUAGUCCAUCAAUGCUUUACCCAAAACUUGAAAACUUCACAACACAAAACUCAACAGGAAAUCUUAUAAGCUCCGUUAGUGAAAGGAAAACAAAAUCACCACAUAAGGUACUGUAAUGAACUCAUUCUUUAUUUAUUUUGGUGUUAAACCUACUGUAUUCCAAGUUCUCUAUGGUUCAUACCACUUAAUACUAGCCAUAGAUGCAUCAAAAUAAGCAAACAACACACGUAAAACAGAAUCUGUCAAAAAUAGAACAGUCUGUAGCAAUCUGUAACUAACGCAAACUUAUGGAACUUUAAAAAUCCUACCAAAAUAGGAAGUCCUGGACAAUUUAUGUAUUGAUCAGCAGCAAAAAUAAUCAAUGCAAAAUCAUGUUUCUGUGAUUUAACAAAACUAAUUUCGUGCGUGCGAAGUUUGUGUUUUUCAGCAGAAUCAAAUCAACUAUCAUCAUAGGUUGUCCUAUAGGUUCUACUUGGCACAAACACUAAUUAAGAGAUAAAAACACAUCUAAACAGAAGGUAGAUGAAAAAUUUAUUACUAAACAGGAACAAAAACAAAAAACACAAAUAAAAUUGGGUUGCCUCCCAACUAGCGCUAUCGUUUGACGCCCCUAGCUAGGCAUAAAAGCGAAGAUAGAUCUAAGUAGUGCCAUCUUUGGCACUCAAAUCAUAAGUAGCUCGCAUGAUAGAUUCAUAAGGUAAUUUGACUUUCUUUCUUGGAAAGUGCUCCAUGCCUUUCCUUAAUGGAAAUUGGAAUCUAAUAUUCCCUUCCUUCAUAUCAAUAAUCGCGCCAAUCAUUCUAAGGAAAGGUCUACCAAGAAUAAUAGGGCAAAAAAGAUUGCAAUCUAUAUCAAGAACGAUAAAAUCUAUGGGCACCAAAUUUCUAUUUCAACAAUGAGAACAUCAUUGACCCUUCCCAUUGGCUUUUUAAUGGUGGAAUCCGCAAGGUGCAAAUUUAAAGAGCAAUCAUCAAGAUCAUGGAAACCUAGAAUAUCACAUAAAGUUUUCAUAAUCAUGGAAACACUAGCACCCAAAUCACACAAAGCAAAACACUCAUGAUCUUUAAUUCUAAUUUUUGUAGUAGGUUCCCACUCAUCAUUAAGUUUUCUAGGUAUAGAAACUUCCAAAUUAAGUUUUUCAUCAAAAGAUUGCAUCAAGGCAUCAACAAUAUGUUUGGUAAAAGCUUUAUUUUGACUAUAAGCAUGAGGAGAAUUAACAACGGAUUGCAACAAGGAAACACAACCUUCUAAAGAACAAUUGUCAUAAUCAAAUUCCUUGAAAUCCGAGAUAGUGGGUUCAAUGCUAUUUAAAGUCAUGACCUCUCCAAUCCUACUUUUACAAAAUUUAGCAUCAAGAUCUAAAAACUCUGAAUUCUUGGGACGCCUUCUAACUAAAGUUGACUCAUCUCCAGUCCCAUUAUUAUCAAGAUUCAUAUUGCAAAACAAAGAUCUAAUAGGAGACACAUCAAUAACUUUAAGAUCUCCAUCAUUAUUUUCAUCUAACUUUUCUGGUUUGGCAGCCAUCUUAUUGACUAAGGUAGCUUGCUUAUCAAAAAUUUGGGCUAUAGCAUUCUCAAGCCAGGUAAUUUGAGAGUUCACACCAUAAAAUUCCUUAUUCAUAUCAUCGAGCUCCUUAUUCAUAAACCCCAAAAAACCUUUUUUUUCUUUAAGCUCUUUUCUGAAGAAAUUAUUAUGCUCAAAUUGCAAAGUCAUAAAGCUUCUAAUAUUUGAUUCAAUCUCUCCCAACCUUCUAAGAAGGAGGUCGGUACUCUUAGGCAAGGCCAUAAGUACAAACAGGCACACAAGCAAACAGAAAAAGGCAAGCGAAAAAGAGAGGAGAAGAUUGGGAAAGAGAGGGCGAAUAAAACGACAAGGGUGAAGUGGGGGAGAGGAAAACGAGAGGCGAAUGACAAAUAAUGUAAAUGCGAGGGAGAUGAGUUUGUGAUGGGUACUUGGUAUGUCUUGACUUGAGUGAAGACCUCCCCGGCAACGGCGCCAGAAAUCCUUCUUGCUACGUCUUGAGCUUGGGUUGGUUUUCCUUGAAGAGGAAAGGGUGAUGCAACAAUAGUAGCGUAAGUAUUUCCCUCAGUUUUUGAGAACCAAGGUAUCAAUCCAGUAUGAGGCUCCUCAAAAGUCCCACGCACCUACACAAACAAACAAAGAACUCGCAACCAACACAAUAAAGGGGUUGUCAAUCCCUUCACGACCACUUGCGAAAGUGAGAUCUGAUAAAGAUAGUAUGAUAAGAUAAAUAUAUUUUUGGUAUUUUAUAAUAUAGAUGCAAAAAGUAAAGAUGCAAAUAAAAGUAGAUUGAAAGCUUAUAUGAUAAAAGAUAGACCCGGGGGCCAUAGGUUUCACUAGUGGCUUCUCUCAAGAUAGCAUAAGUAUUACGGUGGGUGAACAAAUUACUAUCGAGCAAUUGAUAGAAAAGUGAAUAAUUAUGAGAUUAUCUAGGCAUGACCUUGUAUAUAGGCAUCACGUCCAUGACAAGUAGACCGACUCCUGCCUGCAUCUACUACUAUUACUCCACACAUCGACCGCUAUCCAACAUGCAUCUAGAGUAUUAAGUUCAUAAUAACAGAGUAACGCAUUAAGAAAGAUGACAUGAUGUAGAGGGAUAAACUCAAGCAAUAUGAUAUAAACCCCAUCUUUUUAUCCUCAAUGGCAACAAUACAAUACGUGCCUUGCAACCCUUUCUGUCACUGGGUAAGGACACCGCAAGAUUGAACCCAAAUCUAAGCACUUCUCCCAUGGCAAGAAAGAUCAAUCUAGUAGGCCAAACCAAACUGAUAACUCAAAGAGACUUGCGAAGAUAACUCAAUCAUACAUAAAAGAAUUCAGAGGAGAUUCAAAUAAUUCUCAUAGAUAAACUUGAUCAUAAACCCACAAUUCAUCGGAGCUCGACAAACACACCGCAAAAAGAGUUUACACCGAAUAGAUCUCCACAAGAGAGGGGGAGAACAUGGUAUUGAGAUCCAAAAGGAGAGAAGAAGCCAUCUAGCUAAUAACUAUAAACCCGAAAGUCUGUGGUAAACUACUCACAACUCAUCGGAGGGGCUAUGGUGUUGAUGUAGAAGCCCUCCAUGGUCUAUUCCCCCUCCGGCGAAGCACCGGCGAAGGCUCCAAGAUGGGAUCUCGCGGAUACAGAAGGUUACAGCGGUGGAAAUUGUUUUUCGUUGGCUCCCUGGAUGUUUUCGGGGUACAUAGGUAUAUAUAGGAGGAAGAAGUACGUCGGUGGCCGCUCGAGGGGCCCAGGAGACAGGGGGCGCGCCCAGGAGGGGUGGGUGCGCCCUCCUAUCUCAUGGCCGCCUCGUUUGCUUCUUGACUUGCACUCCAAGUUCUCUGGAUCACGUUCAUUCCAAAAAUCACGCUCCCGAAGGUUUCAUUCUCUUUGGACUCCGUUUGAUAUUCCUUUUCUUCGAAAUACUAAAAUAGGCAAAAAUCAGCAAUACGGGGUGGGCCUCCGGUUAGUAGGUUAGUCCCAAAAAUGAUAUAAAUGUGUAAAAUAAAGCCCAUAAACAUCCAAAAGGGGUAAUAUAAUAGCAUCAAACAAUCAAAAAUUAUAGAUACGUUGGAGACGUACCAACUUCCUGCCCGCGUUCUUUGACGUCAUGGUGCAUCUGUGUGUCCACGUCAUGGACGACCUCAUCGACCUCGGGUCGACAUUCGUUCAUAGCAUGAUGUCGUUCGAGAGGAUGAAUGGGGUCAUCAAAGGAUUCGUUCAUAACAUGUCCCAUCCCGAUGGGAGCAUCGUCCAGGGGUAUCUGACGCAUGAGUGGAUCUCCUUUUGCGAGAAUUGUAUAGGCACCGGAGACCCUGUUGUUGGUUUGCCCGUCAAGAAGCACGAUGGGAGGCUCGAAGGAGAAGGUGACAACAAUAGCCGGAGGGAAUUGCACGUGGACUACUCGGAUUGACGGAACGACUUUGACAGGGCUAACUUAGUAGUGCUACAACACCUACAUGUGGUAGAUGAUUAUGUGGCAUGGCACAAAGAAAGCAUCGCAAAGAAGUACCGUGAUAAGGGGAUGCUCAAGACGGACGACGAAGUUACUGUAGAGCACAAUGCUACAUUCUUGCGUUGGUUCAAAGAGCAAGUUCUUAAAAAUCCCCCGGAAGAGGUCAGUUUGGAUGGAUUGCUCAUACACACCUUAGCACAUGGCCCAACGCCCAAAACCACGACCUAUCAGUCAUACGAUAUCAACGGGUACAUGUUCUACACGGAGGCCAAAGACAUGGACAGUGAUUACCAGAACUCCGGCGUGACAAUUGAAUGUGUGACCGAUGCCAACGGCACAACUGGAAGAUUCUACGGAAGGGUCGAAGAGAUCUGGGAGCUUGACUAUGCUGGAAUGCUUGAUGCGACGAUGUUUCGUAUCAGAUGGGCUAAGGACGUCGUAAGAGAAAAUAAGUAUUUCACUACCAUGUGUAUACCCGACACGAAGAGCACUCCCGUGAACAUUAACGUCAUUGCCAAAAAUGAGGCAUGAGUACACGCUAAGCAUGUGACACAAUGCUUCUUCAUAACCGACCCGGCCAAUCCCAGCCGCUUUGUCGUGAGGAGAGGCAAAAGGAGCAUGGCUGAAGUCUCUUCUUCGUCUCGAGGCGCCCAGUAUCACACCAAUGCCACCUUCUCAAGAAGGUAUGAACACCACCCCACCUACCAAAUUACCUACACCUGUCGUGGCGGGUGAUAGCAGACAACGCAAGGGAGAGCCUCCAUUAGUGCCAGAUGAUGUCGCCCCCAUUGUCGAAGAAGCAAAUGUUGAUGAUGACAUGGAGGAGGAUGAUGAUGACCCAGACAAGUAUUUCAAUACCGCCUAUGAUGAUGGAGGAUUGAUGGCUCAGGAGGACGAAGACUCGGGCUAUAAUCAUGGAGACGAUGACUUGAUGCUGCCUGAUUUGCCAGAGCCGGAAUGUCCUAAGGCAGAAUGCAAAAAGUCUCUCUUCAAGCGAUCCUCACAGGAGACGCCUCCAGAUUCCGCCUCUACCCAGCAACAACCCGAGGGACAUCCACUGAUUAGCCCAAUGACACUAGGGGGUGGUUAGGGAAGGUAUGGUGGGCUCACUACCGCCACUCACCAAGAAGAAAACGAGGAGACCCGACAGGAAAGGCCCUAAAGGCGCCAGAGUUGCUUCAAGUAGCCAACCGCCUCUGAAGCCUCGGGUGGUAGACAGAAUACCCGUCGAAGGUGCGAAUCGUUUCCAUGUCACCGGCGAACCGAUCCUACCUACGAAAGCGCUAGAGCACAUACUGAACAAUGAUCUAGGAGAUUCCAUGAAGAUCUGCCGGCCAGAGAGAAAAGUCUUCUCAUCUUGGAAAAACCAGGAUACCCGCUUUACGCAGCUCAGGUGCCGGGUGGGAAGUUGUACGUUGAGAGAUGGCCCGCGGAUAAGUUCAUCCUAUGAUUUGACUACAUCUACGACAUGUUCCACAUGACCAAGCUAGAUUUCUAGUUCAUCCGCAUGUAUUCGCCGUAUCUCAACUACUUCAUCAGGAUCGAGAACAUAAAAUAUUUGCAUCGCGGACCCAUACUAUAUGCACGAGAGCUUCUUCGAAGUAUGCAAAGAGCACCGUGACUAUGCGAGCAGGUACAUCACGGACUUCAUGAUUGCUAAUAAGGACAAGGAAGCGAUGCUCCUGCCUUAUCAUCCCACGUAAGUCAUCCACGCAUAUCCUUUCAUAAGUGUGAAUCAUUCCUUUGCAAUCAUGGAGGCUAAUUUGAGGUGUACUUCAUUUGCGCAGUGGGGGGAGUGUCCUCAUCGUUUUGUACUCAGAAUACUCCCAUGCUAUGUACUUGGAAUCAUCGAACAACAUCAAGAAAAAGGAUUACAAGCACAUAAAGAGUGUUCUCGAUAGGGCCCUAUUAACCUUCAGCCUAUCUGGUGGAUAUAUCAAGCUGAAAAAGUACAGGAAGAACGGGGUGGUUUUCGGCCAUAAGACUGACUUCUGCUGCAUCUAGCAACCGCACACCAGUAAGGCUAAUGGAUUCUACCUCAUGCAUCACCUGCUCGAGUACAGAAGGGAUAAUCAACGCCUUCGCAUGUCAGCUACUACCAACAAUGACAAGAUUGUCAACUGGGCCACAAGCAUAGGAAAGACACCGGAUCAUCGAAUCCGAGUUGAGUUUUAUCAUGUACAGUGUGAACUUGCCCGAGUGAUCAUGAAGAAGGUCCUCGAACCAAUAGGGAUAUUCUACCAUGGGCCAAUCACGCAGGAUGAUGUCCGAGCACUGCUUGACGCUUAGUGUCUGGACCUGAAGCCUUUCAAGAAGCUUGGGUGCUUCCUCCCUGACUAUGAAGAUUGGAACGCCGACAUGGAGGACUAAUUGUCGAUGACAAUGUGUCACUACUGUCUUUCUACCGCAAAACUUUGAAUUUAUGCACGGCGAAACUACGUGAUGUAAUUAAAUCGUGGUCCUGAGCUAGCGUAGAUCGCUCUAGUUAAUUAGUUUGGGUAUGAGGAACUUCGUCAUUUAUGUUUACUAUAGCUUGCUUGUAUUUUUCUAAUUAUGCCUCUUUGUUUCCUUAAGUACAUUAUGUUGCAUAUUAUCGUUCAAUUCAUCAACUGAUGAUGCAGGUACAUAGAUCAGAGAUGGUGAAGGACUGCUACACCGUGUUCGUCUGGAGGGUUCCAGGAGUCUACGACCACUGGCCAGACGCUCAGGCCUAGGUGGACAACUACCCGGGUGCUAGCCACAAAGGGUUUGACAGCAAAGCUGAAGCAAAGUAGUUACUUGACGUGGACGCUCCGGCAAGAGCGAGGGCGGGACGCCGGUGCCUCAAGUACUACAUAGUCGCGGUCUUGCUCAUGCUGAUCGCUCUUCUCUUCUACAUCAUGAUUUAGAUAGAGAUGAUGAAACUUGUGCGUGUGACAUGACCAUGCAGUUGCACUUAUUCGAGACAUGACAUGACUUGUGUAUCGCUAUUUUUGAGAUGUGAUGAUAUUUUUGUUGAAUGAUGAUGAUGAUGACGGUAUGACGAGACUAUUGUAUGUGUAUGAUAUGAUGAGAAUAGUGUAUGUUUAUUGUGAUCUGAUGAAACUACUGUAUAAAGCCUAUACAAAUACAUCACAAAUACGUAGAGGAGGUAUGAGUCUAUGAAAGCAGGAGUAUUAGCAGUAGCGCUUGACUUUCUACAGCGAGAUAGUUAGCAGUAGCACUGGUUAGUGCAGCGCUACUGGUAACCAUACUUUGCAGCAGCACUGCACCAACCAGUGCUACUACUACAACUUAGCUGUAGCGUGUUAGCAGUAGCGCUGGACCUAGCGCUACUGAUAUAUGUAUUUCAAGCGCUACUACUGGGUUUUCCCUAGUUGUGUUAGCAAGGUUAUCUCUAGUCAUGAAUUUGUUGUGUGAGAGAAGCCAUAGAAAAACUUGCACCCUAGAGGAACCACAAUAGACCAAACAGAGGGUAUGUAUAUAUCCCCUAAAGUUUAUUAUACUAUACAAAGAUCUAGUGGUGUAUUUUCCCUUGGAAUCAUGUUGCCAGACAAGGUCAUCUUCAUCGCAUAGGAAGUUGGUACUCAAAAUGAUUUGCUCAUGGUGUUGGAAGUAUGCCCUAGAGGCUAAUUUAGAGUUAAUAUUCUAUGCCAUAACUGCUAUGAUCCUUGAAUAUGCGAUUCAGUGGAAAACUCAUAUGCACGUAUAUAAUGAUAAAUGGUAAAAUAAGAUUCCUAGUCACGCCUCUAAGACUUGCUCAAGUGUUGUUGGUGAUCACGUUUCCUAGAUCUUGAGAUAUUGUUAAGUGUGUAAGGAUAUUCUCAAAACAAUCUUGAGGGUAUGCCGUAAGAAGAACGAUCAUAUUGAAUCGACCCAAACUUGUUUGUUAUACUUUGAGAUAAUAUAGUCAUAAGUCAAUUGCUAUAACUCGGACUGUUAACUUGCGAUUUUAGUUCCCUAGACCAUGAGAGUAUCGUAGUCACUUCUUAUCGUACGAUGAGCUUUGGGGUUGCUCAAACGUCAUCAGUAAUUUGGUGAUCAUAAUGACAACUUACAGGUUCAUCAGAAAGUAUGACAAGUGAAAUGAUAGCUCAAGAGUGGAAUUUGCUCCGCUGACGAUGGAGAGAUAUUCUUAGGUCCCUCUCGAUGUAACAACAUCCAUCAUCGUCUGGCCAAACACAUGUCACUUCCUCACGGGGAUGCCGGAACACGAUAAGAAGAAGGAAGAACAAAACCGGCAAUGUGGAGACCGGUAUAGUGAGCAUGUGUAUGACUCAAGAGUAUAACAAUAUAUCUCUCGGGUUUUGUAAAGUAUAGAGAAGCAAAGGAAACAUCGUGCGAUAACCAAAGGUUCAAUUCAAUGUCAUUCGUGUAAUCAUAGGGAUCGAUAUGGACGUCCACGGUUCCGCUAUCAGUCAUUGAACAAAGGGGUUUCAUUAAUGUCUAUGGUUUACGGAACCUAUAGGGUCACAAGCUUAAGGUAAUCACGAUCCGAUGAGUGUUAGUAGGACAAGAGUAUCGGGGAUUUAAUUGUGAAAUAGUUUCUUUAAUAUCCGGAAUAGUUCCUAGAGGAACCGGAAGCAUUUCGGGGUCAUCGGAAGAGUUUCAGAGUUUAUUGGGCAAUACCGGUAUUACUCAUAUAUAAUAUGUAGGUGGAAAAUGUUCCUACUGAUGUUAAAUUAUAUAUAAAAGGCUCUAGUAAUUUUUGGAGGGCUUUAUAAUUAUUUAAAUAUCAACGNNNNNNNNNNNNNNNNNNNNNNNNNNNNNNNNNNNNNNNNNNNNNNNNNNNNNNNNNNNNNNNNNNNNNNNNNNNNNNNNNNNNNNNNNNNNNNNNNNNNNNNNNNNNNNNNNNNNNNNNNNNNNNNNNNNNNNNNNNNNNNNNNNNNNNNNNNNNNNNNNNNNNNNNNNNNNNNNNNNNNNNNNNNNNNNNNNNNNNNNNNNNNNNNNNNNNNNNNNNNNNNNNNNNNNNNNNNNNNGGAACCCAACUCCUCCUUCCCUUGGUCGGCUCCCCAAGGAGGCUUUCCCUCCUUGCUGGCUGCCCUUCUCUCUCCCCCACUAGUGGAGGUAUUGCCCCUUUUCUUCAUACAAGUUUUACCUGCCUCCCUAGCCCAAUACUACUAGUUCUAAUUCAGAUAAUUAGAGCUAGAUCUAGUUCCUCUAAUCCUUAUAAUUAGAAGCCUUGAGUGGCUCUAAUCUUCUCUAAUUCUCUGGCGGCAAUUAGUUCUGGACGGUGAAGCGCUGCCGGAUCGUGAAGGUCGUAUGCUUGCAAACUGUAGAGGGGUCGUGCUUUCGGUCUUCAGUUCGAGGCGGUUCGCGGGAUCGUUCAUUAAUAGUUCGAGGGACUCCAAGUACAAUCUACACCGACUCGUCUGGUUCCGCUGCAUACUUGGAGUUGGUAAUGAUCAUGAUUCAAUUCCCUAAUGCACCUUCAUAUUGUUCCCGGGUGUCGGAAGGCCAAUUUGUUUUAUACUACGUUCCCCAACACAAGGCACAACUUUCCAUCAUGACAGCGUGAAGACCCACCCCUCCCCCACCCACCCACCCCCCGUGCGCGAAGUCAACCUGAUGGUAUUUUUAUCCUAGGCAUGUACUAGGGUCACACCAUGUUGAUGACAAAUUAAAGGGGCCAGAAUUGUACUGAUAAUGCAGAUGUGCCAAAGCAUAUAUCUUCCCAAAAUCCGAUUAUCCUACCAUCUCAAACCACCCAUGUGUAGCCUUGUUUAAGUGAUUUGGCAGCCCACAUGACUCCUUGUCAAAAUUUAGAGGGGUUUUGUGUGGUACAAGAAAACAUAUUAGGCGUGUUCCUUAUGUACUUAACAUCUACUAUUCAUCUCCAAUUUCCCCCCUCAUCUUUUAUUUAUCUCUUGACCCAGCUUCCAAGGAGGCAGAGAUUUACAUGUCUGAUGUUUGGCACUCCUAAUCGUCCAUAUUUUUAUUUCAUACAAACUAAGUUCCAAUUGGAAAUGUAUAAUUUUCUAUUUCCUUCAAAGUCACUCCAAAGGCACUGAGCUAGUUGGCUAUUUAUUAGCUUCGAAGCCCACUUGGGGAACUUUUUGGGCCAUCUUAUCUGACAAAUAGACCCAACGACAUUGUCAGAUCAAACUCCGGAUUAAUCCUACAUGACCACAUUAUAGAUCAACCCUACUAUAGGUCCACUAUCGAGUCACGGGCUUGCAGCACAACCUCAAUCAAAAGUGCUUUAGCUUGUUGUACCUUGUUACAGCGCCGCCGUCUCAGCACCUUCCGGAAAACCUGCAGCAACAUCUCAAAAAUAUUUGUUUUGAAAGUUGUCGAUAGAACUUGAAGAGCUUGCCAACAAAGAGGACCACACGAGUCCUAGUAUCAGGUGACACUUAGUGUUUAAUGGAUCCGAAUAGCAAUUAGUGUUUAGUGGGUCCGACAAAAUAAUAGCUUUUAUUAAAAAUAUAUAUUAAAUGUAUGUAUCUACCGUAUAAUAAAUAAAUAGGACAUCAAAUGAGCUCUGAAUUAGAUGAAAUUUUAGGUGUAGCCUCUCUAGGCUAUAAUGAGACCACACAGAAAAUAAUCAAACCAUUUGGAGAAUUUUUAAUUUUUGUUUGAAAUUAAAUUACAAAAAUGACAUAAAUGUGAUUUGAACUAGGGCUGUGUGCAAGACUUGUGCAAAAAUUGUGAAAUAUUUUCUGGGGCUUUCAAAUAUUAUACAAAGUCCAUGUGAAAAGUUGGGACUCUUAUCUUAAUGUACAAGGACAAAAGGGAAAAUGGUUUUGGUAAAACCCAAAUAAAUUAAACGGUAAAAUAAUUUGCUUUUAUGUGUUUGAUAUUUUUGUUAUGCGUGUUGAGAAUAAUGCAUAGUGAAAUGAUGGCAUCAUGUCAUGAUGAUGCAAAAUAAAAUAACAGACAUUUAUUUUAGUUAAGGAAUUAGUCUAUUCUAUUACAACCAUCUAAAAAUUUCUCUAUGGAUGGCGCAUUAGCUGCAAAAGUACCCUUCUACUCCCGAGCUCAAAUAGCUCGGGAUGAACAGUAAAUUCUGAAACCAAAAAAAAUCUCAAAGUUUUUUGGUGCAAACUUUCACAAAUGUUCUCAGUGCAUGGAAAUUUUCAGCUCGAAACAACACUUGUAGAACGCGUGGCAAAAGAAAAAAAAAUCAGCACCCCAAAAUGCUUUCAAAAAUAUCAUUUUUGGAGAUUCGAUUUUGUUUUUUACCACGACUUCUAGGAUUGUUGUUUUAUAAUAAUUUUUUGCAAGCACAUUUGUCAAAGUUUGCACUAAAAAAACAGUUUUUUUAUUUUUUUUGUACUAUUUUUUUGAUUUUACUGUUUAUCAGGGUGCAUUUGAGCUCGGGUGUAGAUACUUCGUGUCCCAUUAGCUGAGAAAAUAACUAGCCCUCUUCUAGCGCAACAAAACUCAAUCUUCCUUUCAUGUACGUGCAUGACUUUAAUGUAAAACUGGUAACUCCUUCAAGGUUGACUAUGAAUCGACUCCUACGCACGGUAGCUCGUGGGAGCGGGCAACACAUGCUCGAAGGCGCUCCUAUAGGUCCAAGGUUGCCAGAAUCAUGAUUUAGAAUCGGAUAGGAACUCCGAUGGUAGGAUUGUAAAUCAUAGAAGCUGAACUAUCAUCAUCGUAGAAACGUAGAUUCCAUGAACUAGAAUCGCAAAAUUGGAUGGGUUAAUUUGGAUCGUAAAAUCGUAUAAUAGAAUCGCGAUUCUCACAACCUUGGAUAGGUCUACUGGCUACCGCAUGCAAGCGCAUUUUUCUUAGACAAACUCUAGCAAAGUAGUCAUAUUUGGAGCCUCUAUAUCCAUAGCGCGCUCCAUAUGGAUUAUGGAGGUCACCAAGGAAAAUCGCACAAAGUCAGAAUCCUCAUAUUUGUUGCCUCUAUAACCAUGGGACCCACUCAUCUAUGGGACAUUCCUUUUUUCCCAAGCUUCUUGCAAUCCCACGUGAGGUGGGGAGCACCUAAAGUUUCCUUCCCAUCACACGGAACGAGAGGUAAUUUUCAUAUGGAGCACGCUCCAAAAGGCAGCCCCGAGACACCAUAUAUGACAUGCUAGAUAUGGAGGGUACUCCAUAAAAUAUAAAUGAUCCCUGACAAGAUGGAAACUUUGCCAGAGGGCCUUUUUGACCAAAGUUUCCAUAAUAGAGAUUAUUAUGGCGAUCGGUCAUAUAUAGCCACUCUCAUAGAAUUUCUCUUAAAGGUGCCACGUGAGUCUCUCACGUUCUGUGGCAUGUAGAACUGGUAACCGACAUGUUAGGCUACACAUGUUUUCCCACUGCACAAUGUGCUUCAGUUGUCUGUCACAUGGUGGUGCUGGAUUGUGGGUUAUGCGGUCUACCCUUAAAUUCACCAUAUUUGUGGUACCGCUAACAAUUGCAUAUUAAGCCGAGAGGGUAGGAACCUAUUUAUGGACUAUAUUUGCGCCACAAAAGUACGGAUGCCAUGAGUUAUGUCAUGGAUCAUGAUUAAACACGACAGUUCUAUGAGUCUAAUAUUAUAGUCUCUAGCAUACCUGUGCGAGUUAUGUUCAUGAUCACUUUGCGUAUAUGAGAUUAAGUUCCAAUCCAAGCAUGUGGGUCAACACCUUGCAGAACUAACCCUGCAAAACGAACCCAACUCUUCCACCAUGAUUGUAAACGUAUAUACAUAUUAAUUUCACUAGAGUCAACCUCAAGUAAUUCCUCUAUUGUAUUCCAGCACAGUUCUCCUCGACACCUCCAGUAUUGCUUCCACAAAUAAAAUUACAUCUACAUCGGCACCUCAAGUAUUACUUGUCGAGUAUAAUUUUGCAUCUAUUAUUCUCCAUCAUGUACAUCAAUAAUAUGAACAAUCCAAAUCGAGUUUAAUAAAUAAUAACCAUGUUGAAUCAAUGUUGGAAGUCACAAAAAUACCCCACAAAGGAUGCUGUUUUUCUAGUCUUUCUUCGCAUGAUAGUUUACAAAAUUAUAUAAGUUUGAAAUUUCAAAAUAAUUUUGAAAGUUGAAAGUGUUUUAAAAGAAAAUAAAAUGAAAGUCAAGAUUUCUGAAAUUUAUUUUUGAAAGUACAAAUUUGGAAUGCAAUUUUUUUGAAAUUUCAAAGAUCCGGAGCAGACACACCGUCCACGAUCUAGCUCACAUUGUUGUGGUCGUCCUCCUCUUGCACGCAGCUCCAACAAGUAAUCGCUCAUGUAGUCACGUCCAUGUUGGUCAUGCACUAGCUCGCAUGUGUCGCCGCGUCAUCAGGGAAAGUAUCCCGCAACAACGAUGGCCACCAGACCAUAUCCCACACCAAUUUGACCACAUACCGCAUGCGACGCCAUGAAAAAACCAUGGCACCCAUGGGUUUUGCCUCACAGCGUCCUACGGCGAUGGGAAGGAGGAGAAGCAGUGGGACGGGUGAAUUGCUAGGUUGGGGCGCCAAAUCAAUGCCUCUUUGAUACUCAAAACGCCGGGAUAGAAAAAAAAUCAAGGAUUGUAGUGACAUGUCAUCUUGAAUCCCGCCGAAUUAGAAAACUAGGAGAAUUCGGAUAAAAUAGUGUUUGAUGCCACCAUAAAAGCAAAGGAAAUAUACCAAGAGAUUUUAGUGGAUGCGUAUUUUUCUCCAAAAUAAAGUGCUAAUGAAUUCUAAGGAAAAUUACUACGCAUUUCAAUCCUAUGAAUCGAGUAGCCAACAGAGAAAAAAAAUCCUAUAAAAUUCUUUGAAUGAAAGCACUUGCCCUCUCGUAUGCUUGGUCUAGUUACGUUCGUUGUCGUCACAUGCCGACACUUUCGAUCUGCAUCUCCUUAAGGCUUAAGCAAACAAUACCAUUUUUGCAAGUGAAAAAAAGGAUCACAUGUUUUUGGGGGAAUCAUCUUCUUCCCGGACGAGGACGAAUGAGGUGGGACGUGGAGACCGGGACGCGCCCGCUGCCUUCCGAGGCCCGGCUCCUCUAGUCGGCAGCCACCUGCCGACCAACUCAUGCAAGCACACGUAGCGCCCCUGCCACGGCGAUUCGUCCAUCUGACCACCCCUCAUUAUGGGCUAGUCGGCAGUCACCUGCCCAUCCACUCACGAGAGAACACGUCGUGCUUCAUCUAUCCUCUGACGGCCUAUAAAUAGUGCCUCGUGGAGCACCUGCUUCACAGUUCACACAACACCACCUGCUCCAAGUAAACACUAAACAGCAGCACUAGUAGAUUUCCCGAGUGACAAGUUUGGCGCAGGAUGGAGCACCAGGGACACGGCACCGGCGAGAAGAAGAGCAUCAUGAGCAAGAUCAAGGAGAAGCUCUCCAGCAGCCACGGUGAUCACCAGCAGGCCGCUGCCACCCACGGGCAGCAGGGACACACCACUACGGCCAUCGAUGGUGCCUACGGGCAGCACGGACACACCGGAGCCACCGGCACUGGGAUGCACGGCGCCGACACGGGCGAGCAGAAGAGCGUCGCGGAGAACAUCAAUGACAAUCUCCCUGUCGGCCAUGGGGACCACCAGCAGACUGGUGGCACCGACGGGCAACAGGGACACACCGCCGCGGCGACGCAUGGUGCCUCAGCCAUCGGCGGCACCUAUGGCCAGCAGGGUAACACCGGUAUGGGGACACUUGGCGCCCCGGCCGCUGAUGGUGCGUACGGGCAGCAGGGACACACUGGGGCCACCGGCACGGCGAUGCACGGCGGCGGCACGGGCGAGAAGAAGGGCGUCAUGGAGAACAUCAAUGACAAGCUCCAUGGUGGUCAUGAGGACCACCAGCAGACUAGUGGCACCUACGGGCAGGAGGGACACACUGAUGCGGCGACGCAUGGCGCCUCAGCCACCAGCGGCACCUAUGGGCAGCAGGAAAACACCGGUAUGGGGACACAUGGCGCCCCUGCCACUGAUGGUGCCUAAGGGCACCACGGACACACCGGGGCCAUCCGGACGGAGAUGCACGGCGCCAACACAUGCGAGAAGAAGGGCGUCAUGGAGAACAUCAAUGACAAGCUCCCUAGUGGCCAUGGGGACCACCAGCAGACUGGUGGCACCUACGGGCAACAGGGAUACACCAAUGCGGCGACGCAUGGCGCCUUACCCACUGGUGGCACCCAUGUGCAGCAAGGAAACACUGGUACGGGGACAUAUGGCGCCCCGGCCACCGAUGGUGCCUACAGGCAGCACGGACACACAGGGGCCACUGGCACGAGGAUGCACGACACCGACACCGGGGAGAAGAAGGGCAUCAUGGAGAACAUCAACGACAAGCUUCCUAGUGGCGACGAAGACCACCAGCACACCGCUGGCACUUACGGGCAGCAGGGACAAACAGGCACGACAAUGCAUGGUGCCUCAGCCACGGGCGACACCUAUGGCCAGCAGGGACACACCGAAAUGUCCGGCACGGGGACGCACGCAUCAGCCAGAAAAAGGACGUGAUGGAGGACAUCAAGGCCAAGCUCCCAGGUGGCCAUGAUGAUCGCCAUCAGACCGGUGACACCUAUGGGCAGCAUGGACACACCAACACUGCAAUACAUGUCACCCUUGCCACCGGCGACACCUAUGGGCGGCAGGGACACACCAGGAUAACCGACAUGGGAACAUACGGCACCGGCGAGAAGAAGGGCGCCAUGGAGAAGACCAAGGAGAAGCUCCCCAGUGGCCACGGUGACCACCAACAGACUGGUGGCACCUACGGGAGCCAGGAAGACACCGAAAUGACUGGAAUGGGGAUGCAUAGCACCAAGGCCACAGAUGGCACAGAUGGUCAGCAGGGACACACCGGAAUGACUGGGAUGGCGUCACACGACACCGACGAGACGAAGGGUGUCAUGGAGAACCUCAAGGGGUGUUAGACUAGGUAUAUUGUAGAUCUACGUGUUGUAACACAAUACAUGUACCUGUACGUUCUUUCUUAUAUAUACAUGACAGUCGUACCCGUUUAGGGUAUCGAGCAUUGUUCCAAACCCUAGCUUUGUCUAACAUGGUAUCAGACGACGCGUUCGAUCCGCGCCGUGCUUUCGCCUCCUCUGCCGCCGUCGCGUCGGCCUCCGCCGCCGUGCCGCCUCCGUCAACCCUGGCGAUGGACUCGCCGUUCAUGGCGUCCGCACCACUCGCCUGGGCCCGUCCGGGAUCGCAGCACCCGCCUGCGUCCCGAUCGCCCGCGCCCCGAUCGGGCGAGAUUCCAUCUGGCGAUCCAGCUGGUGCUCCUGUGCAGUCGAUGUACGCCGGGACUCAGCUCCCCCCUCGAUGCAUCUGGCGCUCGGACUACGUCGCGGCUGCCCUAUGUUGCGUCCCAGUUGCAUGCUGCGGCGCCUCCGUUGCAUGAUGCGUCGGCCGCCUCCGGUUCCCAUGCAACAUCGCUACACUCUGGGCCUGCAUUGCAUGCUGUGGCGCCCGCCUCCGGUUCCCAUGGUGCCCCCGUACAGAUGCCCUACGGUGGCCCAUAUCCAGCACCGUACGUCGCGCCGUCGCCGUCGCCGUACGUCGCGCCGGUGCCGUAUGAUUCGUCCUCCGCGGUGCCCUACGAGGUUCCGUAUGGAGCGCCCUAUGCUGCCCCGGUGCCGUACGUUGCGUCGCUGCAGCCCUACGGCGUACCUCCUACGGCGCCCUACGGUCAUCACCAACACUACCGUACACCUCCGUUGGCCGAUGCGCUGAUUUCGUACAGUGCUCCGCCGACGUACGACUCGUAGCUCUCCGCACCGGUGGCUGAACCAGGACCGUUCCACUUAGCUCUCUGCCGACAACUACCUCCUGUGGCGUGCUCAGGUGUUGCCGCUGCUGCGUAGUCACUACCUUGAGGGGUAUGUCGACGGUACACUGCCGUGUCCCCCGGCCAUGGUUCCGGUGCCCUCAGCCGCUGGUGUCUCCGUCAUGGUGUCCAACCCUGCUCAUCGUCGGUGGAUCGCUCAGGAUCAAGCUAUUCUUGGUGCCAUUCAGUCCUCGCUCACUCCCUCCGUGGCCGGCAUGGUGGUCUUUGCCGCGACGUCGAGGGAUGCAUGGGCCACGCUCGACUCCAGCUUCUCCUCGCAGUCGCUGGCCCGUUCCUCUGCCAUUCGUAAUCAGCUGGGCGAGGUCAAGAAAAAUGAUCUCUCCGUCACGGUCUUCUUCAACAAGGUCAAAAGUUUGGCUGAUACACUGUCGUCUAUUGGAAAGCCUCUCCGUGACGAGGAGUUUACUUCGUUCAUUCUCAAUGGACUUGAUGAGGACUACGACUCUCUUAUUGAAAAUAUCAAUGGACGUGACAUGCCGAUGCCGCCUCGCGACCUCUACGUGCGCCUCCUCAACACCGAACAACGCCUAGCUGCUCGCCGCUCCGUCGGCGUCUACACAGAGGGCCCUUCUGCGAACGCUGCACUUCGCGGGGGUGCCCGUGGUGCCAAGCAGAAGGCGCCGCCGUCCGUGGGCAAUCAGCCCCGUUCGUCGGCUCCACCUCCUCCGACGGCUGGUCGCAAGAGGUUGGCGCUGCGAGUCAUGCGGUGGUGACGUUGAGUGUCAACUCUGCAGCAUCGAGGGGCAUUUGGCGUCUCGCUGCCAUCGCCGCUUCAAACGCGACUUCCUUGGCAUUGGGAACAACGGGAAAGGCAAUGAGAAACAAGCUGCUCUCGCUACACAGGAGCCUGGGUUCACUCCUUCUUAUUCUGUGGAUCCGUCCUGGUACAUGGACACCGGUGCCACCAAUCAUCUGACGAGCCAGCUCGACAAGCUGGCUACUCGCCAGCACUACACUGGUCAUGACCAGGUCCGUACUGCCAGUGGAUCAAGUAUGCCCAUCUCACAUGUUGGUCAGGCAUCUCUUCUUUCACGUACCACUAAAACCUUGUGUCUCCUUGAUGUUCUUCGUGUUCCUUCAGUCACACGUAGUUUGCUCUCGGUUCCUAAAUUAACUCGUGACAACAAUGUGCUUGUUGAGUUUCACCCUUUUUAUUUUUUUGUUAAGGACCGGGACACGAGGGACGUUCUUCUUAGUGGUCGAGCUCGCCAUGGCCUAUAUGCUCUUGAUGUGCCGCCUGUUUCUGAAGUUUUCAGUGGUGUUCGGGUGUCGUCGUCGCAGUGGCAUUCUCGCCUCGGUCAUCCUGCCACUCCCAUUGUGUGACAUUUGCUUCAUCGCCAUAGUCUUCCAGUUGAGUCCAGUAAUAAGGAGUUUCUAGUGUGUGAUGCCUGUCAACAGGGCAAGAGUCAUCAGCUACCUUUCUCUGUAUCGAGUCGUGUUGUCAAGGCUCCUCUUGAACUUGUGUUUUCGGAUGUGUGGGGCUAUGCCCAAACUUCUGUUAGUGGUCACAACUAUUAUGUUAGUUUCAUUGAUGCCUUUAGUCGCUUUACUUGGAUUUAUCUCAUUAAGUGCAAAUCUGAUGUGUUUCAUGUUUUUAUGCAAUUUCAAGCCCAUGUUGAGAGGUUUCUUAAGUGCAAAAUUAUUCAUGUUCAGUCUGAUUGGGGGGGGGCGAAUAUCGCAACCUUAAUACUUUCUUCACGAAACUUGGCAUCUCGCAUCAUGUGUCUUGUCCUCAUACACACCAGCAGAACGGUGCAGCUGAGCGCAAGCACCGUCACAUAGUUGAAACUGGCUUAACACUGCUCGCACAUGCCUCUGUUCCAUUCCGGUUCUGGAGUGAUGCUUUUGUUACUGCUUGUUUUUUGAUCAACAGGCUACCCACACGACUUCUUCACAUGAAAUCUCCCCUAGAGGUUUUACUUCAUGAGACUCCAGAUUACUCUCUUCUCAAAGUGUUUGGUUGUGCGUGCUGGCCACAUCUUCGGCCGUACAACAAGCACAAACUCGAGUAUCGAUCUAAGAAGUGUGUGUUUCUCGGAUACAGUCCUCUUCACAAAGGUUAUAAGUGUCUCCACAUUCCGACGAAUCGUGUUUACAUUUCUCGUGAUGUUGUAUUCGAUGAGACUGUUUUUCCUUUUUCCACACUGUCACCUUCCACCGAUACCACCGCUACUGAGCUGCACUCCUUUCCAGUUUUGCCUGACCAAUUUGUAGAUGCUGCAUAUUCUCCUCUGUUGUUGCCUAACCAUGGUGCAGGAACUGGACGGGGUGCUCGCCUUGAGCUUCUUCAUGACGACGUGGUUGCUACGGCACCAACUGCAGUUUUGCCGCCGGACGGGUCGCUUGACUCUGCGCUUGAUGACGACCACCACGAUGAUUGCACGUGCAUGCCCCAUGCACGUGGAUCAGGUGGUGUGGCCACCUCACCUAGCCCGGCUGCUAGCCCGGCUGGGUCUCCAGUUCGGCCACCCGAGCCGGCUGCUACCGCAGUUCGGCCGCUCGAGCCGCCAACCUCCACGGCCUCUGCCCCGCGUGGGUCGUCCUCGCCUGGUCCGCCUUCACCGACCACUCCGGGCCCAACACCGCCGCGCCCGUCUUCGCCGGUCUCUCCGGCGCAUGCAGACCCUGUGGCAUCUCCUUCGGUAGAGUCUGUGGACUCGCCUACUGCUGUGGCUUCUCCAACACCUCCGCCGCCUGUCGUACUGCGCCCUCAUACGUGCAGCAAGAGUGGCAUUGUCAAGCCUGUCCAACGCACAGAUGGUACGGUCGCAUGGCUUGCGGCCUGUGUUGCUCGUGCUGAGGCCGAUCCUACGGUGGAACCGCGACAUUUUCAGGCAGCGCUUGGCAUUCCACACUGGCACGCUGCUAUGGAACAGGAGAUCCAUGCUCUUCGGAAGAAUAAUACUUGGCGUCUGGUUCCUCCUCCUUCCAGUGUCAAUGUUAUUGAUUCCAAAUGGGUGUUCAAGGUGAAGAAACAUGCUGACGGGUCCAUUGAGAGGUACACGGCACGACUGGUGGCCAAAGGAUUUAAACAAAGGUAUGGCCUUGAUUAUAAAGAUACGUUUAGUCCUGUUAUCAAGCCCACGACUAUUCGUGUUCUUCUUUCGCUGGCUGUUACUCGAGGAUGGUCGCUUCGUCAGCUCGAUGUCCAGAAUGCCUUCCUUCAUGGAGUUCUGGAAGAAGAGGUAUAUAUGCGUUAGCCCCCGGUUUUGUUGACCCUGCUCAGCCACAUCAUCUGUGUCGCCUCGACAAGGCUCUUUAUGAUCUGAAGCAGGCUCCUCGUGCGUGGCAUGCACGUCUUGGCGCUGCUCUUCGUGCACAUGGGUUUGUACCGUCUACAGCAGACACAUCUCUUUUCAUUCUUCAGCGACCUGAGGUGACUAUGUACAUUCUGGUCUAUGUUGAUGACAUCAUACUUGUCAGUUCAUCAGUCACUGCUGCAGAUCGGCUUGUGGCUUCUCUAGGGGCUGUUUUUGCUGUUAAGGAUCUUGGGAGACUGCACUAUUUUUUGGGUUUGGAGGUUCUUCAUUCUGACAGUGGCUUGACUCUCACUCAGCAGAAGUACUCUCAGGAUCUGUUGCGACGUGCAGGUCUGAUGCAGUGUAAACCUGCUACGACUCCUAUGUCCUCCACAGACAAAUUAUCAGCUUUUGAUGGGGACUUGCUCUCUUCUGAGGAUGCCACUGAGUACCGCAGCAUCGUUGGUGGACUGCAAUACUUGCUCGUCACUCGGCCAGAUAUUUCAUUUGCAGUUAACCGUGUGUGUCAAUACCUUCAUGCACCGCGUGAUCCUCAUUGGACGGCGGUUAAGCGCAUUUUGCGCUAUGUUCGACACACAGCUUCGUAUGGUCUCCAUUUGCAGCCUGCGGCUUCUGGUUUGAUCUCAGCCUUCUCUGAUGCUGAUUGGGCUGGUAGUCCCGAUGAUAGGCGAUCCACUGGGGGACAUGCUGUGUUCCUUGGUCCUAAUUUGAUCGCCUGGCAAGCUCGAAAGCAAGCUACCGUGUCUCGGAGUAGCACUGAAGCUGAGUACAAAGCAGUUGCUAAUGCCACAGCUGAGAUCAUAUGGGUUCAGUCAUUGCUUCGAGAGUUGAAGGUCUUUCAAGCCCAGCCGCCUGUUCUUUGGUGUGAUAACAUCGGUGCUACAUAUCUUUCAUCCAAUCCGGUAUUUCAUGCCCGAACGAAACACAUUGAAGUUGACUAUCAUUUUGUGAGAGAACGUGUUGCACAGAAGCUACUUCAAAUCAAGUUUGUUUCUUCUAAGGAUCAGCUUGCUGACAUUUUCACUAAACCCUUGUCCUUGCCCUCUUUUGAAGGAUGUCGACGCAAUCUUAACCUCAUGAAUGUUUCAGGACAUAGUUAAGAUUGAGGGAGGGUGUUAGACUAGGUAUAUUGUAGAUAUACGUGUUGUAACACAAUACAUGUACCUGUACGUUCUUUCUUAUAUACAUGACAGCCGUACCCGUUUAGGAUAUGGAGCAUUGUUCCAAACCCUAGCUUUGUCUAACAAGGGGAAGCUCCCCGGCGGCCAUGAUGACCACCAGCAGACUACUCGCACCAACGGGCACCAUGUUGGCACGGGGACGCAUGACAACCCUGCCACCGAUGACACCUAUGGGCAACAUGAACACCCCGGAGUGACCGGCACAGAGGCAUACAGCACCGGCGGCACAGGCGAGAAGAAGGGCAUUGUGGAGAAUACGAAGGAGAAGCUCCCCGGUGGCUACAAUGACCGCCAGCAAACCGGUGACACCUACGGGCAGCAGGGACACACCGGCACUAUGACGCAUGGCACCCCGUCCACCUGUGGCACCUACGGGCAGCACGGACACGCCGGACUGACCGACAUGGGAACCCAGGGCACCGGCAGCACCGACAAGAAGGAUGUCAUGGACAACAUCAAGGAGAAGCUCCCUGGUGGCCACGGUGACCACCAGCAGACCGCUGUCACCUACGGGCAGCAUGGACACACUGGAAUGACUGGCACGGAGACGCAUGGCACCACGGCCACCGACGACGGGAAGCAAGGACACAACGGAACAACUGGCACUGGGACACACGGCACCGACGGGACCGGUGAGAAGAAGAGCCUCAUGGAAAAGAUCAAGGAGAAGCUGCCUGGACUGAACUAAGCCCGGUAUGCCUAAGGCCGCUACCUUUGCAGAAUAAUACUCCAC
rnacentral:lncRNA from 1 species